AAGGAAAAGACCUUGAAGAACAAAUUGCAAAAUGAUUCAUUGCAGCACGGCAGUAACCAGAGUGAAUAUUGUCUGAGAUUGUACAACGGAAAGGGAAAAUAGUAUACACCAAGAAAACAAUGCCCAACACAAAAAUUGAAGCUCAAACUACUCGUCCAGAAUAAAAUGUUGAUGAAAACAAGUACAAAUAGACAAUCCCCCACAUCUUCACAUCUAUAAGAUGUCAAAGCUAUCCCACAGUUUCACAAAGGACAUGGGAGAUCAAUAGGUCUGAAUAAAGUGUCUGAAUUUUUGUCUCUAUAGAGUCUAUUAAAGCAUUCAAGUGUGAUAAUUAGCUGUCAUCCCAUACAUUAAGUAAUGUUGUGAUUGACAGGUAUAUUAAACAAAGAAAAAACAGGAAAGCAAUCACUCUUAAUCCAGAAAUGUAGAGGAUGUAUGAAUUUUAGGUCCAUUUGUACACACUCCGAGAUGGCAUAAUGAUCCAUAGUUGUGGAAUUCCUGAAGUUCCUUAACAGAACAAAAGGCUCAAAGACUGAACCACCAAAAAAAUAAGCUCAAUCAUCAUUUCCAACAAAUAUGACCCCUUUUGGAAGACGUCCCCCCCACCCCCUUUUUUUUUCAGUGAAGAAACAUGUAAGCAACAGCAUCCACUAUGCAGUAACAUUUUGAACAGCACAACAUCAAUUCCAAGAGAACUAUCAUUACCUAAAUCUUCUGUCGAUGUUGCUACAUUUUUUUUCUCAGCACUCCUGCUUACACCUGGGGACUUUUCAGUUACCGAAGCUUUACGUAGCUUGGAUUGCAUUACUUUCUUCUCUGUCAUAAAAAUGAUGAUUAGUUAGGUAGAAACAUUAAAAGCAUAUACAAUAUAUGUGAGAUAAUUAAUCAUUUCAUUUUUCACCCACAAAUAAAAUCACUCAUUGAUGGAAAAACUUAACAGAAAUAAAAAAAAAUCAAUUGAUCUGAAACAUAGCCCUAAAAAGAAAUCAUAAUAAGUAUAUUCUGGAAUCAUGCAAAAUAAUUAUGUGGACCGUAUUGGGUUAACAGUCAUAUGAGUUCUUGAACUUCAAAAAGCCCAAUCCUAUAGCAGUUUUAAGAAAUGUUGUAUCUCCAUAAUCAAUAUGGAGAUGAUUACGAGGCUCCCAUGUAGUAAAUAUGCUUUCAUCAGCAUCAUAAAAUAUCAAGACAAAGAAAGCUUGUUGUAAGCAAAUCUUUCAUUUAUCAGCUGGAAGGAUGGGUUAUGCUUGGAAAUGAAUACUGCAAGCUGUUUGCAAAACUCUCUUCAACCUGUCUCUUUUAUAAAUGGUACUCAACUGAGUUUUUUAAAGAGGACAAUGACAAACUGAAGAGCAGAAUAAACCAAUCAACUGUACUUAUUAAUGAUUUAAAGGUCCUUUCAAAGUAGUUUGAGGAAGUUUUAGCAGACUUCUUGAUUUUGCUUCUCAAAGCAAUGCAUGCACACUCUAUGUUAAGUCAGGAAAUUUUUAUUUUUAAACUUUUUAUAGAGAACUACCAGAUGAAGUACACAGUCUGUAAUAAAUUUAUUUCUUGUUAGGUUUCAUUCGUGAAAGCAAACAUAGGAGGAUCUACAGUGGUGUCCCUCUUUUGACACCUUUCUUGAUUAAAUUUAACUAGGUUUGGACCAGACUAUUUUUUUGUUGUGUAAAAAUGAUGAUCAGGUGCUGCCAUUGCAUUUUGAAAAGGGAAGAAAAAUCCAUGAUUUGGGUCAUAGAUCCGAUUGGUCAAAUAAGUUAGUUUUAUUUAAAUUAGACGAUAAAAAAAAGGCAACUAUAGCAAAAUGGACAUUGUUUUUUUAUAAAAAAAAAAAAAAAAAAGUGAUCAUGAGAACUUGGUAAAAAAAUAUUUUUUUUCAAAAUGAAACAAAUGAUGUAGCUUAAUUCUCAACCCAUUAAAUAUAAAAGGAUGAAAUGGGGUACAAAAAUAACCUAAAAAAUCAGGUUUGGUCAACUCAAGUUAGCAUGACAAACUUGUAAAGUAAUCAGAGUUGAGCCAACCUGAAUUAUCUUGCCCACUUUUUAUUUUUUUUAUUUUUAUAUUUAGUCAAAUACCAAAUUGCCCCUCAGUUGACCUAAUAAUAACAAAAAAAACCAUUAUGAAAUAAUGAAAAAGCCCUUGGCACUAGGUUUUAAAAUUUUUUCUUUCAAGGGUAUUUUGAUCGUUUCACUAUGCUUUAUAUAAAUUGGCCCUUAGCUGACCUGAUAAUAAUGAAAAAACCAUGUGAAAAUACCAAAAAAAAACGUUGGACAUCAAUUUUAAAAAUUUUGCUUUCAAGGGCAUUUGGUCAAUUGAUCUUCAAUCAAUUUGGUUAUGACUAAUGCGGCUUGUAAAAAGACCUUAAUGCCCCAAUAUCUAGUUCAAUAUUUUUGGGUGUGAAGGGCAAAGAUCUCAUUACACUAUUCUUAUUCCAGCGAACAAUGUAAAUAGAUAUGUCUGAAGUGUUUUUUCAUGCCUAAACUUUUCUUAAUAAUUUUAUUGAUAAAACAAGUUCUCUAAAUUUUCUAGCAAGUGGAUAAUAUAUCAAACAGUUUAUGAGGAAUGACUUCCUCAUUGUAACUUCCUCAUUGUAACAUUUCUCAUCCAUAAUGGUUACAAAGUUGCAUGGCAUAUGUUUAUUUUUGUUUUUAAUAGGCCAAAUAUUUCUUUUGCUAAUCCAUCUAGUUCAUCAUCCCCCCAUUUCCUCACUCCCCACUCUUUUCUUAGACCUCAUUUUAGCAUAAGGAAAAAAAAACUUAUAUAUAAAAGCAAUAAGAACUUCGACGGUGAACAAAAACUGUGUGAAUACCUUCUUGGAGAGCAUCAAUUGUUGACUGCAAAUCCUGACGAUCUUUCUCCAGGCUGGACAUUUUCUUUCUGCAGGAUUCGAUUUGAAUCAUAAUGGUUAAAUGUUGUUUCAAUUAAGAAAACAUAGAAAAAAAGGCAAUUGGAAAGGAUAAUGUAGGACUAAUACAAAAACUGUCCACUAAAUGGAGAAGGGAAAUAUAUUGGUAUGCACAUAGGCAUGCACAUCAUCAGUAAAAAAAAAAUAGUUCCCUGAAGGAAAAAACAUUGGCUAAUUACUGUCAUUUUGUCCCUUUGGAACUAAAGAUAGAGCCUUCCUUUUUUGGCAUGCAUAUUUCACUCAAUCAUGGAAAUGUUGUUGGUAUUCUAAUGAAAAUCGGUGCUUGCAUGACAGAAUCCCUCUCUCCCAAAAUAUGGUUACUGUUACCUCCCAACAUAGCUGGACUCCAAUUAUAUGGAUAACUGUUCCAGAAUCCAUGCAAAACAAAUCUUGAUAGUUGCACAAAAUGCUUCUUUAUAUAAGUUUUUUAAACAAACCCUGUUAAAAGUCCACCAAUAUAAACACACAAAAAAAGACUACCAGAACAUCAAGUUAAACUGAAGAUGUACAUCUCAAAUUCUUCAUCUCCAGUCAAAGGAGAGGUAAAGCAUACUUGUAUGAAGUUAUCUCAGCCUGUGAGUUCUCUAAUUGCCUCCCCAGCUUAAGCUCACUAGACCUUAGCCUGAGCGCCUACACAAGCAGGUUAUAGAACAAAGUUAAGGGAAAGAGAGAAGUAACCAAGCAUAACAACUAUAUUAAAUUUGUGGUUAUGAAUGACAUUGGUAUCAAAAAGUACCACAAUAUAAACUACAAUAUGAGGAGAUUAUUUUUCAUAUGUGGAUGGUACAAAAAUUUUAAGCACCCAAAUGUAGUGCUGUUUUAGCAGAUUAGAACAAUGUAUCAUCAUUCCAGCAAUUUAAUAAAGGAUUUCCAUAUUAACUUCACAGCAAUUUAAUUGUUGUGCCUCCGUAAAGAACAAUUUUGUAUACACAAAAAUUUACUUAGUAGACAAAAACUAAUGUUACAAAAUUAAGAGUCAACCUUGAAUUAGAUGUGCCUAAGACAAAAACCAGUGGGUUGAGCGUAAUUCAAACAAUGCUAUCAUCUAUCAAGACCAAAUGAAACUUUAGUUGCAUUCCUACAUUAGCAUAUUCCAGUUCAGUCACACAUUCUUCACAAAGCAAGGGCAAAGUGGGGGGAUGCUUGGAACUGUCAUCUUGAAAGGCAAGAAAACAAGACGAACAAGAACCAAUAAUAAAAAGGCAAUUUAGUACCUUCUCUUCCAAACUAAUAACUUCAGAAGCCAGUAGCUUGGCUCGUUCAUCAGCAGCAUUACACUCGAGCUGUGCAUUUGCACAUGCAAUUUUGACAGACUCGAGUUCCACCUGGUAACAUCAUUGGGCAUAAAAACAAUGGAAAUGGAAAUGACCAUAAAUACCAUAAGCAUAACUAGCUAUAAUCAAGGGACAAUCACUACUAACCAAAUGGGUCUUGAUUUCUUCAUGUAACUGCUCCAUAUCAGAUUUCAGUUGGUUCACAACACCUCUCUAGAGAAAAAUUCAACGAAAGUAUUAACAAAUUAAAGACAUAAACCAAAAGAAGUGUCAGGUAUAAUCAAACAGCCAAAGGCAUAAUAUAGAAACCACACCACUGCAAUUUUUAUAACUUCAACUUCCAGACUCUGAUCCCAAUUCCAAUAUCAAAACAAAUCAACUAGCAACCAAGCAACUUUGAUGAACUACUUUAUACUUUAUGUAAAUAUUUUGUGGCUUACAUCCAUUGGCAAUGGGAAGUUAAUGCAACAAUAUGUCGCAUUAAAAUGCAUAUCAAGUGGUGUAUUCUUACCAACAAGAAAAAUAUAAAUAUCAAUGACGGUUCCAAUCUCAAGUUCCACAAAAAUUGUGCUGGUAGAGUUCAAGUCUCAAUGUUAAUACGUUGGAACCUUGUAGCCUAAUUAUUAUGAGAACUUUACACAAACACCUUUGUAGACACAUACAAAAGAUGAGAAAGGUGUAGCCCCAACAUCCCUAAGAGAGCAUGAUAAAAAUUCUCUUAUGUUAAAACUCUGUUUCACCCAAAAAAAAAUGAGAUUUUAUAAAUUAACAUAGCUUGCUACAUAAAAAACAAAAAUAAGGAAAAGAUUUUUUAAGGAUUUACUUCGUAGUCUCACAAGUCUUAUCCAAAGAAAACAUUAUCCCAUCCUUAAGAAAACAUUCAACUUAUCACAUUUUUCUUAUAUAUAAGAUGUUGAUGGCUAAUGGGAAUUACAGGAAUAACAAUAAGAUUGGCAGAUAUUUAUCCUCUUUUAACUAUAAAAAGGAAAGAGAUCGCAAGGACAGCAGAGAAAGAUUUUGUAUGCCAACCUGUUGGUUAUAGCUAUCUGUCAAUGAUGAAUUUUCAGCAGCCAAGGACUCUGCUAAAGCACGUGAAGCUUCAAGAGCUCGUUGCAAGGAGAAUUUCUCUUGCGUCAAGUCUUCAAUAUGCUGCAAUAACAGGACCAACAUAAACAAGAAUGUGACUGUAAUCGGUAGAAUUUUUGGCAACUAUCUCAGAGAAGUAACAGCAAAAACAUGUUGAAGUGAAAUUUGAUAGUUUCCUCUUGGUUCACAGGGAAACAAAGAGGAAAAGAAACGAUCAAAAGGGAUGUAUGCAUCACAUAACAUACCCCGACCACAAUUCCUAAAUAUAAUCCCAAUCAACUUUAAUAUUAACAUCCCACCAUUCUCCUCACAGCAGAUGCUAUGUGUUGUGAUGUUAUGUACACUAUUCCAUCUGGAUAAAAUUUUAAAGGACCCAAAAUCUAGUGCUGAGGAAUUCUUAUGUGUGCAUCACAAUACCAACAAGUCCUUGACAAACAUAUAUUUUAAUAAAUUGUGAAAAACACUUAAUUUUAUAAUAUUCAAAACAUUGCACUUGCAGAGCUAAAUUCACAAAUUUCCAAGGAAAUGCUAAAAAGAGACUAGUGAAGCAAGAACUAUCAAACAAAUAUUAAAUAACAGAAAACAGGGUACCUGUUCCAGAGCAGAAAAAUCUUCAUUUUGCUUGGGUUGAUAAAACUCAUGUUUUCUCUCCAUAAUGUUCUCGUUAGUAUUAGUGUUCAUUAUACCAACCCCAUUAGUAAAAGAAACUGAAGAUUUUGUUGCAUUAUCAAAUGAACUAGGUAUAUUUGAAGAAGCCAUCUCUGAUAAACUCCUGUCAGUUUUGGUCUCCACGGGAAGCUUCUGGAAAUCAGAUGAUCCUAAAGCAUCAAUGCCGUUUGAUUUGGAAGUAUUGAUUAUAAAUGAAUCCUCUGGUUCAGUCCGUUGGAAAGAACUACUAGAUGACGAUCUAGACACAUUAAGAGAGUCGAGGAAAGAUGGACGAGAUCUCCUAGAACUAUUUGAGUUGAAACCUGUGGAUUCAGAUGUCUGCGCAGCUGUAUCGUGCACAGGACGCAAACUACUAAUGGAGCUACUAAAAUUUCUUUCACCAAAAUCCAAAUUCAUGGGAUAAUUGAAACGCAUGUCCUGCUCAACUUCAGAAUCAGAAUCUCUCAGCUUCAUAUUUGGCAGGGUAGAGUCCACUGUAAAACCCCAAAACACAACUGUAUUAGUUUUUUUUUUUUUUGGAAAAUUAAAGAUUUGACAAAGUAAAACCUCAUAAUGUGUUGCUUAUUCAAACAGACAGACAUGGAAAUCCAGGAAAAAAUAUACAAUCCAAAUAGGAGGGGGACAUACCAGCAGUGGCAGGGGAGCUACUAUAACUGGGCUUAAAGGCUUGCUGUUCAGAGCUGGCAGAACUUGGAUAUGAAGUAAGGAAACGAGUACUAUCAUUAUUAACCACGGAAUGCUUUAAAGAUAUGUUAUUUUCUUUGGAUUGGAACAACUCCCUUCCAUAAAGGCUGGAUUGACUAGAACUGCCAUAAAAACCACUAACAAUAGAAUGGUCAGAUGAACUCCUGUCCCCUUGGCUCCCUGUAUAUAUUCCAGAUUCAUUAUUAAUUUUUUCUGUCUCUUGGCCAUACUUAACAUUGGCUGAUCCAGCGAGUCCUGAAGCAUCAUGCCUGUUUGAAUCAAAAUGAUUUGUGUGUUUCUCUGUUAUUCCUGAAAACAAUGUACUAAAAUCACUCAAUGAAGGAGGGCUAGGAUCUGCAUCUUUCAAAGAACUUUGUUCAACUUUCUCGGUAAUAUAAAUUUUGUUGCCAUUGUUCAUAAAUGCACCAAUGGGUUCAACAGGUCUGCCAGGUCCAUCAGAUGUGCCAACUCCAUCUGAAUCUGUUAGCCGUGCAUGUUCAGUCUCCAACAGUUGCUUCUGAUCUAGGCUCACAUCCAAAGCAUGAGGUUGGCUGGUGGGCGCAGCUUUCUUGGCUCGCUCUGCUGCCUUUUUCUUGCGGAACUCCUCCAACUGCAAAAGAACACAUAGACAUGGGGAAUAUGAUCUUACAACCAGAUUUUUUCAUGCUUUAAUCAGAUAAAAAAGCAAAAGAACUAAAAUAGAAGGAGCCAAGGAGCAGGAGGCUAUGGGUGUGAGGGACAUGUUACUUAAUCACCAGGUGUAUAGUCUAAAAUCUCUAAAGAACCACAAACAGAGACGCACAAGGGCAACAAACAAUUGCUGCUUCUUGACCUGAGAAGGCUAUCAAAGAUUUGCCAAAGCAGAGUCUCAAAAAGAAAUUGGAUGUACACAAUGCACUUUUUGUUAUUGCAAUGGAGGUGUUUGGAAAAUUGUUUUUCAGCUGAAAAGGCACACUGCCAAAAGCAUUAAAAAGCACCAUAAUUGGCUUUUACCCAAAAGGAAUAACCAAUUGGAAUUCUAGUGGACCACAACAAUCCUCUAAAAUAGAGUUGCAUGACGAGAAUCAUGCCUUCAAUCGAAUUAAAUUUACUUUUUAACUCUUUCAGCUCCGAGUCAGAAUUACAAGGAUGGUUUCAAGUCUUUCCUGAUUGCUUCCACUUGUUUCUGUGUAGAGUACUGAUCAUAGAAAUAUCCAAACCUUUCAUCUUUAAAGAGUUGCAUUUUAUUUCUAGCUCACCAACGGACAUACCUAAAGUCAUAACUGGAUCCUCAAAAACAAUAAAACCAGUAUGUAAUUCUGAUUUCUUUCUCUAGUCCAGUAAUCUCACAGUUAACAAAAAUUAUACACAUUCACUCCCCCGUCCGGCAAGAAAAAAGGCGAUUGCAGCAACAUGUUUAACUUGGAUCAGGAGCGCAAAGGUAAUAAAAACUAAAAAUUAUAUUUGAUUACCACCCAAAAAUACACAAUUCGCCAAAAAAAAAUAAAAACUCGAUUAUCUAAAUUGAAUCACAAAUCGUUGAUAAUGGAACCACAUGCAUGUUUCUCGCUGCACAUUUUGCAAAAGAAAAUUGAUGAUAUCAAAAUACACUUAAUCAGUUGCAUGAACAGAAACAAACCAAUCAAUCAAAUAAUGGAACAUACCCGUCGCUUUCCUGCUUCGAGAUGCUCCUGUUUCCGUGAGCUCGGCAACGCCUGAGCCGACGCCAUUUACCCCUCCAGAAGUUGAUACCCUCAAAUUCUCAUCCAAUUAAACUACUUAUCCACAAACCAAUCACAAUCACAAAAAAAGAAUCCAGAUCAAGAAAUAAAAAACGAAGGAAAUAUUGUAAUUCGAAAGGUAUAAUGGUGAGUUAAAUUCGGAUUUUGAAAUUUAAUUUAAUAGAAUCUUGAUUUUGUACGGACCGGAAAGGAAAAAAAAAGAGGUCCGAUCUGAUCGGGUGAGAGAGAGAAGGGAGGAUAGCUGUUUGUUGUGCGCAAAAAUAAAUUGUGGGUGCACUUCAGGCAGAUCUCCUUUGUUUUCUCUCUCUGUUUUUUUUUUUUUUUUUGGGUUUCGUGUAUUACGUUUUGAGUUUAAAUUUGGGGUGGAUGCGAGGGACAAAAUUACGUGCUGCUGCGUUUAAAAUGACGGGCGUUGGAUCUUUUGUGUUGUACUCCAACAGUAAUUAUUUUUUUUAGGAAAAAUGUUAUUAAUAUGUGCAAAUAGUUAUUAAUUUGUAAUAUUUGAAAAUUAACUUUUUUUAUGGAAACUUAGUAAUAUUUCCUUCUUUGUGGUAAUUUUUUAUCAAAACUAUAUUUAAUAAAUUGUAAUUAUCGCAAUUUUGAUGUAAUUAAUUAAAUUAUAAUAUUAUAAGAUGCAUUUUUAUGACAUAAUAGGUAAACAUAUUUUUACGUUACAUGCAUUGGAUAAUAUUCUUUUCCUUUUCUAAGAUAAUUAUACCGUAUCAUUUACAUGGAGAAAUUUUUUACCGCGAACACUGCAGUCAUUAUUAUUUUAAAUUAUGGAAUAUCGAGGGUAUUUACUUAUUGUUUUUAUAAAAAAUUGCUUCAUCUCUCUAUAAAUUAAUAAAUUACUCCGUAGAAUAAUACAGUGUAACUGUGAUUUAAUAAAUAUUGUUACUUAAAGGUAGAAGAGAGGUUUUUAAGUCGUAAUAUUAUAAAAUAUUUCAACAGCAAUAGCUACAUCACCAUUAUUGUUAUUAGCAUGUCAACGAGAAACACAAGGUUUACACGCGCGCGCGCGAAACAGAAACCAUACAUGAAGAAGAAAGAUGAGACAAGACAAACAUGGAAUUGGGAUUCAGAAGCAUUAUAAAGGCUUGUUCUUGGCUAGUUUCUUCAUGGAGUCAGUCCUAUAGGCCAGCAUCUUAUCGUAGGCAGGGAUGUUUUCUUUAACCACCGGAAGUUCGACGAAAUUCUUAGCCCAGGCGUGCAACCGAGGCAAAGUGCUUGGUUCCAACACUUUCACACCUUUUGCUUCUUCCACGGCUGCAAACCAAUAACCCAACACUCCAUAUGAGAUGUCGACGAGAUUUAUACUUUCACCGCCAAAAAACUUCUUGUCUCCAAGACCUUGCUCCUCCAAGAUUUUCAGCCACUCCGCCAGUUCUUUUGCUGCCUUCUCGAGCUCCUCUCCGCUACCGUGGCAAAAUGCACGAAAGGCAGCACCCUAAAUACCCACAGAGUUUGAUUAUUUCUUGAAUAUAAUAAAACAAAAAAAUCGAGUAAUAAAAAUUCAAAAGUUUUUAAGAAAGCUAGGACUAAAUUGAAAUCUUGGAAUCAAUUUCUCUUUCCUUAGGACCGCAACCUACCAAGUACCAGAUCAAACUAAAAGAUUUCAGGAACCAGAAACAGUUGAAUGAAAAAUAGAGGAGGAGACCUGUAACUAGAUCGAUAACCUCACCUUGGUGACUCCAUACUGGAUCCAGAACCGAGCCAUGGCUCUCUCGUAAGGGUCUUUGGGGAGCAAUGGAUUUUCAGGCCAUGUUUCUUCGAUGUAUUCAAGGAUAACAAGAGACUCCGCAAUUGGUUUGCCACCAUGAACAAGAACUGGGAUCUUCUUGUAAACUGGGUUGUACUUCAAGAGCGAUUCACUCUUGUUAGAAAGGUCUUCUUCUAUGUAUUCAUACUCCACACCUUUUAAUUUCAGAGCCCAUAUGAUUCUGUGACUAAAAGGGCUCGGCCAGAAGCCAUAUAGCUUCACUUCUGCCAUUGUUUUGAUGAGGUCAGGAUGCAAGGUCUGCAGCAGUGGAAACCCAUUUUAUACUUACUUUUCGCUUCAUUUUAUUUUUUUAUUAAAUUAAUUAUUUUUAAAUUAUUUUAAUGUGGUGAAAUAAAAAAAAAAAUUUAAAAUUAUUAUUUUAAUAUUUAAAAAAUAUCUUAAAAACAAUUAUUAUAAUAAAUCCAAACACUAUCGUAACUUACAAGCUGUGGAUUUUGACUUUGAACAUAUACAUGCAUGUCUUGUCUUCGGAUUAGGUGGUGGAUCUGGAGUUGUGGACACAUCACUUAUGAACCCGUGUGAUUUUCGUAGAAAUUUCGAUGCCCUGCUCCAAGAUCCUACAUCAUUUUCAAGAUAUUAAUUAUUUAAAAAUUUGGAAAAGCAGAGAAAUGAACUAUUCCUGCAUUGACUGCCCUUUUUCUUUGUUAACCUUCUGCUAAGUAUCUAUUGACUGUUGAAACAAUCUUAAUUUACCAAAAUGAACCGUUGAUUUAAGGAAACAUAAGGCAGCUGUCUAAUCUCUAGUGGUGAUGGUGGCAAGCAUGAGGUUGACGAAUAUUAAUAUAUUAAAAAAAUUAAUUUGAAACAAAUAAAAAAAAUACAAAAUUUUUAUGUUUUUAAAAAAAUAUUUUAAAAAUAUAUAUAAAAAAAAACAGUCAAAAAUCUUGAUCAUGGUCGGGGAAGAUUGUGUGUUAAAAAUUACAAGUAAUCUGAACCAAAUGUAAAUGCUAUUUUAAAAGUUUUUUUGCCUUUGGCUUGACCCAAGUCUGAGCUUCUCCUAGGACCUCUUUUCUUUAAAGAUUUUGAUUGCCUCACAGAGUUUAUUUUUAACUCUUUUAACUUUUUACUGUAUGUUCCCAUAAAAUCUUGUGAUCUUUCAAAUGAGAUUAAGAGUUUUUGAGAUAACAAAAUACGAUAAUUAAAGGUUAUUUAAAAUUAUUUUUUCAUUCACUCGUAACUUGGAAGUUGAUGUUUUAUGGUAAAAUAACCUUUUUGGAGAAUAAAUUCUAACAUAUUUUUAACUUAAAAGUAAAUAGAUCUCAUUUUUAAUUUUAUCUUAAAUGUGUAUAUUAACUAUAUUUUAAAACAAAAAUUUUAAAACUUCAUACAUGUAUGCAAGUGAGGAAAAGUGCGUUUAUUUUUAUGUUCAAAAUAAUAUUUUUAAAAAAUAUUUUUGUUUUAAAUUAUUUUUCUAUAAUUUUAGAUAAUUUUGAUGUAUUGAUAUUAAAAAUUAAUAUUUAAAAACUAAAAAAUAUAUAUUAUAUUAAUAUAUAUAUUUUUAAUAAUAUUUUUAAAAAUAUCAAUUUGAACAAACUUGACUGCAAUAAUCUCGCCCGUAGCUGCUAAUGUAUGAAAUUUCCAUCCCAAGGAAAUAUCUGCAAGUUCAAUUCUGUCACGGUCGAAAUUUUUUUGUCCUCCUUGAAGCAGAGUAUAACAGAGAGAGGAGUAUAACAGAGUGUUUUCAAGAGAAAUUUUCCACCCUUUAUGAAUUUGUUGACGAUCAGAUUUAAAUGUACGGAAUUAUAAAGGAAUUAUAGUAAGUUAAAUAUAGAAUGAUUUGCAAUUGUUUUUCUAGAAUACUGCUGCACUAUAGAAUAAAUAGCAAAAUACAUGCUUGACAAGAUUUUCAUUCUAAGAAAGGUAUCAAUAAGUUUACUUUAUAUAUAUAUCAUAAUAAAAUAUAUCACCACUCAAAUGGUUUGUAUUCUCUCUUUCUUUUUUUAGUUUUCUUAAAAAAAUUAAAUUAUUUUAAUAUAUUUUUCCUCACUUGUAAAAUAGUUUAUUUUUGUAAUCAAUUCUUCUUGUAUUACUAUUAUUGCAAAACUAUGAAAAAAAAACAAAUAUAAUUACGAUGGUGAUUUAUUUUUUAAAAAAUAAAUUCAUAUGUACCUUUUUUCUUAAUUCUACAUAUAUAAAGAAUUCACGUUCAAGUUUAAAUAGUUUAAGACCAUUCUACUCAAUAAAUUAGGCCAAGUGCUCUCUUCUCAAGAAAAUGAAUGCUUUAUAAUUUAUAUUCUGAAUAGCCCAAAGGAAAAGUACUUACCUUUUCGUCUAUCCAAAACAAAACCAGGAGCCAGGGAGCAUUAGGAUCCUUCGCCAGCAGAGGAUUUUCUGGCCAUGCAUCUCAAUUUGCAUUUGAGAUCUUGACCGUGGUGGAUUUGUUUCCUUUCUCAAUACCAGGUUCAAAUUUUAUUGUGCAUGUCUGUUACCUUUAUAGUGUAUUAUAUACUUACUGGAUUUGUAGAAUGUUCAAUAGACCAUAAAAUUAAUCGUGAUACGCGCAAGCUGCCCGGACAUCCACGUAAAUAAAUAAAUAAAAAAUCAAUCUCAAUUUUAAACGGGACAUUUAAGCUAAUAAAAGUACUGCUUGUACUUGAGUCCGGCACGGUUUAUUUUUAUAUUUAAAAAAAUUAAAAAAAAUUAAAUUUUUUUAUUAACAAGCACUGGGAUUUUUUUUUACUAUUAAAAUAAAUACUAAAAAAAAACACAUUCUUUGAACCGUGUAUACACUCAUAUUUCUCCAUGGAUUUCCAUAAUAAGAUUACCAUUUUGUCUUUAAUAAUUAAAAAGUUUUAUAGCAUACUUUCAAGGGUAAUAUGAUAUUUUUCACGGACACAUUUGCAAGAUUGAAUGGAGAUUAAAAAGCUUUCAUCCUUUUAUUUCCACAGAAUAAUGUCUAAAAUAACUUUAAAAAUUGAAUUUGCUUAACCGUUAGGACAUGGGUGUAUUCAAAAUUUUCUUCUUUUGGGCAUACUGUAAUUACUAAAAUAUCAUUUGAAUAAAAAAAUAUAUAACUAAGAAUGAGGGGUUUAGUUAAUAUCAUGUGGGGUUAGGGACAUUUAGGUAUUUACAUAAAUUAAAUUAAAAAACAAAGAAAAGUUACGAGUACAUGCAACGUACCUGUCAGUGUAUAGACACCUUUUAGAUGGCGCAUCUAACGUCUUCCAGCUGUCAAAAAAGGCCGAACAGUAUCUCUUCUAAAGGAUAAUGUUGAGGCAUAUCCACUAGAGGGACGCGUGUCAUCCAUAUUGGUGUUGGAUUCCCCAUUAUUUUCUCUUUUAUUUUUCCCUUGGAAAACAUGCAGCUAAAAUUAGGAGUAAUACACUAUUUUCAUCUUACUUUAAUUAUAGCCUUCAUUCUUGUGAUUCCUUUUUAUUUGUUUUAGAUUUAUUUUUUAAUUUUAUCUCUUAAUAUUUAAUUUUAUUUUAUACUUUUAUACCUUAUCCUUAUCCUUUUGAUUUGUAAAUCUCCAUUCUAAGAAAUAGAGUUUGGUUAACUAGUUCUUUUAUUCCUUUUAGUACUUCCUUCACUCAUGGAAGGUAACACAUAACGAGUCCACAGGACUCGAAGACGGGCCGAGGCCUAUCACAACGAACAGCUGAAAGACGACACGAGUACAAUAAAGAGACAGACGAGACACGAAAAAAGAGGCCCUGAACAGUGAAAAAUGCACCACAGAUCCCGUUAUUAUCUGGAUCGCCGCCGCGAUCAGGCAGAUGCAGCCAUUGCUUCUCUGCGACGCUUAAAGAAGGUAACCAACCAGUCCCUAUCCGGAAGGUUUUCUUUAAUUAUAGGCGCUUGCUUGAAGUUUUGAAUCCAGGCAUGCAGGCGAGGAAACUUGUGGGCUUCAAAUAUUACUCCUUCCCCUACUGCUAAUUCUUCAACGAUUUCCAACCAAUAAACAACAGAACCAAAGGCUAUAUCUGCCAUGUUGGUGGGAGGAACCACUGGUGGUGGCUUGGAAAUACUGAGAGGGGAUAAAACACACUGGUUUUAUUACAAAAUCCGAAGCUUACAAUAACACAAUAAAAGCUUAACAAUUACACAUCCUCUCUCUCUCUAUUCUCUUUUAAGUGUUUCUCACAAUUCUCUCCACACAAAAUAACAUAACUGAGCAUCCUAUUUAUACAUAAAUUCAGAAUACGAAAAUCUACUGUUCUAAACACUAUCGUAACUUACAAGCUGUGGAUUUUGACUUUGAACAUGUACAUGCAUGUCUUGUCUUCGGAUUAGGUGGUGCAUGUGGAGUUGUGGACACAUCACUUAUGAACUCGUGUGAUUUUCGUAGAAAUUUCGAUGCCCUGCUCCAAGAUCCUACAACAUUGUCAAGAUAUUAAUUAUUUAAAAAUUUGGAAAAGCAGAGAAAUGAACUAUUCCUGCAUUGACUGCCCUUUUUCUUUUGUUAACCUUCUGCUAAAAGUAUCUAUUGACUGUUGAAACAAUCUUAAUUUACCAAAAUGAACCGUUGAUUUAAAGAAACAUAAGGCAGCUGUCUUUAAUCUCUAGUGGUGAUGGUGGUAAGCAUGAGGUGAUUUGAUGAAUAUCUCAGUGCUUCUUUGAAGAGAGGCUGUUUAGUAUUUUAGUGUUGUUUUUUACAGUAUUUUUAUUUAGAAAUAUAUUAAAAUAAUAUAUUUUUUAUUUUUUAAAAUUUAUUUUUAAUAUUAAUAUAUUAAAAAAUCUAAAAUUAUAAAAAAAAAUUAAUUUGAAACAAAUAAAAACAUACAAAUUUUUUAAAUUUUUAUUUAAAACAUAAAAAGAAUCAGAAUUAAAGUAGUCAAAAGCUUGAUCAUGGUCAGGGAAGGUUGUGUGUAAAAAAUUACUAGUAAUCUGAACCAAAUGUAAAUGCUAUUUUUAACUCUUUUAACUUUUACUGUAUAUGUUCCCAUAAAAUCUUGUGAUCUUUCAAAUGAGAUUAAGAGUUUUUGAGAUAACAAAAUACGAUAAUUAAAGGUUAUUUAAAAUUAUUUUUUCAUUCACUCGUAACUUGGAAGUUGAUGUUUUAUGGUAAAAUAACCUUUUUGGAGAAUAAAUUCUAACAUAUUUUUAACUUAAAAGUAAAUACAUCUCAUUUUUAAUUUUAUCUUAAAUGUGUAUAUUAACUAUAUUUUAAAACAAAAUUUUUAAAACUUCAUACAUGUAUGCAAGUGAGGAAAAGUGCGUUUAUUUUUAUGUUCAAAAAAUAUUUUUAAAAUAUAUUUUUGUUUUAAAUUAUUUUUUCUAUAAUUUUAGAUAAUUUUGAUGUAUUGAUAUUAAAAAUUAAUAUUUAAAAAUUAAAAAAUAUAUAUUAUAUUAAUAUAUAUAUAUAUAUUUAAUAAUAUUUUUAAAAAUAUCAAUUUGAACAAACUUGACGGCAAUAAUCUCGCCCGUAGCUGCUAAUGUAUGAAAUUUCCAUCCCAAGGAAAUAUCUGCGAGUUCAAUUCUGUCACGGUCGAAAUUUUUUUGUCCUCCUUGAAGCAGAGUAUAACAGAGAGAGGAGUAUAACAGAGUGUUUUCAAGAGAAAUUUUCCACCCUUUAUGAAUUUGUUGACGAUCAGAUUUAAAUGUACGGAAUUAUAAAGGAAUUAUAGUAAGUUAAAUAUAGAAUGAUUUGCAAUUGUUUUCCUAGAAUACUGCUGCACUAUCUGUUUGCAUUAAUAUACACAUGAUUUUCGGCUCGGAGUCUGGUGGACUCGUUUUGCCAUUAGUUGUCUUAAUACUCAGAGCCCCUGCUCUUCUAUGCUUCUCAAGGUCCGCAGAGUAUUAUUUAUUAGCUCCUCCACAUACGUGAAAAAAAAAGAUGUUUAGUGUUAUUUCAUAAUUUGUUAAUAUUAUUUUUUAAAGUAUUUUUUAUUUAGAAAUAUAUUAAAAUAAUAUUUUUUUAUUUUUAAAAAAUUAUUUUUGAUAUUAACAUAUAAAAAUAAUUCAAAAACAUUCAAAAAAUAAUUUAAAGUAAAUUGUUUUAAAAACUUUAAUAAAAAACAAAUUCAAUCUGAAUUACAAACAGGAUAUAAGUUAAUAAAAGUAAUGCCUGCACUUGAGUUCAUCUUCAAUGGCAAUACAUUUUAAAAAAAUAAAAAUAAAUAGCAAAAUACAUGCUUGACAAGAUUUUCAUUCUAAGAAAGGUAUCAAUAAGUUUACUUUAUAUAUAUAUCAUAAUAAAAUAUAUCACCACUCAAAUGGUUUGUAUUCUCUCUAUCUUUUUUUAGUUUUCUUAAAAAAAUUAAAUUAUUUUAAUAUAUUUUUCCUCACUUGUAAAAUAGUUUAUUUUUGUAAUCAAUUCUUCUUGUAUUACUAUUAUUGCAAAACUAUGAAAAAAAAACAAAUAUAAUUACGAUGGUGAUUUAUUUUUUAAAAAAUAAAUUCAUAUGUACCUUUUUUCUUAAUUCUACAUAUAUAAAGAAUUCACGUUCAAGUUUAAAUAGUUUAAGACCAUUCUACUCAAUAAAUUAGGCCAAGUGCUCUCUUCUCAAGAAAAUGAAUGCUUUAUAAUUUAUAUUCUGAAUAGCCCAAAGGAAAAGUACUUACCUUUUCGUCUAUCCAAAACAAAACCAGGAGCCAGGGAGCAUUAGGAUCCUUCGCCAGCAGAGGAUUUUCUGGCCAUGCAUCUCAAUUUGCAUUUGAGAUCUUGACCGCGGUGGAUUUGUUUCCUUUCUUAUACCAGGUUGAAAUUUAAUUGUGCAUGUCUGUUACCUUCGUAGUGCAUUAUAUACUUACUGGAUUCGUAGAAUGUUCAAUAGACCAUAGAAUUAAUCGUGAUACGUGCAAGCUGCCCGGACAUCCAUGUAAAUAAAUAAAAAAAAAUCAAUCUCAAUUUUAAACGGGACAUUUAAGCUAAUAAAAGUACUGCUUGUACUUGAGUUCGGCACGGUUUAUUUUUAUAUUUAAAAAAAAUUUAAAAAAAAUUAAAUUUUUUUAUUAACAAGCACUGGGAUUUUUUUUUACUAUUAAAAUAAAUACUAAAAAAAAACACAUUCUUUGAACCGUGUAUACACUCAUAUUUCUCCAUGGAUUUCCAUAAUAAGAUUACCAUUUUGUCUUUAAUAAUUAAAAAGUUUUAUAGCAUACUUUCAAGGGUAAUAUGAUAUUUUUCACGGACACAUUUGCAAGAUUGAAUGGAGAUUAAAAAGCUUUCAUCCUUUUAUUUCCACAGAAUAAUGUCUAAAAUAACUUUAAAAAUUGAAUUUGCUUAACCGUUAGGACAUGGGUGUAUUCAAAAUUUUCUUCUUUUGGGCAUACUGUAAUUACUAAAAUAUCAUUUGAAUAAAAAGAUAUAUAACUAAGAAUGAGGGGUUUAGUUAAUAUCAUGUGGGGUUAGGGACAUUUAGGUAUUUACAUAAAUUAAAUUAAAAAACAAAGAAAAGUUACGAGUACAUGCAACGUACCUGUCAGUGUAUAGACACCUUUUAGAUGGCGCAUCUAACGUCUUCCAGCUGUCAAAAAAGGCCGAACAGUAUCUCUUCUAAAGGAUAAUGUUGAGGCAUAUCCACUAGAGGGACGCGUGUCAUCCAUAUUGGUGUUGGAUUCCCCAUUAUUUUCUCUUUUAUUUUUCCCUUGGAAAACAUGCAGCUAAAAUUAGGAGUAAUACACUAUUUUCAUCUUACUUUAAUUAUAGCCUUCAUUCUUGUGAUUCCUUUUUAUUUGUUUUAGAUUUAUUUUUUAAUUUUAUCUCUUAAUAUUUAAUUUUAUUUUAUACUUUUAUACCUUAUCCUUAUCCUUUUGAUUUGUAAAUCUCCAUUCUAAGAAAUAGAGUUUGGUUAACUAGUUCUUUUAUUCCUUUUAGUACUUCCUUCACUCAUGGAAGGUAACACAUAACGAGUCCACAGGACUCGAAGACGGGCCGAGGCCUAUCACAACGAACAGCUGAAAGACGACACGAGUACAAUAAAGAGACAGACGAGACACGAAAAAAGAGGUCCUGAACAGCGAAAAACGCACCACAGAUCCCGUUAUUAUCUGGAUCGCCGCCGCGAUCAGGCAGAUGCAGCCAUUGCUUCUCUGCGACGCUUAAAGAAGGUAACCAACCAGUCCCUAUCCGGAAGGUUUUCUUUAAUUAUAGGCGCUUGCUUGAAGUUUUGAAUCCAGGCAUGCAGGCGAGGAAACUUGUGGGCUUCAAAUAUUACUCCUUCCCCUACUGCUAAUUCUUCAAUGAUUUCCAACCAAUAAACAACAGAACCAAAGGCUAUAUCUGCCAUCCCUACACUAUCUCCACCAAAAAAUUUCUUCUCCCCUAACCCGUGUUCUUCAACGGUUUGCAACAUUUCCAGGGUUUCCUUCGUUGUCUUCUCAAGCUCUUCCCCUUUAGCACGAAACAUUCUCCACACUGAUAUACCCUGAAGCCAGAAUUAACCAUGAAAUUAAUCGAUGAAAACUAAAUGGAUUACCAAAGAAAAUUAAGCUUAACAAGUCCAGUUUUAUAGGUAUGAAUCAUGAAAUGUACAAUAAUGUCUGCACGCUGUACCUUAUCUUCGGCAAAUUUGACCCAGAAACGAGCCAGAGCUCUCUCGUAGGGGUCAAUUGGCAGCAAUGGAUUUUGGGGCCACAUCUCAUCGAUGUAUUCGACAAUGAUCAUGGACUCGCAAACAGGCUUGUCGCCAUGGAGAAGCACUGGGAUCUUCUUGUGAACAGGGUUAUACUUGAGGAGCAGCGGGCUUUUAUUGGUGAGAUCUUCUUCUAUAAACUCGUAUGGAAUAGCCUUUAAUUUUAGAGCCCAUAUCACUCGGUAAACAAAUGCGCUGGGCAAUGCUCCGAGCAGCUUAACUCCUUCAGCCAUGACUGAGAGGUUUGUGGUGAUUCUUCACCGUUACCUUCCACACUCCUUUAUAGUGUUAAUUCAACGGAAGAGUCUUGCUUGGGCAGCAAUUCAACUUUACCUUUGAAGGAGUUCUCUAUUCCACUCCAUAUUGAUGUAUUUGCUUACGUGAUCAUAUUCAUAAACAAAUGUAUUUAUAUAAUCUAUUCGCCAAAAUCAGAGAUUGAAGAUGCUAAAACAUGAUCUAAUUAAAUUAAAUAUAUUCUACUUCUCUUCUCUUUUCUUUAUGCUCGAGUUUAAUCAUGUUUUAAGUUUAAUUAUAUUUUUUCUGAGGAAAAAAGUUUGGAUUUUCCUCUCUCUCUCUCUAUUCUUUUUAAUUAUGUGUGGAAAGAGACAUAAAUACGAAGAUAAGAAAUAAAAUAUUAAUUAAAAAUAUGUCCAGCAGUGAAUGUGUCGCAAUUUCCCGGAACAUACUCGAUGUUAUUGAUGUUGACUAUACAUCAUCUUCUGGAUGUUGCUACAUGAUAGUCGUCAUGCAUGAUGAUAUCAAUACUAAAAUCAUGUUUUUCCAUUUUAAAUUAUUUUUUUAUAUUAUUUUAACAUAAUAUUAAAAAUAAAUUUUUUAAAAAUAAAAAAUAUAUAUUAUUAUAUUUUAACAUAAUAUUAAAAAUAUAUUCUUUAAAAAAUCACCACUAUUAUUAGUUUUCUUUCUUUUUUAGUUUUCUUAAAAAAAAUAAAUUAUUUUAAUAUUUUUUUUCCUCACUUGUAAAAUAGUUUAUUUUUCUAAUCAAUUCUUCUUGUACUACUAUUAUUAUAGUGAUUUAUUUUUUAAAAUAUAAAUUUAUAUGUACCUUUUUCUCAAUUGUACAUGUAUAAAGAACUAAAGUUCAAGUUUAAAUAAAUCAUAUUAGGGAUGAGAAAAAAAAUUGAUAAUUAAUUAAACUAAGAAAACAAAAAUAAAUAAUUAAAAAAAUCAAUUAAACUGGCUAAAAUAUUAAAAAAAUAUCAGGUUUGGUUCGGUUUUAUAACUUUAAAACUGAAAAAACAAACAGAACAAAAAACAUAAAAAAACCGAAAUCAAGUCCAUUACAAAGUUAAAAAAAAACCCCACAAAAUCAAUAUAGUUUUUAGUUUUUAAUAUAAAAUAAUUGAACCGUACAUAACUAUAUCAGAACCGAAACUGGUCGGUUAAGUUUUAAUUUUUAAUAUAAAAUAAUUAAAUCGAAUCAAAACUAAUUAAUUUAAACUAAUUUCAAUUUAAUUAUUUUUAUUGGUAAAAACUAAACAUAAAAUUAUCACACCUAAUUUAGACCAUUCUACUCAAAGAAUUAGGCCAAGUUCUCUCCUCUCAAAAAAAUGAAUGCUUAAUAAGUUACAUUCUGAAUAGCCCAAAGGAAAAGUACUAAACUUUUCGAGCAAGGGAUCUCUCAUAAGUCAUAAGGAUCCUUCGCUAGCAUAGGAUUUUCUAGCCAUGUAUCAUCGAUGCAUUCAAGAAUCACUCGCCAGUCAUAAAAAGCUUGGAAUCAAGAGAUUUAUUUUUUUUGUGGUUUCAGGUUCGAGUCUUGGGUUACUCAUAUGAUGACCACUAGACACUUACAUGGUCGUUAACUUCAGGCCCAUGAGAUUAGUCAAGGUACGCGCAAGUUGGCCCGGACACCCACGUUAAACUAAAAAAAAAAAAAAAAAUCACCGUAGACUCCGCUAAUGGUUUUCCAUCAUUAACAAGCACUGGGGAUUUAUUUUUUUAUUGGGUUGCACUGCAAAAUCAAGUUAUUUUGUGGUAUGUUUUUUUUUUGUGUUUUAAAACUUAAAAAAAAUUAAAUUAAAUUUUUUUUAUUUUUUUAUUAACUUUAAAUUAAUAUAUUUUUAGUGUUUUCAAAUCAUUUUUAUUUGUUGAUGUCAAAAAUAAUUUUUAUAAAAUAAAAAAAUAUCAUUAACAUGCAUUUUAAUACAAAAUAUUAUUUAAAAAAUAAUCAAAACCACACUGCCAAAGCGAUCGUCUUCUUCACACUCAUAGCUAACGCCCUUUAGUUUUAUAGCCCAGAUAACCCGCUGGCUGCAUGUGGGUAUUGAUCAUUGCAGGCUUUUUAUUUAUUUAUUUACGUGGGUGUCCGGGUCAGUUUGCACGUACCACGACUAAUUCCACGACCCACUGAACAUCCUGCAAACCCAGCAAGCAUGUAAGGCACCGCGGGGUGACAGGCGUGCACAAUGAGAUUUGAACCCUGGUGCAGAGAAAGGAAACAAGCCCCUUCCAUCACUAGACCAAGACCUCAAGUGCCAUCGGCAAAGUAAUGGAGAAUUAGAAGAGCAAUAAUCAAAGUUAGGCUCCAUGAUUUGAUGAAGUAUUGUUUUUUAUCCGUGGGAGAUUCUGUUCAAGUUGAGAUUGCAUAUGAAAAUUCUAAAUAAAUUGGAGGGUUAUUGCUUUCUUUCAUAUAGAUCACAGAGAAUUUAUUCUAGGAUGCAGAUACUGGGGCUUUCCAGCUGAAAAGGAGAAAUUGAAAGAGAGAAAAAACGAUCACAAGGUUCUUGGAUAUCUCCAAAAUAAUACAUCAGGUACAAUAAUUUAACGUCACUGGAUAAUCUUAGCUUGUAAUCCAGUUAGAUUUUAGUCUCCACAACAUAAAGGUCUCGCUUGGCUAAAAUCCAGAUUUCUCCUGCAUAGAUCACACAUUGGGCUACUAGACUUCUAGUGAUCAUGACCCUACAUAGACGGGUCUGAGAGAAACAUCUGCCUUAAGCGUCUAAAAUGCACCAGCAGUCUCUCAGGAUCCGGAAGGUUCUCUUUUAUCACCGGAAUUUCUUUAAGGCGGUGAAUCCAGGCAUGUAGGCGAGGCAAAGUGCUUGGUUCCACCAAUUUCACACCAACCACUUCUUCCGAGGCUUCAAACCAGUGAGCCAGCCACCCAUAUGCUAUAUCUACCAUUCCAAUGUUUUCCCCUCCGAGAAACUUCUUGUCUCCGAGGCAUUGUUCUUCGAGGAUUUUUAACACUUCUAAUGCUUCUUUUGCUGCCUUCUCUUUCUCUUCUUCAGUUGCUCGGAACAGUGAAAAAAAUGUCAUGUCCUGGAUAAUCAAGGAUAUAUUUACUCUCAGCUUGAUCUUAAAGGCCAGAAAUAUAAGAAGAUCGGAGCUAUAAUCAAUGGAAAACUGGAACUUUGUGUUCCAAAUAAGAUCCAGAAAAUAACUACCAUACUGAUAAAUUCUCGCACAAAGAACUUGAAAAAAUUAUUGAACUUCCAUGUUUUUUUACUAAUUCGCAAAUAAUUCAUAGCAAAAAAGAAAUUAAUUGAGCAAGCGAGGAUUUACCUUGUCUAUUCCAAAUUGAAUCCAGAAUCGAGCUAUGGCUCUCUCAUAAGCAUCUUUUGGUAGCAAAGGAUGAUCCGGCCACGUUUCUUCUAUGUAUUCAAGAAUAACCAUGGACUCCACAAUUGGUUUGCCGCCAUGAACAAGUAUCGGAACCUUCUUAUGAAUCGGGUUGUACUGCAAUAGUGCUUGACUUUUGUUGGAAAGGUCUUCUUCUACGUACUCAUAUCUGAUACCCUUUAGUUGCAGUGCCCAUAUCACUCUGUAACAGUACGGGCUAGGCCAGAAACUAUGCAGCUUCACUUCUUCCAUUGUUUUUGAGAGAUCUGGGCCAAAAAAGUCUAGUUGCAGAGCAAGUCAAAGUCUACAAACAAACUAGAUAGGUGGCACGCGGCUGUCGAUUUCUUUCCUAACCUAAAAACACAAUGUUACAGCGUUCGCCACCCAUUUAAAGCAAAAUAAAAUAUUAUAACUUGGUAUUUUUUUUAUUAUUAUUAUUAUUAUGGAAGUGUUGGAUUAACUUGCAUGUACCUUGAUUAAUUCAAUAGACUUUAAAGUUAAUGAUCAUGUAAAUUUUCAGUAGCAAUUAUAUUAGCAAUCACAAGGUUCGAACCUAAGAUCACAGAAAAAAAUCUCAGUUAUAAAUUUUAAUAUCAAAGGACGAUGAGAAAUUAAAAAAAAAAAAAAAAGCCAACCUAACUAGGGUUGAUAUAACAACCUUAUGAUAAAAAAUGAAGAGCAAAUUUAAUAUAUAUAUAUAUAUAUAUAUAUAUAUAUAAAUGAUAUAAAAACUAUAAACUAAUCUAAGCCAUUAUAACAAAUGCGUAAACUCAUGGUAGAAAGAAAAAAAAUAUUUAAUCUUUAAUAAAUUCAAUGUUAAAUGAAAAAAUAAAAAAUAUAGCAAAAAUAAACACAUAAAAAAGAUCAAUAUUAAUUCAAGUUAAAAUUUUGUAUCUGUAAUUCGGAUCAUAAGAUUAGAAUCAAUGCAAAAAAAUUUAACGAAACUCAAUUCUAAACAAAUCAAAUGUUGAAGGAUUAAAUUGAAAAAAUAAAUUGAAGAAAAGAACCAAGAAAAAAAUAAUAAUUAAAAUAAUAAGAGUCAAGUCUCACAUAAAAAUCAAAUAACUAUGAAUGAAAUUGAAAAAUUAUUUUUUAAAAAAUAACAAUCAAAAGAAUAUGGACCAAAUUUGAUAUAAAUACCAAAUAAAACAAAAUACUAAGGGAUAAAAUUAAAAAAAAUUCAAAAAAAAAAAUUAUAAAAAUAAGAAUUAUAAUUAAAAUAAAAAGAAAAUAGAGUAUUACUCUUAAUUUUAGGUGGACUUGCAUGUUUUCCAAAUAAAAGAAAGAGAAAAUAAAGGGGAAUCCAACCUUCACUUAACCAUCAUGAUAUGGAUGGCAUCAUAGGCGGAGGCAUGGCAAAGGCUAGGGUGGGCUUUUGCCUAGGUCAAGAUUUUAUCAAUAUUUUUUAAUUAGUUUUAUGUAAAAAAAAUUUAUAAUUCUCAAUUAAGUUAUUAAAUUUUUUUGAAAAUUUACGUGGAGCCUUCUAAUAUGAUGUUUUAGCUUGGGUUAAAAUUUCAGAAUUUUUGAAGAAAUUUAGAAUUUUGAUGAAAAAUCACAAUUUGAUCAGUUUUACGUUAUUGGACGUAAUUUUUAAUCCGACCAUUAGAUCGAGUUUAAAUUUUAUGAGGGAUCUUAAAAUAUAUUGAAUAAAAUUUAGGUAAGAUUUUAGGAUGAACGGAGCUUGGUAAUGCUAACAAAAAAAAAGAACCAUCAAAUAAAAACAAAAUGACUCAUUAAGAGUAAAAUGAUUAUUUGCAAUUAAAAAAUAAAACAAAUCAGUUCUUCCUUCCUUUUAUAUGUUGCCGACUGAGCAAAAGUAAAAUAGAAGAAUAAAAAAAAGAAAAGGCGAGAGAAAAAUAGAAAAAAGUAAGGGAAAAACAUAAAAAAAUUCCAAGAAAAAAAAAUAAGAAGUGAGAGUAUAACCUUGUAAACUUACAAAGUCCAACUUAUAAAACACUAAUAUAGGGAAGAAUCAAGUGAAUGAAGAAGGAAUUAAAAGAGGGAGAAAAUUUAAUUACUUUGAUUUCCAGUUGACAUGAGAUUGUUAUUUUAUCCUGGUUGAAGGGUUGUUACAAUAUCGAUUCAGAUUCGAUUAUAGAUGAAUUAUAUUUCACAAAACAUCGAAGAAUGUAACUUUAAUAAUGAGUUUAUUUUUAUUUUCGCUUUAAUUUUAUGUAUUUUCAAAUUUAUUUUUUAAUAUUUUGGAUAGUGUAUUUAAAUUAAAAUUUUACUAUUAAUUUUAAAAAUUCAUGUACAUGAGUUAAUAAUCGAUCUUAAAAAAUAUUUAUAUAUUUAUUUAAUAGCUCAGGAUAAAAAAAAUUCCCGAGUCGAUGACAUGUGUUACUCUAGUAGAUGUGUUUUAACAAUAUCCUUCAAAAGAGACGGUGUUCAGCUUUUUUGUUAUAGCUAGAAGACAUUGCAUAUACUAGCAAGUGCGUUCUAUGCACUCGUAACUUUUUUCUAUUUUAUUUAAUUUAAUUUAUGGAAAUACCCAAGUGUCCGUAAUCCCACAUGAUGUUAACUAAAAAACCAUAAUAAAAGGACCAAAAGGCCCCUCAAUCUUAGUUACAUAUUUUUUUAUUCAAAUGAUAUUUUAGUAAUUACACUAUGCCAAGAAGGAGAAAAAAUUAAAUACUCCCGUGUCCUAACGGUUAAGCAAAUUUAAUUUUAAGGAUAUUUUAGAUAUUAUACUGUAGAAAUAAAAUGCUAAAAGAAUUCUUUAUCUCCAUUAAAUCUGUAACAACAAAUAUAUCACGUGCUUAAGUUCUCUUGUUCGAGAGAUUUUCUAAUCUGACAAUUUGAUGCUUAAAAUAGCCAUUAUAUAUAAUUUAUACCACUUGUCAAUCACGUUUUCGGUUGGAGUAAAUGUUUUCUUAUGACAUUAAGUUUCAUUUAAGAUUACUACAUGACAUUAAUUUUCUUCAAUCUUUAUUCAAUCACAAACACGUACUCUUGUCAAAUUCAUCACAGAAAAACAGGGAUAUCACUUGAGAAGAGACGUGAGGCCGGGAAGGUUUUCUUUGAUCAUGGGAUCUUCCUUGAAAUCUUUGGUCCAGGAAUGCAGACGAGGGAAGUUUGGGCUUCGAGCAUCUUCAAACCCUUUUUUGAAUCACUGGCAACAAACCGAGCAAUUGCACCCAAUGCUAAAUCCACCAGGCCAACCUUCUGACCACCAAAAAACUUCUCGCUUGUUCCAUGUUCUUCGAUCUUUUUUAGCAUCUCGGAGGCAUCCUCGAUGGCUUGCUUUUCUUCUUCUCCAUUGGUACGAGCUAUUCUCCAUAGCAUUGGGAUCUGCUAACAGAGCAAAAGUCAGUAAACAGAGCAGCAUCGGAGCAAUCAUGCAUCAUUGCCCCUGUACAGUAUCCCGUUCUCCUCUGAUCAUUUACUCAUGAGCAGGUGCUGAAUUUUGAUUUAGAUUUGAAGAACUUGCUGGGGGAAUUUUGUUGUCCCUCUAAUAGAAAAUUCGCUGCGCACGUAUUAACCAAAUUUGACAGCUGAUAAAUAAAUUGUCAGGAACAAAAAUCAAAGCAUACCUUAUCCUCUGCAAACCUGAGCCAGAACCGAGCUACAGCUUUCUCAUAAGGGUCGUUGGGCAGCAUGGGGUAGGGCUGAGUAUUUCCGGCUCGGUCCGGUUUUAAAUCAAAAUAAACAACCAAAUCGAAUUUUUUAAGGCUCUGUUUGUUUGCUGGAAAGUAGUUUCUUUUUGGAAAAUGAAUUCCGGGGAAAGUGAAUUCCAGGAAAGUAUUUUCCGAUGUUUGGUAGUGUAAUGAAAAAUGAGUUGGAAAACACUUUCCAGUGUUUGGUUAUGUUAUGGAAAAUAAGCUGGAAAAUAACUUAUUAAUAUUUUAUUUUUCUCAAGUUUAUUAAAAUAAUAAGGAACAAAUCUUACAAAUUAAAAAGUUGAAUGAAAAUGAAAUUGAAAAAAAUAUAUAAUUUCAUAAAUUAUCUCAAAUAAAAUAAAUAAUAUUCAAAAUAAUAGAGAUCAAAUCUAAAAUUUAAAAAAAAAUGAAAGAUGAAGAAAUUAAAAUAAUAAUAAUCAACAUUUCAUAAAUUAUUUCAAAUAAAAUAAUUAACAAUCAAAAGAAUGAGGAUCAAAUUUGAUAGAUAAAAAAUUUCAAUAAAAAUAUAAUAAGGAAAAACCAAAUAGCAAUUAUAAAAAUAAGGACCAAAGUUAAUAUAAAAAUAAAAUUUUAAGAGAUGAAAUUAAAAAAUAAAUAUUCAAAACAAAAUAUAUAUAGCAAUCAAAAGUUUGAGGAUCAAAUUUGUUAUAAUCAACAAAUAAUGACAUUUUUAAAUUUUUCACAACUUCCGGAAAGUGUUUUCCCCUCAAAUUUUUCAGGAAAACACUUUCCUGAAAACCAAGCUAAAUUUUCCUUUUACUGGAAAGUGUUUUUCAUUGACCAACUUUCCUACUGGCAAACAAACACAAGAAAGUUUGGAAAAUGAUUUCCCGGAAACCACUUUCCGGAAAACAAACACAGCUAAAGGGAAAACACUUUCUUGAAAACCAAGUCAAAUUUUUCUUUGACUGAAAAGUAUUUUCCGUUGACCGGAAAAUGUUUUCCGUUGACUGGAAAGUGUUUUCCGUUGACCAACUUUUCUAAUGACAAACAAACACAGGAAAGUUUGGAAAAUGGUUUCCCGGAAACUACUUUCCGGGAAACAAACAUAGCCUAAUUUUUUUUUUGAACUGAACCAAACCGAAAACCGGUUCAAACCAAUUAAUUUCGGUUCGGUUCGGUUUUUUUCCCUUCUAAACUGGUUCAAACCCAAUGGUCCUCUACCAACACUAGUAAUAUUCCUCUCUCUGUUUUGGAUCACUGGCUGGGUCUAAUGUGGCUUUUGAGAAAACAAUACUCCAGCCCCUAAAAUGUUGUUUUGCCCUCCUCAACCAAUUCAGCAGAAGAAAUAGCGUCAUUCCAAGGAGGACUGUUCAUCCUCUUCCUUCUCUGGAACAGAAGAAUUCGUCUGAAAAAAAAAAUGUUGGCCUUUAUUAGAACCAUCAACACAACCAAAUCCAAUCCAUAUUGUAGACCAGCUUGUCUACCACAAAUCCCAUUUUAUCCCAGUUUCCUUCACCCCACAAUGCGUCAUUAAUAUUAAGGAAACUCAUCACCAUCAGUCUAACAAUGGUAGGACUGUUGGUGUUCUUAUCCCACCAAACACAAAGCAAAAAAAAUAAAACAAUAAUUAUCAGCAUACAAGAUCACUAUCCUAGGAAGGUAAGGAUUGAAUUUCUCUCAAGGUUUGGCCUUAUAAAAUCAGAGGGGGAAAGAGGACACAAAACUAGAGAGACAAGAAAGGAGGGAACCUAGAGACCAGAGAAAGGGAAAACCCAAAAACCAAAGAGGGGAAGAACAAGAAACAACAAGAAAAGAAGAGAGAGGAUCAGGGUUCCAUCCACUAGGAUCCAACAAAAACAAACAAACACACAUCUCUCACAAAAAAGCUAUUGUUGACAAAUCUCUGCUUUCUCAAGAACCCGUGCUUUUCAGGAAGAAGCCACACCAAGACAAAAGUCUCAUAAAGAGUAAAGGGAAGGGAGAAAAAAUCAACGCAAAGAGUAAAGUGAGAGAUAAUGAGAUAUGCAAAGAAGGGAAGGUGGGCGGCUGAUGGGCUGAUGGGUGAAUGUUACUUUAGGGUUAGAAAAUAUUCUAUUUAUUAUUGUUUUUUUUUUUUUAAGUGCUGACUGGUUGAAUUGGUUCGGUUCGGUUCAAUCAGUUUCAGACUUUAAAAACCGAAACCGAACCGAAUCAGAAUUUUUUUGUGAUUUUUUAAUUGGUUAAUUCGGUUUUUUUUCGAUUUGAUUUUUUUUAUUUUUUUGAUUUAAUUGAUUUAUCGGUUUUUUUACUCACUCCUAGCAUGAGUUCUGUGGCCAAGUCUCUUCAAUGUAUUCUAGGAUUACCAUGGAUUCACAAAUUGGUUUCCAAUCAAGAACAAGCACUGGGAUCUUCUUGCGGUCAGGGUUAUGCUGUAGAAGCAUAGGACUUUUAUUGCGCAAAUCUUCUUCUGUACUCAUACGGGCUAUUCCAAAUCACUCUCCAACUAUAUGGGCUAUUCCAUGUCCCGUGCAGCUUCACUUCACCCAUUACUAGGUGGAUUCUCAGAGGAUCUUGAGUGAUGAACUGAUCAAUUAUGUAUAAUAAUUGAUUAAUCUGAAUUGAACUUCAACAUGUCUCUUACCACACUUUUUUAUUAUUUAAAUUUCAAUCAGACUUUAUUGAUUUCCAUGAAUAUCAAAUGUAAACAGUGUUAUAUUUUUUAGAUCGUUAUGGAAAAGUUAAAAAACUUUUUAUAUAUAUUUUGUCAAAGUUUCCUAGAGACCUGAGCUUUGUUUUUUUAAUACAUCGAUCCAAGCACUCUAUAGUCUGUGCUAUUCCAAUUUCUAGGGCACACCUCCUGGAAUUUCUCUGCAUAAUCAUGUUAUUAGUAUGAUCCAAUCACUUUUCUCGAAAAUCAUCAUUGGAAAUCUAUCUAGAGUGUUGCUAAAUAUUGAAAUGAAUAGAACCCUAUAAGAUCGAGAAUAUUGUGGGGUGAAGGAAUAUUUCUAGGGCUCUAGCAAGCUGAGUUUAACCCAGACUGUACCACUUGUGCUCAUAGAUCACCAAGCUCAAUUAUUGUCCUUUUUGGGUAAUUUAGAGGGCCAAAGGUUUUAUAACAAAAUAUUGCAUAGCAUAAAAUAUAGUGGUUGCAACUUGCAAGUAUAAUCCACCUAAAAUAGAAUGCAAAGUCCUGCCGGAGCUAACUAAAACUGAUCAUUAUUUUACCUUCUAGUUAGGCCUUUUAAUAUAUUUAGAGACUCUAGCAUACGGUUUCCAAAGAAACGAAACACAUUUAAAUACAUAAUAUAAUUAAUUUUAAAUUUAAAUGAUAACAAUAAAAUUCGAGUAACCAUAUGUGAAAUGAAUUGAGUACCUCUCUCAUAUGCAAUAAACAUGUUGUCUUCUGACUGGUCCGUAUGCUUCCAAGUUUGUAGAUGAUGGAAUCUAAAAUAAAAAAAUCAUUAUUGCGUCUUAACAUUUUCUUCUGAGUAGUUAAUUCUUGAUAAAUAAGUUCCCACUAUCUUGACUUUAAGAGAAACGUCUUUGCAACUCUUUCUUUUUCUUUCCUUUGUUUUUUGUUUUGAAGAUGAAGAAGAUAUGAUAAUCAACCAUGAACCAGCAAAAGCUGAUUUACUCCAACAAUGUCCAGAGUUUGACGUUGUCCUUUUUUUUACAGUCAUAUCCACGGCAAAGACGAUUUCUCAUUCAUUAAAGAAAGGAAGAAGAAAGAAAAGCUUCUUCCCUCGUCACUAGUUUAUAAUUUUUUUUGGGGUCAGUCAACGUUUUUCCACUGUUUUAUAAUAGAAUAGUGAGAAUUUGUUAUCUUUUGAUUAUCUUAUCAUAUUAAAUAAUUAAUUUAAUUUUAAAUUUUAAAUUAUUAAAUAUAUUAGAUAUAAUUUAUAUUAUUUUUAAAUAUCAAGCUUAUUUCUUUAUUUUUUGUUUUUAAGGUAAUGUUUAUUUUUGUGUUUGAAAAACCAUUUUGAAAAAAAUUAAAUUUUUUUUAUUUUUUUAUUUUCUUCAAAUUAAUAUAUUUGGUGUUUUUAAAUCAUUUUGAUGCGUUGAUGUUAAAAAUAAUUUUUAAAAAUAAAAAAAUAUUAUUUUAAUAUAUUUUUAAAUAAAAAAACUUUAAAAAAUAAUCGGAAUCACAACCACAUUUCCAAACAAGUUUUUAAGUCAAUGUGAUUAGUUUUGUCGAAAGAAAUUGUUUAUUCUUUUGUCACUCAAAUAGAAUUUUACUAUAAUUUAAUUGUUUAUUAAAUUUAAAUUAUCAAAUUCAAAUUGAACUGUCAGAAAUUAACACAUGAUAAAAAAUGUAAACAAUUUAACUCUAAAAAGUCCUAAUGCCUCAAAAUAAGAUGUGCAAUACGAAAACCAAACGAUCACGAAUUAAUAUUGCACAUAUACAAAGAAGAGUUUAUCUUAUGUCGGCACAAUUAAAUAAUGUUCAUAUAAACCAAUCAAUUUACCUGUCUUAGCUAUCAGGAGGCAUGGCAAAGUAAUUAUAGUCUAUUUAAUAAUAUAAUAGGGAUUGUUUUUUUUAAUAUUAUUAUAUUAAAAUAAUAUAAAAAUAAAAAAAAUAUCUUAGCUUGGAUACCGUCAUGCAUGACGGCUAUCAUGUAGCAACAUCCAGAAGAUGAUGUAUAGUCAACAUCAAUAACAUCGAGUAUGUUCCCGGAAAUUGAAACUUUCGCAGAACAAGCGACACAUCACUAUUCAAACUUUUUUCCCCAGAAAAGAUAUAAUUAAACUUAAAACAUGAUUAAACUUGAGCAUAAAGAAAAGAGAAGAGAAGUAUAAUAUAUUUAAUUUAAUUAGAUCAUGUUUUAGCAUCUUCAAUCUCUGAUUUUGGCGAAUAGAUUAUAUAAAUAAAUUUGUUUAUGAAUAUGAUCACGUAAGCAGAUACAUCAACAUGGAAUAGAAAAACUCCUUCAAAGGCAAAGUUGAAUUGCUGCCCAAGCAAGACUCUUCCGUUGAAUUAACACUAUAAAGGAGCGUGAAAGGUAACGAUGAAGAAUCACCACAAACCUCUCAGUCAUGGCGGAAAGAGUGAAGCUGCUUGGAGCAUUGCCCAGCCCAUUUGUUUACCGAGUGAUUUGGGCACUAAAACUAAAGGCUAUUCCAUACGAGUUUAUAGAAGAAGAUCCCACCAACAAAAGUCCGCUGCUCCUCAAGUAUAACCCUGUUCACAAGAAGAUCCCAGUGCUUCUCCAUGGCGACAAGCCAGUUUGCGAGUCCAUGAUCAUUGUCGAAUACAUCGAUGAGAUGUGGCCCCAAAAUCCAUUGCUGCCAAACGACCCCUACGAGAGAGCCCUGGCUCGUUUCUGGGUCAAAUUUGCCGAAGAUAAGGUACAGCGUGCAGACAUUAUCGUACAUUUCAUGAUUCAUACAAUGCUAUAAAACUGGACUUGUUAAGCUUAAUUUUCUUUGGUACUCCAUUUAGUUUCUAGUGAUUAAUGUCAUGGUUAAUUCUGGCUUCAGGGUUCAUCAGUGUGGAGAAUGUUUCGUGCUAAAGGGGAAGAGCUUGAGAAGACAAAGAAGGAAAUCCUGGAAAUGUUGCAGAACGUUGAAGAACACGGGUUAGGGGAGAAGAAAUUUUUUGGUGGAGACAGUGUAGGGAUGGCAGAUAUAGCCUUUGGUUCUGUUGUUUAUUGGUUGGAAGUCAUUGAAGAAGUAGUAGGGGAAGGAGUAAUAUUUGAAGCCCACAAGUUUCCUCGCCUGCAUGCCUGGAUUCAAAACUUCAAGCAAGCGCCUAUAAUUAAAGAAAACCUUCCAGAUAGGGACUGGAUGGUUACCUUCUUUAAGCGUCGCAGAGAAGCAAUGGCUGCAUCUGCCUGAUCGCGGCGGCGAUACAGAUAAUAACGGGAUCUGUGCGGCGUUUUUCAGUGUUCACGGCCUCUUGUUUCGUGUCUGGUCUGUCUCUUUAUUGUAUUCGUGUCGUCUUUCAGCUGUUCGUUGUGAUAGGCCUCGGCCCGUCUUCGAGUCCCGUGUGUACUCAUUUUGUUACCUUCCAUGAGUGAAGGAAGUAAUAAAGGAAUAAAAGAAGUCGUUAAACUACCUCUAUUUCUUAGAAUGGCGAUUGACAAAUGUUUAAUUUAAUUAACCAAGAUCAUUAAACAAUAAUUUCAGUAACGUUCUGAUAGCAUAAUAAUCACGAGGGAUUGGAAGUUAACAUAUGCUCCAAAAUCUAAUUUUGUUGGUUUUUAAAUGGAUUCAAAUUCACUAACGUUAUGAUGAAAUAAGAUUUAUUAAUCUUGAUUUUGGGGGUUGAUUUUGAAAAUUCAGUACUUGAAAUUUGAAUUAAAUUGGAAUUUUAGUUAAUUCGAACAAGUAAUUUAUUUGGACAAAGCCUAGUUGACAUUGAUUGGUGUUUAAUAACUCAAUUAAAUCAAAUUCUAACUAAACUUGAUUAAGUCAAUAUUUUGUAAAAUUAAAACAAUUUUAUUUUAAUAAAAAAAAUUAUUUAAAUUAAUUUUAUAAUAUAACAGCCUUAAACUAGUUAUUAAUUAAAUUUGUAAACCGUUUAAUAUUGUGAUAGUUUCUGUUUUUUUGCCGGAAAAAAAAACUGUUUUGUUAAUUUUUGCAUUUUGCAUUAAAUAUUAUAUAAUUAUUUUUCUGAUUUUGUAAAUGUUAAAAUAACUUGUUUUUUAUUUACAAAAAUCUAUUUUUUUUUUAUUUUGCAUAUAAAAAAUUCAUUUCAUAAUAAUUUUAAUUAAAUAUGUAAUUUUUUAAAUUUAUUUUUUUAAAAUCAUAACUAAAAAUAUUUUCUCAAAAUCUAUUAUUUAAAAACAUAAUCGUAAAAGCUACUACUGGUAUACACUUCAAGGCAUAAUAGAGCAUAAAAACAAUAUUCAAUUUGCCACGUCAUUUUGAUAAGGGUAAGAGAAUUGGAGGUGAAUUUGUCACAGUUGAAUAUAUAAAGGACGGGUUGGGUUAGAGAGAGCGGAGGAAUAUGACCUAGCAGCGAUUGCAUAAGUGGUAUUAAGGGAUUUUUCUUUUAAAUUUCCACAGUAAAUUAAAAGUUUUUGAAAUCAGUACUAUUUUAAAAUAGGAUGAAAUACUAUAUUUUUUAUUUUGUUAUGUUUUAAAAUCAAAAUAUUUAAAUAUAUUAUAUUUUAAAAGCAUGACAACUACUAGUUAUUUGACCAAUCAAAUAUAAUUGAUCGAUCGUUUCACACAAAAACAACAAAUUUAUGAAAUUUUAAAUAUAUUUUAUGAGUAAAAAAAUAUAUUUUUGUACAAUUUAUAUUUUAAAAAAUAGAUUUCAUUCAAAAUUUUUAAAAGUUAUUGCUCAUACUAUAGUUUUUACCAAUAAUUCUGAACAAUCAUAUAUUGAUUAAUUAUCAUAAUUAAAUUAGAAUUUUUCCCAAAUAAAAUUUAUAAAUAGUCAAGCAGAUGCAUCUACAGACCAGCAUAACAAGUUUAGGUUCAUGAGGAAGUAUGGUUGCGCCAAACCAUAAUGAUAGCUUAAAAAGACCUUAACUUUUAAUUUGAUUGUUGAUUUGUGUUUAAAUUUUUACAAGAGUUUGUAGAGGUUAUUUUUUUAAUGUAGCAUGGAAUCACUACUUUGACCGUAGGAUAUUUUAGAUUUUAAAAAUCUUAACCUAAGACCCUAAUUUUUAUAAUUUUAUAAAUUUUUAUAAACUGAUCAAUCAAUUAGUUCUAAAUUUAAAUAGAUAUGAUUAUUAUGAAUCGCGAUACAUAUUAAAAUUUUAUUAUAGUUUUUCAACCAUAAUAUUUAAUUAAAUAUCAUAUUUUCUAAUCAUUACAAAAAAAAAAUUAUUUUUAUAUCAUUUCCUUAUUUAUUUGCAUUUUUCAUGCUAAUUGCCAAUUUGUCCAACCUUAACUAAAACUAAAUCAGCACACGUAAGACUUCCGAAUAUGAUCUCCUCUUCUCUAGUUACACUGUAUUCAGACAGAAUCCCAAUCUCACAAAACGACAAAAGAGUAAAGAAAAAGGCCAGAGAAAAGAAACGUUAAAAAAUGCAAAGCCAAACUUGAUUCACAUUCCUUCUUUCUUCACUUCUCUGUCUCACUCCUCUUCAAUGGCACAGACCAACGAGCAAGAAUUAUAGGAGAACCAGAGCAAGGACAUGGAAGAGGGCUUAGCUUUAGUAGUGGAGAGGAAAGGAAAGAAAAGGAAAAGAAAGAAGAUGAGAGAGGAUCGAGGUCGUCCCUUUUGUCAAGACCCUUUGGAUGUGCUUGGUAGGGACUUGAUGUUGAGGGUUUUGAACAACCUUGACGCACGCAGCUUGGCACUAUGUCUCGUCGUUUCUCGUACCUGGAACCGUGUUGCUUCUAGUGAUCUUCUUUGGACCUCCAAGGUCAGUUUUUUUUCCUCCUUUUUCUUUCUUAAUUGAUGUUUGUUAUGAUACCGCAUGAUGGGAUUGGUUAUGAUUUAAUUACUCGAGGGUUUUUGGUGUUUUGGCUAUGUCUUUGAUUAAUUAAUUUUUGAGGGUUUGCUUGCUUUUAAUCCUUUUACAGGGAAUUGUAUUGUUUUUACUUUUUAAUUUUGAUUCUAAAGGAUGGAUGCUAAACCAACAAGUCAAUAGCUUAUGUUAAAAAACAAAAGAUUAAUGUGUUAUUUAAGUUAUUUUCAUAUUCUUUCAGUGGAAAAAGAAUUUGUGGUUUGGUCAAGGUUAAUAGAGCUGGAUGUUAUGCAGUUAUUAUCCUAUAAUUAAAUAAUUUGCAAACGUAUAUUGACGAAGUUCGAAAAACUCCACACGGACCUUUCCACGGCUGCUUAAUGGGAUUGGAAAAAAAAAUGUGCUUGAGUUAAUAAUCCAUUUUCUCCUGUGAAACAAGUCCUUCAUAGGACCCUCCAAUGCCUAAGCAUAAUUUAUAGAAGAAGGGAAAUGAAAAUGUAGGAGAAUGCAAGCAUAAUUUAUAGAAGAAGGGAAAUGAAAAUGUAGGAGAAUGUGUUGUGUUCUUUAUGUGUGGAUAUAUAAUGUCAUGCAGUUCUCUUUUAUACCUGUUGGUCAUUGGUAUUAAUAUACCUGGCAUCACUUGUAUUUUCUGUAUUUUCAUUAUAGGUUGUAGAUUCGCACACCUACUAGUAGGAAUCAAAGAAUAUUUAAUUCACCGUGAAUGUUUGCACAAACAACUUGUUAGGACAAGUUGUUCAUUCCAUCAUAUUAACUUGUGAGACAAGGCUUUUAGGUAGGCAUUGUAUUGACAAUUUAGAGAGUUCAAGUGGGCAUCGUAUUAAUAACCUUGUAAGAAGAAAAUUCAAGUGUGACUGAUAACCUUGUGUCAUGUCCAAUUUGAAAUUUGCUCAAUAUGAAAAGAGCCAAUGUGUUUGUCACUAGUUUGGGUUGGCCACCUUUUCCCUCUCUUUCUCUCUUCUUUUUUCUUCUUCUCCCUCACUUUUUGAGGCGAGUUCGGUUGGGUUAGGGUUUUUUUUUCCCUGGUUGAGCCAAAAAAAAAUUUCCCCUUUCCUCUCUCUUACUGGGCUUAGUUGGAUCAGGUUAGGUGUUGAAUUGAAGAGUUUGUCGCUGUGGGAUUAGGCAUGUGCUAUGAAUGUAUCUUGCUUGAGAUGGGUGUUAAAAGAAUUCAAGUUAUUUUUUAACUAGAAUUACGAUCUAUCUCUCUAGUUUGUACACAAGCAACAAGAAUGCUGCUCUUAAAGGCACCUAACUACGAUGAGCCAAAAAUAGAAUAUUUAAAGGACAUCCUAGAGCAGAGUGGUAGAUAGAGAGAAUGUUUAAGGUAAGGUAAGAUGACACGAAUAUAGUGUUACAGAAUGAAGUUAUUGACAAUGGAAGGAAACCUUGAGGUGAGCGCCUUGUUGCAGGUUUGAGGUUGCUACCAUGUGCAGUUAAAUUUUGAUAGGUUCCAUUGCUUUUCACCAAUCCUGAGAAAUGAAUGUUAUGAGUGCCCUUUCCUUUCUGAGCAAAUAAUUUUAUUGUGCAAUCAUGAAGCUUCCAUUCUUGUUCUAUGGUCAAUGUUACUUUACGUGUUCAUGAGAACAGCUGCUGUGGUAUUAAUUUAGAUAAUUUUGCAUUAUAAAAUUUGACUCUACUUUUGCUGUCCGUUUUAGUGUGAGGAAUUGUGGUGUGGGAAGGCACACAUACCGCGCUUGUCUCUUGUCCGGGGAAUUUCUAAGUUGGAUGCUUAUUCACUAUCUGUUAUGGAUGGCAAACGCGUGAGUAUCUUGUAACCUGUGCCCCUAUUCCCAGCUCUCUGUCUCCUUUUCCAAUUCAUACAGUCCUCAUUAAUUCAGAAACUUGUGCAUUACUUGCGAAUGUGCUGGGGGAGCCCCAACCAAAGUGAUUAUUUUGUUUGUUGUUUAUGUCAGAAUCGUAUCAUGAGGGAUGAUCUAUGUGAUCAUGUUUGGGAGUUUCACUUUACCAAGGUAUGCUUCUUCUAUGUAGAUUGCAGUCUCAUAUUUGGUAGAGUCAAACCCAUGCGGUGCAGCGAUGAUUCAACAAUGUGAAGCUUGCUGGAAGUGUUCGAUAGUUUUAUGAAGCCAAAGCUCUUUUGUAUUUUGUUUCAUUGUUUGAUCACAAUUCAUGCAUGCCACAAGUACUUUCAUGCAAAGCAGCCUUAAAAUUCAUUCCAGUACUAAGGGAAGGUCAUGAUUAAUCCUUGGUCCUUUUACAUGUCUAUUUCUUAACCUACUUUAUCUGGUUUGCCUACUUAGUGAAAGCACUUGGUAAGUCAAAAGCCCAUUCUUUGGUGGAUUCCCUGAUGAUUCCUAUAAUUUCUGCAUCUUGUGUUGUGAAUGACAUCUAAACUAAUAAUUCUCAUAACGGACAAUCAUCAACGUUUUUUUUUUAUCUUACAACCCGUGGAACAUUGUUUUGAAAGUUUAGCUCAUAGCUUGUUUGAGUCUUGUUACCAUUCUUUCUUGCAAAGCUCAUUUAGUUUGACAAAUAUCAAUCCUCAGGCAGCUCCAGAAUACUGGCGCAAUCUUGAUCCCUACUGGAAAGGCAAUGGUCCUCCCAUGCACCGGUACUUUCAUCCAGAUGGAAGCCAAACUGCAGAUCCUGGUGACAAGGUCUGGGGUGGUCAUGAAAGCUGCUAUUCCAUAGUGACUAGUAUUAUUGGUGAAGGAAAGAUCAGGGAGCACUAUGUUCGGAUAAACCGGUGGCGUCCUCUUGCUGUGUCCAGGAAACAGGACUGGAGCUGGGAAAUGACCAACAACCUUUUCUGUUACUCAAGUAUUCCAGAUGCCUACAAGGAAGGUGGAACGGGACCUCUCUUUUUGGUUAUGUAAAUAUUUCUCCUCUUUAACAUGUAUAGUUGUUGUUUUUAGUUUCCUCUAUCCAGCACGCUGUUUAAAACAGUAGCUGAACUGGCAACUUUUGUGUACAGAUUUAUGUGAAUAAUACAGUAUACCUAGUCAUGCUUUAAGGCAUAUGAUUUGUACUGUGUACAGAACAUACUCUUAGGUAUCGAUAUGAAUAAGAUGAACUUUCUUUUGAUAAAAUUUGAAGAGUUCAAGGGAUAUCUGUUGAAUCAUGAUGGUGUGUUUAAACUACUUUCCCUGAUCAUAUAAAUUUACGAAUCAUUAUUACAACAAGAAUUCUCUGAACUGUAUAAACGAAGAAUUGUUUCUGUUAGAGUGGUGCAGGUGAUUUUCACACUAUAAAGUGCAUUAUUGUUCUCUUCUAUCCUCGGGAUCGUAUCAUGUUUUUGCUCACAGAACUCACCUGUGGAGCAUUAAUUUGAUUGCUCGUCUGUCAUGAUCAUAUUGGACAACCACGAAUAGAUUGAUUUUAACCUCUGUUACUUUUUAGCAACCUGUUCAUGAAUCUCUUCCUGGGACUUCAAGAACUGAUUUCCUUUCUGUUCUCUUCCCAGAAAUAUAAUUAUCACAGAUGGCAUUCAAAGUUGUGAUUUGAGUUCGCUUCCCACCCUAUUCUUCUGCUUGUAGGUUGUUUAUUUUCUAUAAUCUCUGUGCUAUCCACGCCUCGUUUUAAGAUGCAGCAGCUUUUCCCAUUUUAUCGUGUAGAACUCCCAACCUGGAAAAAAGAGUCAAUUUGGAUGACUAACUCGUAAAAGUAAAAGGAGAACAGUGUUCAAACUUUCAUUUACAUCUUAGCUUCUCUGUUGGUAGUUCUGCCCCUUUGAACUUCGUAAAUGGGGCUUCAAAAAAUGUAAAUAUACAAAAUUACUCGUCAGUAUCACAGCUCUCUGCAUGUCCAACCACAUCGGACAACUUUAAAACAGAAUGUUGUAGUUGGCGUGACAGAGUAUUCCCAUCAGAUUUUGAAAUGUAUCAAAACAACAGGAUCACAAAUUAACUUAGCAAGAGAGGAGAUUGGAGUAGAUGAAAAGGAAAAGGAAAGGGACUUUACACAACUUCAAUGUUAAACAAAUACACCGGUGGCCGGAACCAGCCUGGCCUGAAACUGUAGGAGGUUAUUGCUAAAUGAGAAGGCUGUAAGAAGGCAUGUCUUCAAUCCGUAAGACGUCAUCCAUUAGAAGUUCUCUCUCUACCUGGGCUCGAGUAGAUUUCAAGACAUCCUAGUACAUAUAUCAUUUGAUCAGUGACCUUUAACAAUCAGCAUGCAGCAUAAAGGGAGGUGGCGAGUUGAUAUACUGAUCAGCAAAACCAAGCUAUCAAUCCAUAUGGACACAAAAAGGAAUGGAGGAGGCUAAAUAGAUUCUCACAUUGAACUCCAUGUAUGUAGCAUUUGUAUGUAGCCAUCGAUUGUCCAUGAUCAUGAAAGCCACACAAUAGAGAAGGUCAAAUGCCCAUUCGCUUUCUGAAAGCACAAAUUUUAGUCAUUAGGCGGCCAUAGAAACAAGUGAAUUGAUAUGUCCUAGGAUAAUGGAAAAGUAGAGUAGCCAAAGUUGGAUUCCAUCACUUGCUAACACAGUUUGAUUUUACGUUUUAAAAAAUAUUAAAAAAAUUUAUUAUUGUUUUUAAAAAUUAAUAUUUUUUUAAUGUUUUUAAAUGAUUUUGAUGCGCUAAUUUUAAAAAUAAUUUUUUUAAAAUAAAAAAAUACUAUUUUGAUAUAUUUUAAAAUAAAAAAUAUUUUUUAAAAUAAUUAUAAUUAAAUUAAAAAAUAUUCGAAGAAGAUGAUUGUAUGACCUUAAUUUUUACUGGAUAUAGCUGCUGCUUCUUACCUGACAGAAUCUGUAAGAAAACUGGCCUUGCAAAUGUUCGAGGUUUCACUGCAUAAAAUAAGUUCACCGAAAAAAAAAUGUCAAAAACAACAGCAAAUUUAGGCCAAAAUAAAAAUGUGUUGGUCAUGAAGAUCUUCUAGGAGUAUCAUUAGCCUGCUCCGCCCCAUUGGUCGAAAUUUUUUUAACUUAAAAAAAUAUCUAAACAUUUUUAAUGUGUUCUUUAACUUAAAAAAAAAAAAAAACUUAAUCAUGAAUAUAAAAUAUGAUGUACUAGACACAUGACCCGCACAAUGCCGUGGUUAUUUUUUUUGUAUAAAAAUAUUAAAAAAAACAAAAAUUUAAAAAUCUUAGGUUUUUUUGCAAGGUCAUACCCAAGAAUCUUAGGUUUCGCUGCAAUGCCUGACCUAAAAGUAAUAUUUAUAAUAUUAAUAAUAAAAUUAAACUUGCAUGACCCAAGUUUAAGUGAACCUAACUGCAAUACCGGACUCAAGAAUAUUGGAUGUGGGUCUGGCUAUAAGGUCGUGUUAUAAAAGUGUGAUAAUUAAAUAGACUAAUUAAAAAAACACAAAGAAAAAAAAAUCAACAGGAAGGAAAAAACUAAUGAAGAAAAAGAAAAGAAAAUGAAUUAAUUGGGUUAACCCUUUAAACUAGGUUAUCCUGUAAAACCUGGGACUCGCGUCAUGAAAGUUUGACAACUAAAUAGAAAAAAAAUAACGGGUUUACCCAGAAUUAACUGGGUUAACCCAUCAAACCAAGUUAAUCCGUCAAGCCCAGGAUACGUGUCAUGAAAGUAUGAAAAUUAACUUUAACAAACUAAACUAAAUAAAAAAAAUAUCAUGAAAAUCUGAUAACUAAAUAAAACAACUUUAGCAUUAACAAACUAAAAAAAAAAAAUCAUUAAAAAAAAUUAAAAAGAAAAAAAAAGGCUAAUAUUGUAGUAAUCCAUAGUGUUUUUUUUUUUUUGAAAAAAGCUACAAAGCUAAGUUUUCAACCAGAUCAAUAUAAAAAAAACGACAAAGACUAUUUUUUUAAAAAAAAAAGUCAAUUUUGGGUAAAAUAAAUGAAAAAAAAACAUGUAAAAAAAAGGAAACAAAAGCGGAAAAAAAACACGUGGGAAAGUUACAGUGUUUUAAAGAAAUAAACAAAAAAACUAAAUUUUCAACCAGCUCAAUAGUAAAUAAAAUAAAAUCAACAAAAAUAAUUCUGAAAAAAAAAUAUGGAAAAAUUGACAAUUUUGAAAGAAAAAAAACAUGUGGGGAAAGCUAAAGGUAGAUUAUCAUUCAGCUCAAUAUUGAAAAAAUAAAUUCGAUAAAUAUAAUUUUUUUAAAAAAUAUGUGGGGAAACACUGUAGCAAUCCAUAUUAUUUAAAAAAAAAACUACAAAGCUAAAUUCUCAACCAACUUAAUAUAAAAAAAAAUCAUAAAAAUAAAAAAAAAAUGUAUGAGAAUAUUAUAGCAAUCCACAAUGUUUUAAAGAAAAAAACUACAUAGUUAAAUUUUCAACCAGCUCAAUAUUUAAAAAAAUUAGUAAAGAUAAUUUUGAAAAAAAAAAAAAAAAAAACAAAGACAAAGAAGUCAAUUUUGGGUAAAAAAAAAAGAAAAAAAUAACAUGUAACAAAAAAAAAGAAACAAAAGCAAAAAAAAAAAAAAUUGCUACAGUGGAAAAAAAAAGCAACAAAAAAACAAAAACAAAGCUGCUAGAGUGAAUUUCUUACACGUUUUAGAGUUCUUUAAUAUUAGAUGAUAUUUUUAUUAAAUAUUGAUAUGGCAAUAUUUUGGAUAAUAUUUUAAAAAUAAUAUUAAAAUAGCAUAUUAGACUUGAGCUAACCUAUCAAAUUUAUAUCUCAGAUCAUAAAACUAUGAUAACAUUAUAUAAAUUAUAUAAAAAUAAGUUAUUAAGAAUAGUUCUUCAUCAACAAAAUAUUGAGUGAUGAAAUUAAAAAUAUAUUAAAAAAAAACUACCCGAGUCAAUUUAAAUUAACCUGCUACACUCAUAAUCUAGGUCAUAAAAUCAAAAUAAUCAUAUAGAAAGCAUAUCAUAAAAAAUUAUGAAGUUCAAUUUCCAACAAACUCAAUGUUGAAAGAUAAAGUAGAAAAAAAAUUAUUAAUAAAAAAUAAUUCAAGUCAACCUAGUCAAACAUAUUAGACCUGCAACCUUAAUCCUGAGAUUAGAAUAACUUUAUAAAAAUAUAUACAAAGCUCAUUUCCAACAAAUCAAAUGUUAAGAGUUGAAAUAAGAAAAAAAAAUUUGUGGGAUCGAGAUAAUUUCACAGAAAAUAAAUUGAAAAAAAUAUGUUGCUCAAUUCUCAAAUAACCUAAUAUUAAAAAAUAAAAUUAAAAAAAAACUAAAUAAAAAACAAAUAUUGAAUUGUUGGAGGGUGAAAUUAAAAAAAAAUCCAAUUAAAAAGAAACCCAAAAAAAUAAACUAAGUUAACUCGGGUCAACCUACUAAACUCACGACCCAGAUCAUGAGAUCGAGAUAAUCUCAUGGAAAGCAAAUAACAAAAAUUAUGAAUCCCAAUUAAAAAAACAAAAAAAAAAUUAAUAGUUUAACUUGUCAAACCCACGAUCAGGAUAACCAUGUAGAAAGCUAAUUGAAAAACAAUUAUAACCUAAUAUUAAAGAAUAAUGUUUUUUGAAAAAUCAAUUAAAAAAGAUGGUAAAAAAACAAUUCAAGUUAACUUGUUAAAUGCACAACUUAAGUUAUGAGAUGGAAAUAAAUUUAAAAAAUUAUAAAGUAUAAUUUCAAAAAUAAACUAAUAUAAAAAGAUAAAUUAGGUAGUGAAAUGUGAAAUUGAAAGGAAAAAAACAAACAAAAAAACACUAUUUAGGAGAAGUGUUUUGUGUGUGAUAACAUUUGAUUUAGCCAUAACCUUUUGUGUUUUUUUAAAUUAAUUAAUUAAAGAAUGAGAAUAGUAAUUAAGAUGUUUGUCAAGAUGCAGUUGAUGUGAAAUUCUGGAGAAAAGCUAAUAUUCAUUGCUUACUGGCAUCAAGGUCAAGCAUCUGCAUAAUCAUAAAUGUGAUAUUUACACCAGCAACAGCAAAUGGAUACUCCCAAGCAGAUCGUUUUCCUCCUUGUUUUCUUAGCAAAUGUUGAAAUGAUGUCUGCCACGAAAAAACAGAUAAUGUUAUUGUAGAACAUAGCCUGGUGUAAGCCUAUUUAUUCAGACUUCCCGGUACUGCCAGAUAGAGAAUCUUACUGAAAAUGUCUUUGCAAAGAACAGUAGGUUUUCCAGAGAAAUGAAUCCAGCUCCUCUGUUCACCAGGAAAAAACGCGCAGCUAAGUAAGUGAAAACAAUCACAGCAGAUAUGCUGAGUAAAUGACAAGCAGUUAAAAAAACCUGAAAUCAGUAGAUGGAUCUCUUCCCUGCCAUCCCAUUUCUUUCCAUUGAUCAGAUAUUAAGCCACUCAGUUCCCGAUCAGGAUAUGUGGCAGACCAUAGAGCUCUCAAAGCAACCUGUUCUCGCCAGAGUAUCUUGUUAGGAGGUGUUUAGAGUGUAAUUACGGUUGCUUUUCAAAAUAUUAUUUACAUAAAAAUAUAUUAAAAUAAUAUUUUUUUAAUAUCAGCAUGUCAAAACACACCAUCAGAAAAUAUAUAAAAAUAAUAAUUUUAAACAAAAAAAAUUGAAUUUUCACAAACCAACGUUGCGGCCUGAACAGGGGCUUAAUUAAUCAGAAAAAUACUUGUAGCAAAAUGUAAAUAUGGGAUGCAGUUUCAGGGUUUCAGUUUCAACCGCUGCACCUAUGUUACAGAUUUGAUUCUGUGAGAUAUCCCAUUCCAUACUUUCCGAUAUAAGAAUACCAUACCUGGUGGUCUGGCCUGGAAGCAUCAAAAUAAACCUUCAUCCUAUUCUUCAACCUCUCCAAUCUUUCUUCCUGCAAGAUUUUAAAGUAAUCUAUCAUGGUUGGCAAUCACAAAGAAAAGAGAGACAGAGAGAUCAUAAAACUGGAAAAGCUAUAACAAACUUCUAUGAAGUCUCAGUUUCACGAUUCCAUAUAAACUAGAUUAAAGGAAUAGUUUAGGUAAUUAAAAUUGAGCCCGGUCCCUACUCUACCUGUAAAAUCAAAGGCACUAUUAUGACAACGCAAGAGUGGAAAACUCAGUAGCUAGCAUAUAUACAAAUUCAGUUCAUAAUCUACACGAAUGGCUGACAUGGGAAGACAAUGCGUCCAUUACUUCUAUUUUCCUGCAUUUGUGACUAUAUAUAAUUGAUCUUGCUAAACUAUUUGCAAAGUGAAAGCAACCCCUAGUAGAGACUAGAGACUUAAACAACGAGGUCUGGAUUUGUCAAGAAGCACCACAGCGAGGGAUGAUUGAUUAAAUUAAAGAAAUAAGCUUUUAUUAAUCUGCACUUCCAAGUUUGCCAGAACAGACCAGUUUUGAGCAUCACAUAGAUCAGCUCCAUUUAGGCAAUGUACGACCAAGGAAGGCAUCUUUAUUGGUAAGAAUCGACAGAAACCAGAUGUUUAGAGUUUAGUGUUGGAAUAAGAUGAGAGAAAUAACAGCAAAAAGAACAAGAAAAACCAGUAAAAAUUGUCAUCUUUUUUUCUUCAAUACUAUAUGGUUCUUGUUGUAAGUUCACUUGCCUGUUGAGGGGUCAAGAUAAUGCAAAUUCGUUCAUAUGCUCCCUUUCGCUUGAAGCAAACACAAGUGAGGCCCUUACCAAUCCAAGUAGGCGACCCACAAGUUACGUCAUCUGCAUACAACCAUCAAUAUCUUUGCUUCAAUCAUAAAGAACAAUAUUCACUUCAGCAACCAACGACAAGUAGUCCAAUAUUUUGCAGCCAUAAUUUUAGCCAAAAUACAAGAACAAACAAGGUGGAGGGGAAUAUUUUUUUAAAAAAAAGGCUACCAACUAGCAGAGCAAGAAUCUUUAGCCACCUGGUUUAACAGCCACGCUAAAGCAUUUCAUAUCAGCGAUAUGGAAAAGCAAUGCUCCCAGUUCUAAAACCUGAAGUUUCAGGGGGUGAUGAAUCCCACAUAACAUAAGCUUAUUACAGUAUAAUAACAUGAAAACAAACAUAUUUUUGGUAACGGGCAUGGAGCAGUCUGCUGCAUGACCAGUUUUGUCUAUGAAAAGGCAGUGGGGGACCUCCGACAAGGCGGCUGGAUAUAAAGAUCACGUGCCGCACGACGGUGGUUCUGCUAGUGUACUACAACAUUAUUAUACGUAUAUAAUCAAUUGUGUUUUACUGCUAUCAUUUGCGUCCGGGCCGAUACAUACGUGACAGUCUCAGAGCCCGAUGCAGUGUCUUCGUUUAACCGGCGAGCAUAAAGUAGAGAGAGUGUAGACACGCGCUGAGUUGGAAAUCCCGCCACAUGGGGAACAUAUGGUAUCCAUGUGAGCACUCGAUCUUAUUGGGUCGGAAGUGUCUUCCACGCGCUAAUAACAGAAAGCAAGUCUAGACGGUCUGUCACCUCCAAUCAUGUUAAAGCACCGCCUCGUUGUUUCUUUUUCCAUGCCAAGAUUGCAAAUAAAGACAAACAUUCACUCUCUUGCCACGUUUACCGUACAUCCACAGAGAAAUUAGUAAGCCAUUCACAAUUUCACAUAUAUAUUUCACUAUGCAGGCACUAUGCGUGAAAGGUUGUAAAAAUCAAAGCUAUUUAGUGCCUGCAUAGUUAUUUUUUUAAAAAAUAUAUUAUAUUUAAUAUUAAUAUAUCAAAAUUAUUAAAAAAAUCAUUCAUUUAAAAUAAAAAAAAUUAAUUAAUUUUUUCAAAACAGGCUCGUAACCCUACAUAGUAUAAGGCUUAAAAGUUAUUUAGAGUUGGAAACGAGUUUGAUAAUUUUUUUAUAAUUUUAUUUAAAAUCAUUUUUUAUAUAUAUUUUUGAAUUAUUUUAAUGUAUUGAUUUUAAAAAUAAAAUUUUUAAAAAAUAUAUUUUAAAAAACAAUCUAUCCCAUUAUAUAUAACAAAUAAAAUAGAUUGUCAAAACAUGUUUUGAUUAAGUUUUAACCGUAACUCAGCAGAUCAACUCCAACUCUAAUUUUUAACUAACCCGGAUAGAUCCCGGGUCUACCGGUCUAUGUGUGACAACACAAGUUGUUACGCCUAAUACCAACAAGGCAACAACCUUUUUGGGGAUGUUGGGCCACCAUUCCAAUCAGUGACAGUCACCGUGAAGUGUACCGGCUUUGAUAGCGGGCCCACUAGCCCGUCCGAUGCACCAUAGUCCCCUUCUCCCUCACACACUUACUGUUGUAGUCACUAGUUUACUACUCUCGAUCGCGCCGUAUCCGGCAAGAUCAAAGAUUUAUUUCAUUCCACGCUUAUCCCAAAUAUGUUGUAACUAUACACCGAUUACAUUUGCGUAAUAUUAAUAAUUUAUUAAAUUAAAAGUACAAAUGUGUGCAUAAAUUAUAGUUAAAACCGUGUCUACCACUGGUAUUUUGAAGUUCAAUCGCCAAAAAUGUUCUCGUAAAGCACGGAUCCUGUUACACAAACACUUGCCUGUAGCUUUUUAAUUGUUGAAUAAUUACAAAUUCCUAAGAGCAUGAAAAAUAAAUCAAACAUUGCAGUGUCAAAAAGGACUGGACAGUAUUAUUUGACAGAGAGAAGAAUCCAGAGUGUCUGGUUGCAUAAAAAAGGAACGGAGAAUUAAACACACACACGCAGAGCUCCGGAAAUAUUAUAGUUGAUGAUCACGUGAAGUUAUAGAAACAGAGAGAUUAAUCAAUGCAAGGGAAUCGGAUGGUUUCUGGUUUUCUGCAUGCAAUCAAGAAAAUGGAUUCUGCUUAUAUUGAAGGAGUCGCGUUGUCAGAGUGAAGAAAAGGGAUAAAACCUGAAGAAGCAGAGCCGUGAGCGCAAGAUCGGUUGGUGGUUGUAGAAGGAGAGAGAGUACGGAUGGCCACGCAGCUACCCCGGGCCCUAACAACACUCAUCGCUAAAUGAUUAGAAGCCGCGAAUUUACCGCAUACCAAGUUCUGAGAAGAGAGGAAAGGGGAAGAAAGCAGAAAGAGAGAGGCGGUUCCUUCUGGCCCCGACUUUAGCGAUCGAGUGGGAGUGAUAAAAGAGUGUCGAGCGACUCGAAUUCGAAGGCGAGGAAUGAACCGGUUUUUGUCCCGUUUCGCAUGUGGAGACGAAUUUACGGAUUGCCCCCCAACAGAGGCCGGCGGCUCGUCAAUCCUAAUUGUAUAUCUUUGGCGGGAGGGAUAAAAUCAUAGGAGUGUCAAAUGUCAAUGACUCAAUUUUUAACUUCUCUCUAGCAGCUCAAAACAAUUAGUGCAUUGCUGACCACAGCCUUUGAUAUAGCGAUCGUAACAAGGGACUGAAUUAAUUAAGAUACAAAAAUUUCAAAAUUUAUAAGCUUCUAAUAUAACAUUUAAAAAAUUUAUGUAUAUUAUAAAAAGAUGCUUCAUGAAAUUCUUUUUUUUAUAUAUAUAUAGUUCACAAUUGCUCCCUGCAAGAUUUUAUGUAUUGAAAAUAUUAUAGGAUUUUCUUUUAUAUAUAUAUAUAUAUAUAUAUAAUCAAACAAUCAUUUAACUAUUCAUUCCCGAUUUAAUUGCAUAGCCGAUUUUUAACUUAUUUAAUUGCUAGAAAUAUUCUCUCUACUGAUGCAGUGACUAUUAGUAAAAUUAAUGUUGAUUUUACAAGUAAAAAAACUAAAAAAAUAUACCACGACCUUUUUUAUCUUCAUUGAUUUUUUUUAGCAGCAUCAUUAAUUCUUUUUAGCUUUAAAACUAGUUGGAUACCCGCAUUACAUGGUGGACUCAUUUUUUAUUUUCAUAAAAACUAUUGUAAAAUUUUAUAAUAUAAAAAAAUAAUAUUUUAUUAUUAAUAAUAAUAAUUGUUUUUUUUCAAAAUUAUUAAUUAUUUAUUAAUAAUAUUAAUUAUAAUAAAAAUAAUAAUAUUUAUAACACAAAUAAUACUAUUUUUAUAUGAAUAUUUAGAAUUAUAAUAAAAAUAAUUAUAUUUAUAAUAUAAAUAAUUGUAUUAAGAAUUUCAAGGAUGAUUACAACACAUAAUAAUAUUUUUUUAUAUAUCAAUACUUUGAGUUAUAAUAAAAAUAAUAAUAUUUAUAAUACAAAUAAUACCAUUUUUGAUAUGAACAUUUUAAAUUAUAAGAGAAAAAAUAAUAUUUAUAAAACAUAUUAUUAUAUUAACAUAUAUGGUGGAGCGUGGUUGCGUCUCGACCCAACUUGGAGGUGGGUGCGGACGCAUCCAGGGCCAACUUGAGUGUGAGUCUGACUGGGUCCAACCCCACUUGGGAAUGGACGUUGAUGCAUCAGCCCCAUUUGAAGGUGGGCGUUGUUGUAUGCUCUAGCCCCAAGUUGGGUGAGGACAUGUCCAGAACCAACUUGGAAUUGGGCGUGAACACAUUCAUACCCAACUUUUAUUAUAAUUAAAAAUAUUACUAUAAAAAAUUGUAUUAUUUGUGUUAUAAAUAUUAAAAUUUUUAUUAUAAUUAAAACUAUUAAUAUAAAAAUUAGUUUUAUUUGUAUAAUGAAUAGUAUUUGUGCUAAAAAAUAUUAUUAUUGCUAUUAAAAUUUAAAAUAUUUGUAUAAAAAAUAGUAUUGUUUGUGCUAUAAAAAUUAUUAUUAUUAUUAUUAAGGUCCUUUGUUUGCUGAAAAGUAGUUUUUUUUUUUUAAAAGUGAAUUCUGAGAAAGUGAAUUAUUUUUCGAUGUUUGGUAAUGUAAUGAAAAAUAAGUUGGAAAACACUUUCCAGUGUUUGGUUAUUUCAUGGAAAAAUGAACUAACUUAUUACUGUUUUAUUUUUCUCAAGUUUAUUAAAAUAAUGAGGAGCAAAUCUUACAAAUUUAAAAGUGGAAUGAGAAUGAAAUUGAAAAAAAAAAAUUUCAUGAAUUAUCUCAAAUAAAAUAAAUAAUGAUCAAAAUAAUAAAGAUCAAUCUAAAAAAUAAAAGACGAAGAAAUUAAAAUAAUAAUAAUUAACAUUUCGUAAAUUAUUUUAAAUAAAAUAAGUAACAAUUAAAAUAACGAGGACCAAAUUUGAUAGGUAAAAAAUUUAAAUAAAAAAAUAAUAAGGAAAAAGCAAAUAACAAUUAUAAAAAUGAGGAUUAAAGUUAAUAUAAAAAUUAAAUUUUAAGAGAUAAAAUUGAAAAAUAAAUAUUCAAAACAAAACAUAUAUAGCAAUCAAAAGUUUGAGGACCAAAUUUGAUAUAAUCAACAAAUAAUAUGACAUUUCUAAAUUUUUCAUAACUUCCGGAAAGUGUUUUUCGCCCAAAUUUUUCAGGAAAAUAUUUUCCUUGGAAACUAAGCCAAAUUUUUCUUUAGUAUUUUCCGUUGACCAACUUUCCUAAUGACAAAUAAAUACAUGAAAGUCUGAAAAGUGAUUUUCCAGAAACCAUUUUCUAGGAAACAAACAUAGCCUUAUUUAUAAUUAAUAGAAUGAAUACUAAAAAUAUUAUUAGUAUUAAAUAAUACUAUUUUUAUUAUAAGUAAUAAUAUUACAGUAAUAAUAAUAGGAAGCUCCACGUGGCGCUAAGGCUACUCUUGCGCCAUAUAGUGGUUGGGAUGCUGCAGUCAAUCAAGCCUUUUACCAAGAUCCAAGCACUAGGUGGUACUCAGGUUUUUUCAAGCGUCAUAUAGCAUAGGGUUUGCUAUAGUCAAUUGGACCUUUUAUCAAGACCCAAGUGCCAGGUGACCUUGGCAAAAAGUCUGGGCUAGGCUGGCAACUAUUUGUAUCAAGAGUCGAGUUGUUAUAAAAUUCAUAAUAUUUUUUAUUUAUAUAAAUAGUAACAUCAACGCUGAACCUUUUUAAUGUAUUAUAUAAAUUCUUCCCAGUAUCGAAUGUCAAAAAUGUAAGUUUAUCAAAUGCUGCAAGCUCAAACAUGUAAAGGUGAAUAAAAUUUAGCAAUACAUCAAUUUUUGCUUGAAAAGACUCCCUUGAAUUCAAAAAUACAAUGCAAAGAAAUAACUCUGUGUUAAUUUGUAGCUCUAGAUCAUAAAAUUCAAGCCAUAAAAUUUAAAUUUGGAACUUUCUUGAGUAUGAUCAACUUUUUUUUAUUUUUUUUUUGGAAAAAAAUAAAUUAAAAGUGCAUAGGAAUGAGAUCACGGGAUGAUGGAGGCGUGGGUUGUUGCCCCCGACCCCACCAUCCAGGAUUAGAAAUUGCCAUUUAAAUCCAUUAGUUAUUGCAUAUGAAUUUUAUUAUUUUUAUAUAUAAUGAUUUUAAUGUAUAUUUUGUUGUUUGAUAAUCACAAAAUCAUCAUAUGACUAAAUAGGUUUGCCUAUUUGUUUAGUUUAUAAAAAAUUAAAACACAGUUAUGAUAUACAUAUGGAACAAGUAUGAAGUUUAUACUUGGAUAUAAAAAUAUAACUAAGUUGAAAUUUUUGUUAGUAUCAGUGAUAAAUUAUUUAUCUCUAAUACUUUAUCAUUUCUCACUUUGUAUAAAAUAGUUAAGUAACUUCGAUAUGUCUGUUAGGAUUUUAACAACUACUCAUUGUAUGAGUAUAUUUUAAAAUAAGAUUCAUUAAUUUCAAAUGAAUUAUACUAAUGAUCUAUCUACAAAGACCAAAUAUAAAUCAUAAAGUAGAAAAAAUAAGCUAAAUAUCAAGUUUAAAAAACCCAACAACAAAUAAAUGAAAGAGCUCAAAUAAAAAAAAAAUUAUCACACUUUUCACUCAUAGGAACACCUGUUUAUAUAACUCAAGAUCCAAAACAUUAAUUUUAUAAUUCAUGAAUAUCUAUUAAUUACCAUGAAUGUUUGUAUUCAUAAACAUAUCCAUGAACAUUCAUGAUUCACGAAUUACUUAUAAUUAAAUUCAUUAUUACGGUAUAAUUAAUACAUUAGUUUAUAUAUCAAGACAUUUUAUGAACAAAAUAUUAAUGAUCAAACAAAAACUCAGGUAGCAAAUAUAUCAUAUUAACCAAAGCUCAAACCCAAACUAACAAGCCUAUAAAUUUGUUGUCCAAUCCGCAAAUUUGUUUUGAAUUUGAAACUUUUAUUAUUCAAAUGGUAUUUGAGAACAAUUUUUUAUUCAUCUUUAAUAAUUUUUUAAAAAUAUACUCAUAUUGCAUGUUAAAGCACUAAUGUUGAAAUUAUAAAAUUCAAUAAGAUUUUAAUUUUAAAUAUGAGUGACCCUUGCAUUUUAUCAAGUAGUCUAUUAAUCUUAUACAAUGACGUGAGUUUUUAAUUUGUUCCUGUAUUUUUAAUUGAUUCAAUUUUAUUCUUGCAAAAUGACUAAAAUUUUAAUUUACCAUCUUGUUGACUUUUCGUUUUAAAUUAACACAGCCAAACAUGCAUAGAUUUAAUAUUAUAUAAAAAAAGGAUCCUAGUAAAGGUGGAGGGUCACCUAAGCCAGGAGAAAAUGGAUGUUUAUAAGAGGGUGAGAGAUCCGGUCUCAUGUGAAGUUGUUCAAAAAAAAAUAUUUUAUUUGUCGCGUGCUUUAUACACAACUGACAUGUUGAUAGAGUGCAAUACCUUUUAUUUUAUUUUAUUAAAAUAGAUACGUGGUUUAGUUUGCGUGUACCUUAAUUAAUUAUACAAGUUUUGAAGUUAACGACUGUAUAAGUUUUUAGUGGCUUCGAAAUUUAUAAGAUACGAAUUAGUGAUAUAUAGAAAACAAACCUAGAGUCUAACUAAUUGAGUUAUAUUUUUUAUGAUUCAUAGAGCAAUACUUGUUCAUUAAUGUGAUUUUUUUAAAAAAAUUCAGCGCAUUAAUAGAUUAUAAAUUUUCUCACUUUAUCGGGAUAAAAUUAAUUCAAUUAAUAAUAUAAAAUAUAUUGAAAAUUCAUUUUAUGACCCCAAUUAUUUUUUAGUUUUAGAAAUACUUUUGAAAGAUUUUUUUAUUUUAAAUUAAUUAUUUUUUUAUGUUUUUGGAUUGUCUAGAUGUAUUAACAUUAAAAAUAAAUUUUAAAAAAUAAAAAAAUUAUUUUAAUCUAUUUUUAAAAUAAAAAUAUUUUAAAAAUAACUGUUAUUAAAAUAUGAAAUUCACCCUUAAUCACAACUUAACUAUUUUGCCUUCAAUAUAUAUCUUUCUCUUUCAUUUGUGUUGCUUCUGUUCUUUUUUAUUUCUCAAAAAAAUGAUCACGACCUGAGAAGGAAACGUAAGUGAAAUGUUUCAGAAAAAUAAUAAUUGGACGAUUAGUGUUCUUCGCAAUACAAUCAGAGGACGGCGAGAUAUCCAGAGUGUGUUUGGUAUUGCGGUAGCUAUUAUGGUUGUGGUUUGAAAAAAAUUGUUUUAUAAAAAGUAUUUUUAGUUGAGGUUGGUUUGAAAAAAUGGUUGUUUGGUUAAAACUGUGGUUAAAAUUGAGGUCGAAGAAAAAGUAAUUUAAUGUGUUUGGUUAAGAAUGCUUUUGAAAUUGAGAUUAUAAAAUAAUUUUAAAAAAUAUAUAUUAAUAUUGAUGGUUUUAAAUUUAAAUAUUGUAAAAUUAAUUAUUCCUAUUACAUAAUGAAAAAAAUAAUACUUUAUAUAAAAUAUUUUUUAUUAUUCCAUUAAACUAUUUAUAAUUUCAUUACGUAUAAAAUUCAUCCGAUAAGAACUACAUCUUUCAUAAUUUUUUGAGAUGUAAUAAAAUUAGAUAAAAUAUUAUUAGAUAUAAAAUUAAUAUUAUUGUGCGAGUAAAUUUAAUUUACUCUAUACUAGUUUUUCGAGAAAAAAAUAUUGUUCACAUCGCGAAUGAAUUUAAUUCUCUAAACUAUUUUUUUUUUAAAAAAACCAAAAUUAAUACAAUUAACACACUAAAAAAAACACUAAAAAAAAACAGUGAACAGUGCAAUUCACUCAUGAACAGUGCAGUGAAUUGCACUGGUCUUUUGUUUUUACAUGCUACAUGCGCGCAAAGCAGGUUUUUCAUGCUUUUCAUUUUCAGCGUUUUAAAUGUAAAAACCACGUGGGUCUUAUGCACAGUAAAUCAAGUUUUUUUUAUUAUAAAACGCAGCCGUAGCCGCGUAGACAAACAUACUCCCAAUCUCAUUUAUUAAGUACUUGGAAUAAUGGUGUAAAAUAUUUUUAAUAUUACACUUAAAACUGUAUUAUUUCAUUAAUUUUUUUAUUUUAAUUCAUUAUUUUUUAAAAUUUAUACACUAAUCACCCCAUUUAUCCAUGACAUGGAUUAGUAGAACAGACCUCAGUCGCAUUAAUAUCUUAGUUCGAUAAUAAAAAGAAAAAAGAGAGACUAGAGCGAUCAUGUUUUGGAAACUCCAAGAAUGUCGUUGAAUCUGUGUGUGUUCCACAGUCUCGAGUAGCGCGUGAAAUAAAUGGAACUAUUACAUGAAUUCUUUCUGCCCACGACAGAAGCAAGGAUUGGGGCGUCAUGGUUUUGGAGUUUGCUACCCCACUUUACUGUCUUGUCUCUUUCUGUUGGUCUUCUGACCUUAGAUUUGAUGCGAUCGCCACGUGGCAGUUGCUGCAAAAUUGGCAAAAAAUGCUGAAGUAUUUAAAGAAUUUUUAAACGAGGAGGGAACCUUUAGAGACUUGAAAGCGUGCAGUUUAACAUUGAAUAUUAAAAAUCACCUUACACCGUAAUUUCAAUCGCUAUCAACAUUUUCAAUGUUCAUAACCUUGUAUUUAUUUAUUUAUAUGAAUAUUAGUUCUUAAAAUAAAUAAAAAACCCAGCUCUCCAUCAAAUGUCAAAUUAUUUCGUUGAAAGCCACUCGUUAUUUGAUGGUGUUUAGAAAUGUGAUAUAAAUUAUAUUUCAUUAAAAUUUUAAUUUUUUUUAAUUAAAAUUUAUUUUUUAUCUUUUAAAUCAUUUUGAUGUAUUGAUCUUAAAAAUAAUUUUUUAAAAAUAAAAAAAUAUAAUUUUAAUAUAUCUCGUUAUAGAAAAUAUUUUAAAAAAUAAUCACAUUCAAAUUUCCAAACAUUUAAUUACUUAUUCCUUCCAAACAAAUCAAAUAGUGAUUAUGAAAUUUUCAUUUGUUUUUUUUUAAGCUACUCUUGCUACAUGCAAUCAAAUAACAAGAUAAAUGUACACGUAUUAUAAAUAAGCAAAAGAAAAAAAUAUAAUCAAGGAAACCUAUAUACUUGUUUUCAAUCACAUCCAAAACUUAUAAAUCUUAUCAAUUUGGUAUCAAAUAUUUCCUACAUUUGUCAAUUUUCUAACGAUUCAAAGCCUAUUUUGUAUAUUUUAUACACUAAAAUAGUGUUAGUUAAAAGAAAAUUCGAUGAAAAAGUUAAUAAACCUCAAUGUUUUCAGUCUAAUGUGCAUAUUUAUGUACUAAAAGGACAUCAAUUUGAAAAUAUUCGAUAAAAUCAUCGAUGAACAUUGACAAAAAGAUCUUAUUGAAAGGUUUUUGAUAUAUUUGGAGCCUAAUUAAUAAAAUUUAUAGAUUUGGUGGAGUGGUUGCAACUUGCAACGUGUAAUUCGAGUUCGGCUCUAGCUUGUCUUUAAGGCAAUUAAAGCCCAAAACAAAUAUAGCUUUGGCCCAUAAGAUUAGCCCACAGAAUCUCAACACCAGCAAACGUUAACGUAGUGGAGAAGGAAACGGAAUACCACCUGCCCGUUUAGUUCGCCAUGUCAACUCGCUACUGACAAGUAAUAACAAAACACGGCAUAGCAUAAAAAUAAAGUAAAAGCUGAACUCCUACAACUCCUCUACUCGCACACAUUAUAUAAGAAUUCCUUGCCAUCUUGUUUUCCGUUCCAGUGUCGGAAGACAAUUUCCACAGGAAAAAGGAAAAAGAGAUACCGAAAUGGCGUUGAGGCUGAGCUCAAGAGAUGUAUCUGGAUUCAAGUUCCUCUUCUUUCUAGCGACCAUCUUUAGUCUCAUAUCGGUUCUUGUUUACUCCAUAAUUCACAUGAAAUUCAUCAAGCCUCUCGAGAUCGACGCCCCUCUCGAUCGCUUCUCCGAGGCCAGAGCCAUCCAACAUGUUGCAGUUCUAACCAAAGACGACCGUCAGGUCAGCCGCCCCACCCCCCUCACUGUCUUUGCAUAUAUAUAAUUCUUUAAUUAUCUAUUAAUUGGCUUUGACUUUGAAAAACCAAAGGAAGGGCGUCCUGGAUUAAGAAAAGCGGCGGUGUAUAUUAAAGAACAGUUAGAAAUGCUAAAGGAGAGAGCUGAAUCCAAUAUCAGGUUCGCCGGUAUGGUUCGCUUUUUAGAGAGAAUUUAACUAUGAGUUUUGUUUAUUCACCCUUGUCAUUUUUUUUUAACUUUUGCAGAAUUGAGGUUGAAGAGGCAACUGUUAAUGGUACAUUUAAUAUGAUAGUUCUAGGGCACAGCAUGUCUUUCGCGUAUAGAAACCAUAUAAAUAUUGUUGCCAGGUAAUCUCUUUACUUCUUGCUGAAAUUGAUUCCGUGUUUCAUGUCCUGACGUUCAAUUAGUGUUAGUUAGAAUCAUCCGAGGAAUGAGACUUUUUUCCCCAUUAAGUAUAAGUGUAGUUACAAUUAGCUUUCAUAUGGGGACCGGUAUUGUUCUGUGGGAUUUUCUUACAUCCUCCAAGGAACCUCGUGUCUUCCAUUUUCAAUGGAAUGGGCCAUAUACCUUUGUCAAGAUAUUAUGGUUCUGGAGUUAUUACAUAUAAGUUAUCCAGCACCGAAUCUGGUAGGAAUAAUAAGAAUCAAAGCCCAGGUUGGUUGGUGAGCCUAGUGACAGGAGACUAUCUAGCUUGUUUCGGAGAGCAUUUGCUGGGUUAAAGAUUUUUUUGUUUCAAAAUGUCAUGGCCUAAAUGCUGAACUAUUGACCCUACUUGUUCGGAUGGGUGUUCACACCAAAGUGUUCUCCGACUGCAUGCAUACAUCUGUAAGUAACUUAGUGCAACAUGAAAAUUUCACCUAGAGGAAUCAGACAUUUAAAACUUCGCUGUUCACUUCUGGAACUAAGGCCAGGAAGCUGAAUCACGUGAAGGGAAAAUGUUUAAUUUUUUUUUCUUCUUACCUCAGAAAAUAAUAAUAAAAUAUCACAUUAUGUUUUUUAUGCAGGGUCUUCGAAUACAGUGCCUAACUUCUAUGUUUUAUUAGUUAUAGAAUUGAUAGGUUAGGAAAUGGGAAAAUAGGCUUUAGGUGGGUAAUGGGGUGUGUUUAGCUUAAGGUUGUGUUCUAGAAAUGUAAAUGAACAAGGAACUGGGCUCAAGUAGGCUAGAAAGGAAGAAAACAAACCUAGCAUCACACCAGGGCUCCUAGAAAUCACUCCUAUGAAUUCUUAGGCAUCACACCGAAGAUAAGAUGCAUCACACAUCUAAACCUUAAAUGCUUAAAUCGCUUGUACUUUACAUAUAUGGUAUUAUAAUUGUCUAUAAUGUGUAUGCCUCGUGACAUGACAAAGGUUGUAUUUUUAUCUUACAUUUUUGGAAAACACCAUUGUGGACUAACUUUUACUUAAUGACAGGAUAUCGUCAGCAGAUUCACAAGAAACUGACGCAUCUGUUUUAAUUAAUGGCCAUUUUGAUAGUCCUCUUGGUUCACCAGGAGCUGGUGAUUGUGGUUCAUGUGUUGGUGAGUAAAUUACAUCUCUUAACCACUUGGGCUGCCUUAAAUAUCUCAAACGUACUUGUUGAUUAUGAAUUUUCAUGCCUAGUCAUUUCAAUUUGCAUGUUUGAUUGUUUUGCAGCAUCAAUGCUGGAAUUAGCUAGAGUUACUGCAGAAUCGGGCUGGAUUCCUCCUCGACCUAUUAUUUUUCUUUUUAAUGGCGCAGAAGAACUUUUUAUGUUGGUAUAGGAUCUAUUCACAAGCAAUAUUACUAUGUGAUUAGCUUUUUAAAACACUUGUUGUGUCGAGGUUUCCAUUGUGGACCAAUCAUAUUUCCGAAGAUAUUGAAUGCAGUUUUCUUUUUCCUACUUUGUUAGACAACCUCGACAAAUCUAGUAAAAAAAAACAUUUAAUAGACCAUUAUUUCACUAGGUAUUUUCUAUUUGACUUCUCUCAUUUUCAAGCUUAAAAGAGGUUGGUUGAUUAUGGUGUUUCAGGGUGCACAUGGCUUCAUGAAGACACAUAAAUGGCGUGAUUCAAUUGGAGCUUCUAUAAAUGUGGAAGCAUCUGGGACAUCUGGUCCUGGUAGGUUGUGAUCCAAUUUGAAUGUUACUUUUCUUCAGCCUUUUUAGAAUGCAUAUGGUACAUUGACUCAAUGAUUUGGAGAAAAGGGAACUGGAUUUAGAGAAGAAAAUGUAAAGCAGCCUGUGAACUACAUGACAUACAACUUCUUUCUUACAUCAUGAUUGAUCCAGGAAGCAUCUUAAAGUUAGUUCAAUGUAAAUUCACAUAAUAUCAUAAUGAUUUUACCAUGUUCUAGACUUCACUCACUUCCUAAGCUGCCAGAUAUGGAAAUAUAAGAAAUGAAUUGAAACUUUAUCUGUUGUUAGUUGGCAACAUAUGUUUUCGACUUUUUCUAAUGUUCCUGAGUUGUGUGUAAUGGUCCUGCUACUCUAUGCUAAUGUGAAUACUGUUGUACUAACAGAUUUAGUCUGCCAAUCUGGACCUGGGUCUUGGCCUUCUCAAUUAUAUGCAGAGUCUGCAAUAUAUCCCAUGGCACAUAGUGCUGUUCAGGUUUUCUUUUCUUUUCUUGGUUUUGAAAAUUAACUUCAAAACAUUCUGAUGAGUGUUUUAUUAUAUGAUUACUUGUAAAGGAAACAGGCAAACAAAUAACAUUCAUAUAAUUUUGUUUCACAUCAUUUGGGCCAGUAUAAAACCCUCCUAACAUAUUAAUGUGGCUUAUCCCAAUACCUGUCUGCUGCGCUUGUCUGCUGUUUGCAUUUAAUUGUUUCAAUUCUAGUGAUCUAUUUCUCUUCGUAGGACGUCUUUCAUGCUGUUCCUGGAGAUACAGAUUACAGAAUAUUUUCCCAUGAUCACGGAAACAUUCCAAGCCUGGAUAUUAUCUUUCUUCUUGGUGGUUAUUACUACCAUACAUCCUUUGAUACAUUGGACAAAUUACCGUAUGCUUUGCUUCUGCCAUUUCAUCAUAUAAAUAUUUCAUUGGAAUUCUUUUGUCACUUUAUUCUUAAACGCAUCCUCUUAUGCAUCUGCAUGUACUCACACCAGACCUGGGAUCAUGCAAGCACGUGGAGACAAUUUGUUAAGCUUACUGAAAGCCUUCACAAAUUCUUCUAAGCUACAAAGUGCUCGAGAAAGAGAAUAUCUUGAAGCUUCAAUCAAUGACUACAAGGAUGAGAGGGCUGUUUUCUUUGAUUUCUUAUCAUGGUUCAUUGUAUGCUGCAAAAUUUAUGACAUCUGCUCUAUCCAAUUUCAUUAUUUGUACUUAAAUUUUAACUUAUUUAUGACUCACUGUGUGAUCUUAUUAUGACCUUGAUUAAUUCAUAACAUUGUCCUUAUAUCUUUAAUGUUUUUUUUUUUUCCAGAUAUUCUAUUCAAGAAGGGUAGCUCUGGUACUUCAUAGUAUUCCCAUUGUCAUUUUUCUUGUCAUGCCAUUCCUUUUGCAUUUUUGGGAUUCUAGGUCACGUUCUUGUUUUGCAACCUUCUAUGAUUUUGUGAAAGGUUAACUCUCUACUGCUGAUUUCUAUAUGAUUUUUUUUUCAUCUGAAUCUCCAUGCUCUGAUACUUCAUACACACGACACAAGACAUGCAUAUUGAAGAUUUUGUGAAUAAUACUCAGAAUUUGUUUACUUUCAAGGAAUGCUUUUCCAUGCUGCUGGAAUUAUAUUGGCUAUUAUUUUCCCAGUUAUCUUUGCCACUGUGAGACUGUUCUUCACUAGUUAUGCGAUGAGCUGGUGAGUUUGUUCUCUGUUUCUUUUCUUUUAUUCUCCCUGAAAUUUCAAAUGGGAAAAACUUCACCAGUUGUGAGCGUGGGGUCUCCAUAACUGCUGGUCAUGGUCUUUUUUCAGUAGUUUCAUUGUAUUCGACAGAAAUAUGAACUUCUAUAGGAUGAUGAUGUUAUAAUGAUGAACUUCCAUGGGACACCAUGAAUGUCUUCUGUUACUCAGAAGUAGCUAGAGGAUGAUGUUAUAACUGUUGGUCAUGGUUCUCUUUGACAUGCAAGAUUCUAAUGCAGGUUUGCACGUCCAUACCUGGCAUUCCUGAUGUUUGUCCCAAGCUCACUUGUUGGUUUGCUGAUUCCAAGAACUGUUUGGGGUUGUUCCCCCCCUUCUCAAGAUGUUUCAGUCAUCAAUAAAUCAGAGGUAUUAUUUUCAAUUGAUUACUUAUUCAGGCCGUGUUUGUUACAUUAACACACAUGACUAGAAGUGCUUGCAAAUCGGGAUUUUUUCUAGCUUUACAUUCUAGGUUGCAUAUUCAUUUGGAAUAUAUCUUUGGUUGCUAAUAAGAGUGAGUAUACCAUUUAAUAUGGUAUUCAAGUUGUGCAGCAACAUUUACUGACUUCAUCAAUGCGAAGAAAUUUCAAAAUAAUUGAUCUGAAUGCAAGUCUGUAUCAAAAUAUGAGAAAACAAGAUGAAACCAAUUUAUUAGGAAUUGAAAACCAAUACAGAAACAUGAUCAGAAGAUAAGUUGUUUUCAUAAAGGGGGAAAGAGUCCUCUGAUUGCUAAGGAUGAGCAAACAUUUGAUAUGCGUGGCAUUUAGUAGAGACCAGUGGCUAAUUUAUGGUCACUUUCUUUACUUUGACUACUGUAUUGUUGAGCUUCUCAUUUAAUAGAGCCUCUUUUCAAUAGAGCCUCAUUGAAAAGUAAAGCAUCAAUUGUAAUCUUAGGCCUAAUUAGGAUUUUUGAUAAUUUUAAAAAGUUCUCCAAAAUUGUUACUUUGACUACUGUAUUGUUGAGCUUCUCAUUUAAUAGAGCCUCAUUGAAAGGUAAAGCAUUAAUUGUAAUCUUAGGUCUAAUUAGGAUAUUUGAUAAUUAUAAAAAGUUCUCCAAAAUUGAAUUGCUGAAAACUAUUUUCUUGAAUGAAAACUGUUUUCUUGAAUUGCAUCAGCUACUUUAUAUGAAUGACGGACAUGUUUUACUUCUCUCUUGUAAAAGUUUGUUUCUUUCCUUAUGAUGUUAACUAUGGGUCAUUGCUUGGCACAAUGGUAAAGAUAAACUUGUGGCUUGCAACCAACAAGGUUGCGUUUUGAGCCCUGAGAACAACAUGCAACUUCAUGUUAAAAGGUAGAAUGGCAAGAUUGCUUCCAAAUUCUCUUUCCAAGACUCCCCUUUAAUGGGUCAAAUUGCAAUCUUCAUAAGAUAAACUUUCCAUAAAAUAUGCAAUCCCACCACAUUUGUUAGUGAUUUGAUUCAUUGGACUCUUUGAUUUGCGUUGUAUGGCUAAUCAUAUAUUUUCCCCCUUAUUUUAAAUUGCUUGGUAGAAUUGUGCCUUACUUGGAGUUUGUUGGAGUUGUGUUUGCAUCUGGAUGGGUGUUAAAUCUAACGCAGGAGCACCAUUCAUCACUGAAGCUAGCAGAUAUCUGAAAUGGAGUGUAUUUUGUAGGCUCUAUCCGAAGAAGCAAGGUUUUGGGGAGCAUUUGGAUUUUAUGCUUGCAUAACUUCGGUAUUCAGUUUACUAUUUAGAAUAAAUCUUUGUGGCUUCUAGAUUUUGAUAGUUUCUAAAAUUUGCUAACUAUCUGGUAGGCCUAUCUGGUAGCUGGGCGUGGUGGAGGGUUCCUGACCUUUAUUGUGUUGGCAUCUAUGCUUCCUGCAUGGAUCUUCUUUUCCCUAUCUGUCAAGUCCUACGAUCAUCAUCAAUCAUCCAGGUACUGAUUUUGAUGGAUCACAAUCAAAUUCCUUCUUGUGAAUGUUGGCUUGAAUUUUUCUUCCCAUCUUCUUAUCAUGUAGAAAUUGCAUGUAUCUCGUUGCUGGUUUCUGAUGUUGUAUUUGGAGACUCCUUAAAUUUGUUAAGAUGUAUCUCUUACAGCUACUCUGAAAUGCUAUCUUUUCUCUAAAUGUUGAAGCAUGCCUCAAAAUAUCAGCUCUUGGGUGAUUCAUGUCUAUUUAUGUAUCCCAUGUAUGCGAGGUGUUUACCUUUGGUGAGUUUUUAAUAAAUUUUAGUACACUGCAAUGGUUGUAGCCUCAAAAUAUAAGCUCUGGCUGAUUUUUCACCAUUCAAGUACGCUGGACUUCCAUUUUAGUAACCCUUUAGCAUUGUUUUGGAGCCUCCUUGGAAGAUAGGGGUGUUGUCAUCUUCAAAUGUCUUUCAGAUUUCUUUACAACACACAUCAUGUUGAACCCUAACACAGCAGUUGCCAUCAAGCUGUCCUUACAACGUUAACUUUUUGAGAAGAGGCUUCAAUUAAUUGAAAGACAAUAUCAAAUAUUCUAUUGCUGAAUUAUUUUCAAGAACCGCUCCUUGUGAACCACUUAAUUGACUGUUGAUUCUGUUGAAAUGCAUCAUGUUUUUCUGCUGCUCAUGGUUUGGGCUGUUGUUUCAUUGCAUCCAAAGUGCAGCUUGUUGAUGGCAUGUCUUAGAACUUUGGAAAAUUUUGAGAGUUCACACCUUGUUUCUCUGUUUUUUUUUUUUGUGGGUCGGAUCUUUUGGCACUUAUUUCCUUUAUUAUUUUUAAGUGUUUUCUUUCAUUUUUUCUUUUUGUUUACAAGAAGACUUGAAACUGUCUUGCAGGAGAUUAAUGGUGAUAGCAUGCCAAAUGGAACUAUAGAUUGUUGUCUCUUUGCUCUUUUUUCUCACAUUAAAGUCCAUUUUUUUCCCUGUAUUUUAAGUGACUUUCUAAUUGGAAAAAAGGUGGUAAAUGGCAGUGAAAUAAACAGAAAUGGUCUGACUUAUGCUCUUUCUUUCAGGCCAGCAGUUUUUUAUGUAAUACCUCUAAUUCCAUGUCUCACUUACUCAGCAUAUUUUAGUGGAUUUGUAAUCCAAUUUUUGAUCGAGAAGUUGGGUAUGAUAGGUUUUCUCCCACCUCCCUAUGGUUAGUAUUCCUGACUAUUUAUUCUGAUGUCAUUUAUAUCUGCCUUUUCAAUUGGAUUAUUUCCGGUUUUUCUUUUGAACUUGAGACAGUGGCAAAACUGUUGAAUCAAUAUUUGUUCAUUUCUCACAUUUUAAUUGUAAAAUUGAAUUUUGUAUAAAUAAUACUGUCAGAAAGUGCAAAUUGCGUACUACAUGAGGUUUAUCAAUACUCUUUUCACCUUUUGUUGAAUUCAUGGGCUCGGAGAUCCUGGUAUUUUUUUUACACUGCUGAUUGUCGAGAACUUUUGGAUAGGUGUAAAAAAGGAAGAAUUGGCCUGUUAGUAAUUUCAAACUGAUUGUUAAAUGAAUUAUCCUUUCUAUAUAUUUUUUCUGUCUUAGGUUCAAAUAUUAAGAAUUCUUGAUGUAACGUUUCAUUUUGUUGAAUAGACUUUAUUAUUGACUGCUUUCAUUGCAUAUCAUAUGGUUGUACUUGCAACUUCCCCAUGGCUAAAAGAGGAUGAUGAACUUAUCUCUUUAAAAUUUCUUUUUUGUACUCUUGUCCCAAUGACUUUCAAGUAUGCCACACCUCAGGGUAGUUUUAUUUCCAGUAGUCAGUAAUCUACUGAAGAAUCAUUAUGGUUGUUUUGUACCAUUAUAGUUGAGCAAUCAAUUAUAUGCUCUGAAGUGGAGUGGAUUAUGAUUAUUAGAUCCAUAUUUGCAGGGUAUUAUGUUGCUGAUGUUUUCGUGGCAGCAACAAUUGGCGUUGCAACUGGUUUGUGUGUGGGCCCAAUAAUACCUGUGUGUAGUCACUGGUUAGCUCGGUCUUCAAUCUUGCAGCUCUUGUUGCAAGUUAGUGUGCUUGCUCUGGCUUUGUCAUCUCAAUUCUUUCCAUACAGCAAUCUUGCACCAAAGAGGGUUGUUUUUCAGCAUACGCUUGUUACUACAGGUAUGAAGAUGAGAGCACUUGAUCUUUAAAGCCGUUUAAAACUUUAGUGAGUUAGAACUGCUAGACAGCAAUUGAUGUGUGAAUAGGAACAGAGUUCAAUUAUUAGCUCUGUUAUUGGCUUCUUGAUUUGUUCUGAUUUCUAAAGCCCCCUUUCUCAUCCACCUUGCCUAAAAACGUCUUUUUCUUGUGUUGAUUGACAGAUGCGAAUAGGAUUGUGAACUCCAGCUAUGAAUUUUCUGUUUUAGAUUCCAAUUCUUUAACAUUUCUUUUCAAAUAUGCUCCUGAAGUGGCAAAGGGACUGCAUAUGGGCCAAGAGUUAUCUUUUGAAACUGCUAACAUGUCUCCCCGAGAGACCUGGUUGGUAAGAAAAUUUUGCCCUUGAUGUCUGCUGCUAAUGCUAUGUCAAAUUUAUAUUUUGAGUUGGCUCUUUUGCCUCGUCAAGAUACAACAAGUUAUAAAACUUGCAACGGCAUCCACAACAGAUGGGUGGUUUAAAUCUGGAAGCACGUGAUAAUUUCCUUUUAAUUUGUUAAUCUUUCCUCUCUCCCCAACCUGGGGCAUUUUUCAUAACAGCCUUGUUGAAACAAAUGGGGGAUGGUAUCCUAUUCUGAACACAUAAGUUAUGUCAGGUUUUCUCAAAUUCCAUUGGAGCGGUAGAUUUAAUUUUUGUGCCCAGCAAGAGCAAAUUACUUUGUUUUGAAUUACAUGUUCUAUAAUGAUUGUAAAUCCUUCAAAUUCAUAGAUAAACCUUUAUUUUGUGUAACUUUCUUUCUUUCUUUAAUUUCUUUGGCAGGGAAGUUUUCCGAUGUCUAGUUUGUUUUCGCAAAGCUUAAAGUUCCCUGCAAGGAGUGAUGGUGUUUUUAAACAAUAUAGAUAUUUCCCCUACUUAUCUACUUACAAGCCACAUACCAUCUCUAACGAUAGAUCUCGGAGAGUUUACUUGGAAUUUUCCUUGGGGUAAGUAGAGUGAACUAUUGAUCAUGGAAGUGCAUGAAAAGUUGUUUUGUGCUCCAAAAAUCUAGUUCUUUGAGUUUGUGCAUCCUCAGUUUGGAGGGAUAGGAUGUGGGUAUGCUCAUAGUUCAACUGUAUGCUCAGCAAGUAACUGUUGGGCAUUUUUGACAGUAGCGCAGUGCGCGCUCUUGGGGGAGGAAUUCAAAUCUGGAUUAUUCCAGGUGAGGGUAUGCUGUCUAGCUCAGCUACACCCACUCAUCUGAAACCACGGGACCAUGUUGAAAGAUCUCGAUGUUGCUUUAACAAAUUACUGCUCUUUCAAAUGAACAAACUGUCUAUAUGUUUCUUGCCUGAUUUGAAUAUACAUAUAUCGGGUAAAUUUGUUUUUGCACUGCAUGUUUGAUGGAUAAUUGGUAGAUGCUCUAUAAAUCCCAGACAUGGGGCAAAAAACUUGAAGUGACUACAACAGGGAUGCUAUUUGACUGCAUAGGAGUGAAACAACUAAAAAAAGUUCAGUUUAAAAUUCAAAUCUAACCUUGUGUUCUCAUGAAUACUUGUGUGCGCAUGUUAUUUCCUAGAGCAUAGAUUUCUUUUUUAACAUUUUUUAUUCAGAUGUAUGGGUUUUUAUCUUCAUACGUUGUGUCUUUUCAGUGAUUUGGAGGAGGUUUGGCUUGCAGUCCUUAACAUCACCGGUCCUUUAUCAAGCUGGUCAUUUGCAGACAACAAGCUUCCAGGUAUGAAAUUUUAAGAUUCCACUUUUGCUUAUGAGCAUUUUGCUUUGUUGUGCAAGCAAUCACACUGGAAAUCGCACAGAUCCUGAAACAGUGGAAGGUGGUCCGCCAUCCUACAUACUGAGACUUAGUGGAACCAGCCAAGCAAACUGGACUUUCUGGUUAGAGGUAAAGUUCUGUCCUUGAUUUGGUUAGGCUACAAAGAUGAUCUUUUUACACAGUUCAUUUCUGUUUUCUGCUCUCUUUGGAAAUAACAGGCCAGCAGUUCUGAUGAUUUAAGGGUGGAAGUUGCUGUGGUAGACCAAGUUUUAGAUGAUGAAGCACAGAGGUUGAAAGGCCUUUUCCCAGACUGGGCAGAUGUCACUGCUUAUUCUAGCUUCAUGUCCAGCUACAUUUUCUAAUCCUCUGGAUUUUUGAACUUCCAAUGUAUGAACUUUGCCCGAAAAUUAUAUAGACCCAGAUGAUAACCAUCGCAAAUAUCGUUCAAAAUUAAAUUUGCAGAAAAUUACAAAGCCGCAUGGCCAUGAUCCUGAAGCUGUUGUGCUCCAAAACAUACCCUGAAACACCAUUUUUCAGCUAUCGUUUUUCGACGAACGAUCAACCAAGAACUGUGUACACCUACAUUAAUCGAAUCAUCUUCAACGGGUUUCAGGUUCCAGCAAUCUGAGCCUCUUCCACUUUGCUAGUUCUGAAAAUUGGGAUGUCAAUAGUUGUUUGAGUUGGCAAUUUUAAUAAAAAAAAUAGAAAAUUAAAAAACCAAGCAAGUAAUGGAUAGGAUUAAUGUCAGCCAUGCCCUUUGUGUAAGGGUGCUUGACCAUAAGCCUGUUGAUCAUUAAAUCUCAUUGGCUUAUAAAAAAUAUUAGUAAUUAUAUAUAUAUAAAUUCUUACCAGUAGAUGCUCCUUAAUUACAGGAAACUGGGGCUUCAAAUUCUUACCGAGGAAGCUACCCGUCUUAUUGAUAUAUGAAAAAUAAUUUUAAAGAAUUGUUUCGGUGGACAAUAAGUAUGUUUCUUUAAUUUUUUUGAAUUCGAAUUUUGGAAUAAAAAAUUAAAUAUUUUAUGAAAUAUUCUUGAAUAUAUUGUAUUGAUAUAGGGAUGUAGCUUGAAAAUCUGUCAGAAGAGAAUUAGACGUAACCUUUGACAUCAAAUAAAAAAAUAUGUAUGAAAGCAUGAAUUAUCUUAUGUAAAAAGAAAAAAAAAAAUUAGAGGCUAUUGGAUCUUUUACAUACCCUAAAAGCCUAUUUGCCCUGAUAUUAUGUUUUCUGAAAAUAUAUUUUAUUUAAAAAUAUAUUUUAUUUUUAAUAUCAAUAUAUUAAAUUUUUUUUAAAAUAAUAAAAAAUAAUAUUUUUUAAAUGAAAUCUACUCAACACCUAAAAAAGAAAAGGAGGUGGGCUUCAGAAGAGAAGCUGAAUAAAAAAAACCCAAGCCCAAAAGGAGCAGCGUUGAAGUCAGUCUGUUGCAGGAAUUAGGGUUUCUUUCACUUAGAAACCCUAUAUAAACCGCACUCAGCAGCCUCUCUCCCUCUCCUCUGCUAGAGCCACCAAAUCAACGUAUCGCCAGCUUCGAGAAGGCAGAAGGUGCAGCCACCAUGGUACGCCACCGCUUCUCUUUCGCUUUCUUUCUUACAUUGAAUCUCCACAUCACUAAAUCACAUUAUGUCCCUUGUUUUUCUGUUCUCAGGUGAAGUACUCUAGAGAGCCUGACAACCCCACCAAAUGUAAGUCAACUAAUAUUCUUCCAUUUGGGUUUCCCGAGCGUGCUUAUAACUGAAGGAGAUCUUAACCUGAUGUUAUUGUGUCUGAUUUUUUUGCAGCUUGCAAGGCAAGAGGCUCUGACCUCAGAGUUCACUUCAAGGUAUUAUGUGUAGAUUUUUGGUGGGUUUUGUUUUGUAUGGCCGUUGUUAUCUGAAGAACACAAAAAAUUGAUUUAUUAGUAAAAAACCUGAUGAAAAAAGCAGGGGUCUGUUGCCUGUGUGAACAGGUCUCUCGUAAACUUCAGGGAAAUCAGUUUCAUUGUUAUUGGGUGAACCUCUGUUUUUUUUCUUUGUGGCUGAAGGUUCAGUAAACGAUUGCACAUUUUCUUACUGAAAAAUUGUUUAAAUGAAUAGUUUUUUAUAGGUUUAAUUAAUUAAUAUACGCUUUUGGCUUAUGCUGGUGUUAAAUGAUUUUUUACCUGAAUUUUGCUUUUGUUGAAGAGUUAUUUGAUGCAGAAGCUGGUGAAUUACAUGUAUUUUUUCCUCGCUCCUUCAGGAAACAACAUAACAAAAUUAGAUAAUAUUGUGGCAAUAUCUAUUUGUUACUUGGACUAUGAAGUCUUAAAUUUAAUAAUUACAAAGCUUUGGUUAGGUUAUCCGAUCUUUCAUGUAUAGUUAGUUGUAUCCUGUGUUGUUGACAAUUUGAAUUAAGGAUAAAGGAAAUCUCUUUCCUGGUAAAUAAGAUCAUGUGGAAGAUUUGAGAAAUGAGGUUUUGAAUAUUUCAUCAACAAGAAAUGGAGACACUGGAUGUUUUUCUUCAUUUUGUCUAUUGAUUGACAUGUUUUGGUUGUAACCGACAAAAAAAACCCUCCAUGUUUUCUGUUCUGAUUCUUAUCCUGAUAAAAAAAGCAGGUUCUUGUUGCCUUUUUGUGAACAGGGCUCUUGUAAACUUCAGGAACAUUAAUUGCAUUGUUAUUGGGUGAACCUCUGUUGUUAUUAGUGGCUUAAGGUUCAGUAAAUGAUGUAACAUCUGUUUUCAUUUUGAUGUUUCUCCAUGCAUGUUUGAAGUGUUGGUUCUCGUUUAUAGCUGUAUUGAUUUCUAUUCAUUGAUGCUCGGACCAUUGUUUCUGAUUACCUUUGCCCUCUCAAUUGCUUUAAGUACUUCAUUUUAAAAAACCAGUUAGUCAUAACAUGCAUUGGAUGAUCUUGAUUGUAAUUAUGUUUCCUCCAUUGAUAGAUUUUCUAAGCUUGUUUUGACAUGUGCAUCCUUUUUAAUGUCAUGCAGAAUACAAGAGAGACAGCGUUUGCUCUAAGGAAGUUGCCUCUGGUCAAGGCCAAGAGGUAUUUGGAAGAUGUUAUGGCUCACAAACAGGCUAUUCCAUUCCGACGUUUCUGUGGUGGAGUUGGGCGUACUGCACAAGCAAAGAACAGGCACUCUAACGGACAAGGACGAUGGCCUGCCAAGUCUGCCAAGUUCAUCCUGGAUUUACUCAAGAAUGCCGAGAGCAAUGCUGAGGUAUAUCUAUCCUCUUAUUUGUCUUCACUUUCUCAUCAACUUCUGCUUGCCAUUUUACUGACAUUACUUACCUUUCCAGGUCAAGGGUUUGGAUGUGGAUGCACUCUACAUUUCUCACAUCCAGGUGAAUCAGGCACAGAAGCAGAGACGUCGUACUUACCGGGCGCAUGGAAGAAUUAAUCGUAAGCUUGUUUUGAUUAGAUUGGUAUUAGUUAAUCUUACAAUUACAUUUCCAUUUGUAUUCACAGGACUCUUUUUUUUUUUUCCUUUCCAGCUUACAUGUCCAGCCCUUGCCACAUUGAGUUGACUUUAUCUGAAAAGGAAGAGCCAGUUAAGAAAGAGGUAAUUCAUUUCUUUCUAAUUGGGUAGAUGGUUUAAUUAAUAUACCAGUGUUUUUUGGACCUUUCUAAUUCUGUGUACUUGUAUUGCAGCCUGAGACCCAGCUAGCAACCAGCAAGUCAAAGAAGUCUCAGGUUUCCUCUUGAGUGGCGAUCUUAGUUCAGUGUGGAUCCCUUUUUGAUUUCUGUGUUUUUUUCUUAAGAAGGAUUUUGUUGCGUAUCUUAUAGAAUGAUCAGAUUUUUAGAUGUACUGGACAUCUUGUAUGUUGAUUUCGAAUUAUGUUUAGUUCUUUGUUCUAUGAGAAAUGUCUUGGCGAGUUUAUUUGAAGUCUAUUUUCAUCACAGUUUUAUAUCUUUAGAUGUACUGGACAAAUAGUCCUUGAUAAUGGUAAUGAUCGGCCGUUUGUGAACCACCUUGUAGUUUUCUAUCCCUGAUGUGCCCUUAGGAGUGAGAAACCAGUUUCGAUUUGAAAAUUAACCAGACUGUCAGACUUAUGUCCCCUUGUUGUGGUUGUUGUGUUCAUCAAAGUGUCCUUGUUGACCUGGUUUCCAGGGUCUCAAAUCGUUAAAUGUUUAUGUUUGAUCUUCCUCGCGUUGUCCCUUGCUGCCUUUUCCAGUUCGGUGCUGGGGGGGAUUUGGAAAUGUAAUGAGCCGAACGAACUUGGUCCUCGAUUCGAAACGAAUCGAAGUUUUUUGUAACGUUGAAACUCUGUUUUCGUACAAAGGUGGCUUUCUGCCCCCAUUAGAAUAUAGAGUGAACUAUAUUAUUUGCAGGCCUGUGUUAAGCUGUGCCGGGGAAAAAAAAGUCAGUGAUGCAAUCGCAUAAACCUUAUUGAGAAAAAAAAAUUGAUAAAACAAAAAAGACAAUGAAACUAAAAUUCAAACAAAUCAAAUAUGAAAGGACAAAAUAAUAAAAAAAAACCUGAUUUGAGCUGACUUGAAUGAGAAUGCUAAAUAAUAACUUGAGAUAGCAUGCCAAAUAUGUAAGUUAUUUGAAAACUUGAGUGAGCUUGAGAUAAGUUAAUAGAAAUUAACAAAAAAAAAAAAAGAGACAAAAUUGAAAUAAGAAAAUAAACAAGAAGUAAAAGUUGAAGUCCAAUUUCAAACAUCCAAAAUUAAUAAAAAAGACAAAAAUCUAAACAAACAAGCAAGUUAACCAAACUCUACAACUCAAAUCAUGCAAUGAGAUAACUCAAUAAUAAAAAAAAAUUAUAAAAACUUAAUCUUAAAACAACAUAAUAUCGAAUGACAAAAUGUAAAAGAUAUUAAAUUAAAAAAAAAAAUCAAGUCAACCCACCAAACUUGCGAUCUAAGUGAUGAGAUCGAGAUAAACAAUAAAAGGCAAAUCAAAGUAAAUUAUGAAAUUAAUAUAAAAAAACCUCAACUUUGAAAGAUUGAACUAAAAAAUAAAAUUAAUUCUCAACAUAUAUAAUAUUGGAGGAUGAAAUCAGAAAAAAAAAAUAUGAAUUAAAAUAAUUUGUCAAAGUAAAUUCAACAAAUAAAAAAAAAUAAAAAGACCCAAGAUAACCCAGGUCAGUUUGGAAAUUCAUAAAAAAUCCUAUAGAAAGAAGAUAAAAGAAAGAACAGGACGUAAUAACUAAUAAUGUAAACGUUGAAGGAUAAAACUGAAAAAAAAAACAUGCAAACAUUCUAAACUUGGACUAAUAUCUCAAAUUCACAAUCCAUGAAAUCCUAGACUCGGUUGAAUUAAGAAUAUCUCAAAUUCACAAUCCAUAAAAUCCUAGACUCGGCUGAAUUAAGAAGCUCAAUUCCCAACCAAUUUAAUAUUAAAUGAUUAAAUCAUAAUUUUUUUUAAAUUAGCCAAACAAAAUUCAACAAAGAAUUAUAAAUAAAAAGAAUCAAGAUAACCUAGGUCAUUUUAAAAAUUAAUGAAAAGUUAUACAGAAAGCAAAUAAAUAAAAAUAACAAAGCUCAAACUGCAGUUGAAUAAAUGAUAAAAUUGAAAAAUACAUGAGGUUAAUGAAAAAAAAAAAAACCCAAGCAAACUCAGACGAACCUCCUAAACUUAAGCUAGUCUCUACAACUCGUAACCGAGAAAUUCUAGACUCGGACUCAAUCAAGAAGCUGAAUUCCAAACUAAUUUGAUGUUGAAAAAUGAAAUUGAAAAAACAAUAUCAAUUUCAAAAGUUUGCCAAAGCAAAAAAUAUCAAUCAAAAUAAUAAGAAUAAGUUUUGAUAGAAAAAAAAAACACGAGGAUGAUGAAAUUCAAAAAAUUAUCUCAAAUAAAAAAAUAACAAUAAAAAGAAUGAAGACUAAAUUUAAAAAGUUAAAAAAAUGAAUGAGGAUAAAAUUAAAAAGGCAUUCUAAUUCUAUAAAUUAUUCCAAAUAAAAAAAACAAUAUUGAAAGGAAUAUGAAUUUAAUAUGAAAGAAAUUUUUUUUUUAAAGGGGCUGCUUUUAAGUUUUCAAAGGGCAAGGCGAAAAUCAAGUGAGGGGGAGAUUAAGGUAAAAAAAAAGAAGUUUGUUAAUGUCAAAAAGGAGGAUUGUUUGGAACACGUGCCACCUCGUCACGGAGAAGAUGCCAAGACAAUUUAAACACCUUCGUGAAAGACGAUAUUUGAUGAUCAGCUGAGACCCCUCACACGCCUUUUGAAUGGCAUGGGGGCCGCUUAUUGUUGCACGUGCUAGCAAGUUUGUUUUUAAAUAAUAUUUAAUAAAUACUUAGAUACUAAAAUUUCCCUAAGUCACUUUGAUAUUAAUAAAACAAAACACAGUAAAAGGAUAAAAAAGGCCCUAGAGAAGAGUUUAAUGGAUUUUGUCUUUAAGGAUAAUAAAGUUAUCUUAUUAGUUUUAAAAAAUAAUAAAACCUAAAACACCCCUGAACAUAAGUUAAGUAAUCUUUUUUGUCUGAGGGGUAACUAAGUAAUUUUAUAAUAUAAAAAAAUAAAAAUACUAAUCUAUCUCUGUAUAAUUUGAAAAUGACAAGUAUAUCAUGAUAAAAAGAUCAGCAUAGUAAAAAGAUCAUGUUAUUCUUAAUACAUACUUUAAAGAUUUUUUAAUUCUAAUUAUAAUUUUAUAAUUAUACUAUUACAAUAUAUAGCAUUCUUCGACUUGUUGCACAAUGAAAAAACACUAGGAGUCUUAUGUUUUUUUUUAAUAAUGUUGCCAAAGAGGAUUUUUUAUUUUUCAAUGUUAACUACAAUGUUGUUUGAUUAAAUAUGUGUCAAUCCUAUGCUUUUAUGUAUCUUAGAUUCAACCAUCCAACAUAUUAAAAAUCCUAGAAAUUGGAUUCAUUUGUAUCCUAAAGGAUAAAUUGGCCAAUUAACACACAAAACUAAAACAAUUAAGGAAUUUAUAAAGGAGCAAAAUGUUUUGGCGAAAUAACAUAUUUUGACAAAGUUGCGCUUUAGAAAUGCUCCAUUUAUUGCAUGUCGCUAUUCACCAUGCUAUUUCUAGCUCAAAUGGUUGACCGGUUCGUAAUAGUCAGUAAAAUCAAUUGACCGAUUCUAAAAAUAAUAAGAAAAAUCUCAAAACUGCCAAAACUGGGAGGUUUUGGAGAGAUUUUUGAUAUCUAAAGAUUUAAUGGUCCGUAUAGGGACGCAAUGGCUACUAUAGAGAAAAUAACCUCCGAAAGCUUAUGUAAAAAUUUAAGCGCAAUCCAACGGUCGAAUAAAAAAUUAUGGUUUUUUUGAGCUGUUAUUUGGUCUAAUGCAACCAAAUCUCCUUUUGGGCCUAAACCUGUCCUACUGGUUCAUAAAUGCAACUGUUAGACCAUUCACGUAAUUUGUUUCAGGCAAAUCCUCAUUUAGUCAUUACUACAUUUUGGAUCAUAUUUUUCCUAUACUCUUACGUGUAUAAAAAUCCUUUAAAAACUUAACAUAUAUCCAUCAACACUAAAUACAUAUGUCAGUAAUAUUUUUCAUUAAUGUUAAUACAUAUAUCAAAAAUAUUUUUUCUCUUUAAUACUAUUAGGACAACAUUAAGCUUUAGCCCCUCAUCUUCAUAAAGAGACUUAUGAGUUAUUAAUAGACCAUGAAUCCUUUAACCCGAAAAGUUUGGAAUCUUCAUUUUCUAUUGUAUAUUUAUUUUCAAAUAUCUCUGUAUAAUAUUAUUAAAUUUUCUCUUAAAAAGUUACUAACUUAAUCAUUGGAGCGUCCCUAAAUUCACUAGAAGAGAUAUUUUACAGGUAUCAGACACUAAUUUGAAGCCACAUUGACAAGGAAGAAUGUAAUAGAUUAUCAAAACCAAAAGACUAACUAAUUAUUCAAGACAUAAACCUUACCCCUAAGUUACUUGUAUUUUCUAAAACAUCAUCACUUUAGAUAACCAACAAUUUAGUUUUUGUUGAUCCUUUACACGUAUAGAGGGGGUCUCUCACCUCAUUUUUAACUUUUAUCAUCAUCAUAUUAUUUUAAUUAUAGAGAUAUAAUUUUAAUUAUUAAUAUAAAGUUUGAAUUUUUAUCCUAUGACUUGAAAAAGAUUUUUAUGAUUUUAUGUAAAAAUUGAAGUUUAUUUUAUGAUUAAUUGAUGAGGAUGUAGUUUUUUUAGUUUAGAUAUAUUUUUAUAAAAUUAAUAAAAAAAUAAAUUAAAUUGGUAUCCAAAGAAUACAGACAAGUAAAAAAAUCCUUUACUUGACCUGAUUCAAUGAGGUCAGAAUCGAAAGUGAAUUAUAAAUUUAAAUAUUUCAAAUUGAAACAACUAAAGUAAAAUCUAAUUAGAAGGAUAGAGUUGUAUCAUGUACUUUUGAGAGCAAGAAAGCCAUGAUUCAUAAGAGAAAAUCCAAUGCCAAACAAUGGAAUAUUAAAUUUAAAAAUUAUCUAUUCUUCCCAUGAAAAAUAGUGUAUCUCUGCCUUUUCUUUUUGUGUUAUUUAACACUAAGUAAUUUUUAUUUAAAAAAUAAUAAAUUAAUAAUUUUUUAAAAUAUAUUUUUAAUAAAUUUAAUAUAUUGAUAUUAAAAAUAAUUUUUUAUUAAAAAAUAUUAUUUUAAUAUAUAUUCAAUUAGAAAAUACAUUUAAAAAACAUAUGUAUUCCAUUAUUAAACAAUCAUUCCGUAGGUUCCCUGUGAAAGAUCCGACAGAGACCAAUUGAUUUUUUUUUUUUUUGCAAUUUUUUUAUCAGGAAUAUAAUGAUUUCAUUGAACACAUAAUAGCGGGAAAAAACAUUUAAUAGCAAACUCUUUAUAUUUCACAGAGAUAAAAGAAGAGAGAAUAAAAAGGAAUGUGUGCUUUCUUAAAAAAGAAGUAAGACCGGUCCAUCUUGUUUAAUACUGCAGAACAGGGCAGAGAGAGACGAAGAAGGUCAAUCAGUCAGUCGGCAGUGACACAACAUUUUAGAAUUUUUCUUCAAAUUAGCAAAAUAAAUUAAUUUUUUUUUAGUAAAAUAACAUAUUUAAAAAAUUACUUGUUGAAAUAAUAUAAUUUUAUUUUAUUACACUUUUAAAAUAUAAUAUUUACUUGAUGCUAGAUUUCUAAAUGUGAUAAAAGACAGAGUUGUCACAUUUUAUAACAAUGAUAUUUAAAUAUAUUGAUUUUUUUUUAAAGCACGACAAAUAUUAACUAGUAUGUGGUUAGAUACAAUUAUUUUUAAACUUGUCAUUAAUUAUGUUAUAUAAAAAUAACUCUUAGAUGCAUAGUUUUGAAACCUGACUUGGGAUCCGGCCGACUUAGAACUGAAACUGAGUUGAGUUUAAGAAAAAAUAAGAAUGGGUUACCCAGGGUGACCCGGCAACCCGAUUGACCGAGCAAGAUCUGGUCAAAAACUCAGUUACAAAUCGUUGAUUUUUUUUUAACUAAAACGAUGUCAUUUUGAUUUUUUUUAAAAAAUGAAAUUGACACGGGCAAUUCGGUGACCCGGUCAAAACCCAGGCUUUGGACCGGGCCGACCACCAGACCGAGUUUAAAAACUAUGCUUAUAUGUUUUAAAAUUUAUUAAUUUAAUUUUAAAUUUAAAUUAGAUAAGAAUUAGAUGAUGAUGUUUUAAAAUUUACUUGUUCCGACAAAUUUAAUAUAAUGAAUAAGUAGUUUUCUAUGACCGAAGCAUUCUUUUGUUACCAUCAAAUGUUUUUUGAUAUGUUCCGCUGCUUAGUGUGGCCUCUAAAGUCUAAACCAGUAUAAAUAUAAACUUGUAGGUUUUUCUCGUCAUUAAGAUGAAUAUCAUGUUUUACUUAGAUUGCGAGUCUUGCUGAAGAACAAAAUUAUGACCAAUUUCUAAAGCUUUUACGAUUAAGAAAAGGCUAAAGUUUUUUAUUUUUUAUUUUUUUAACCCUCUUACUGGCAAGAGAUAAAUUAACAUGAGUAAAAUAUUGAUUCGUUAAGCGCUAAUAUUUUUUCUAUUAUGUUCGACAUUAAUUUUUAGGUUAAGGUCAGCAAUUUGGUUGGGAAGAUUGUGGGAUUCUAUUUCGCUGGUUUAUGGUGCGGCCGAUGCCGUAAAUUCACACCAUUGUUGGUAGAAGUCUAUGAACAGUUAUUAUCCAAAGGGGAUCUUGAGGUGGUCUUCAUUUCCUCUGACAGAGAUGAUGAAUCCUUCAAUUCAUACUUCACCGAAAUGCCAUGGCUUGCCAUUCCAUUUUCUGAUACGGAGACUCGCAAACUUCUUUAGGAAGUGUUCAAAGUAAGAGUGUUCCCUGUUCUUAUCAUUUUUGAUACUUAUGGGAAGGUUGUUGUGGUAAACUCAAUCAGUCACAUGCAGCCACCAACUAUCAACCACCUCUUGAAAUUUAAAUUUUUUUACUUUUAGUUUGUGUAUAAAUAAACAGUUAAAUUUAUGUUAUUAAGUGUGAGAAAAAGAAGAGAGAAACACUAAAGAGAAAGAGAUGAUGUGUAUUAAGAGUGUUUUAUUUGAAUUUUGUAAAUUUGUUGUUUUUAAAAUAAAACCGUGUAUUUUAUUUUCUUUGAGUGUUCCAAAGCCACCGACAAAGAUUUCAUGCGAUAAUGUAGUAGACACUACUGUCAUUGAACAUGGUGUGGAUGGGUAUCCAUUCAACCUUGAUAGACUGAAUUUCCUUGAAGAACAAUGAGAGAAUGCUGAGAAGAAUCAAACCAUAAGCUCUAUCUUGGUUUCAAGCUCACGUGAUUUUAAUUGAUGGAAAAAAGGUAGAUGGUUUAUUCAACUGGGUUGUUUUUAUAUUGAAUUGAUGAUGAUGCCACAGUUCACAUUUUUGCUAUUAGAAGUGGCAGAUCCCCAGGCCUUGAAGGGAAAUUGGCUGGCCUGCGAAUUCACUCCUAAAGUAGUGGAAUUCUAUAAGAGGCUCAAGGAAAAAGGUGAGAACUUUAAAGUAGUCCUAAUAUCUCUAGACUCCGAGGAAAAAAACUUCAAAGAGAGUUUUGAGACAAUGCCUUGGUUGGCAUUGCCGUUUAAGGACAAGAGCUGCGAGAAGCUGGCGCGGUAUUUUGAACUUAGAACCAUUCCUAAUCUUGUCAUAAUUGGCCAGGAUGGGAAGACUUUGAACCCAAAUGUAGCUGAACUAAUAGAAGAACAUGGUAAUGAAGCCUCCCCAUUUACAUCGGAAAAGCUUGAUGAGCUAGCUGCAUAUGACAAGGCAAAACUGGAAUCGCAAACGCUUGAGUCGGUUUUGGUUAAUGGGGAAAAUGAUUUUGCGAUUGACAAAAGUGGUUCCAAGGUAAUUUCUGUGUUCUAAGCUAAUCCAGCAUGUUGUAAUUGCAUUACUGUAUUUAUGUUAUCAAUAACUUGCUUGUUAUCACCAAUUGAAUAAAGUUCUUAUCACAAACUGAAUAUAUUACCAAAGGUUUUUUUUAAUCAUUCAUAUGGUUUACUCUUUAUUAGUUUCCAGUUUCUGAACUAGUCGGAAAGAACAUUCUUCUUUACUUCUCAGCUCAACGGCGCCGUCCCCGUCGUGCCUUUUUACCCAAGCUAAUUGAAGCACACCACACUAUCAAAGCAAAAGACAACGCAUUUGAAGUGAUCUUCAUCUCACGUGACCUCGAUCAACCCGGCUUUGAUGAGUUCUAUUCAGAAAUGCCCUGGUUAGCCCUUCCAUUUGGUGACGCAAGGAACCGAAUUCUGAGGCGGAGAUUCAAAAUUCAAGGCAUUCCUGCAGCUGUAGCCAUUGGCCCAAGAGGCCGGACCAUUACUAAGGAAGCUCGGAUGCACUUGAAAGCUUACGGGGCUGAUCCUUUUCCAUUCACAGAGGAACAUCUAAAGCAACUGGAGGAGGAGCUUGAGGAAAAGGCAAAGGGGUGGCCAGAGAAAGUGAAACACGAACUUCAUACUGGGCAUGAGAGCUUAUACGUACUAAACGCAAAGCAUAUAUAUUUGCAAUGGCUGUCGGGAAACAGGAUAUAGCUGUUUUUUCUAUUGCGAACAAUGUGACUUUGAUUUUCACCCCAAGUGUGCUUUGAAGGAAGAUGAAGAUACUGGAACUGAAAAGGGAAAGGAAGGAUGGAUCUGCGAUGGAGAUGUCUGCCGCAGAGCUUACGCAGGCAUGCGCUGCUUGUAUCUGGUUUUGUGGGCUUGCUUUUGUAAUAAGUACGUAAUGUAAGAUGUUUGUUGCAUGUGUGUGAAGAUCGUGGAUGCCUUUAUGAUUAACAGGUUGGGUUUUAUUCAUUUACCUACAUUUUUUUAGUUUGUUAUAAUCAAGGUUUCAUCCUUGUAUCUUCAGUUGUUAAUGGUUCAUUAUAAUCAUAAAGUUAAAUUUUUUCAUCCAAUAUUCAAUUUAAUUUUAGCUUUUUUAGAUUUUCUUUCUCUUUUAUGUGAGGAUUCAAGGUUUUUUACUCAUUGGAUUCGAAUGAAUUAUGUAUGUUUAUGUUAAAGUAAAAAUUCAUAUAAUUAUUUAUAGGCAUGAAAAGCCUUUGUAAUAAAACAAUUUAUAUUUAUGAAAAAAAUUCAAAAUAAAUCUUGAAAAACUCAAAAAUAGUAAAAAUAACUUGGAUCCAUUGUGAUAAAAGCUUGAAAAGCGAGGACCAUAAAAAAUCUCAAUUGAAGUAAUUUUAGUUUAAACUAGUUUUGAAAUAAAAAAGAUUGAACUAAGCCAAAUAUAGUAGGUUUGAACCGAUAUUAGGUUCAAAACCUUAAGAAAUUACAUUGUUAAUCUAAUUGUUUUUUUUUUCAAAAUCAAACCGAAUAAAAAAUAAUUACCUCUAUUAUUGACUUAACAAACUCCUAAACUGGUUUAAAAAUAAAAAAUUUAACUUGAAAAAAAACUUUUUCAACCUUAAUUUAACUUGAUUUAAUUGAAUAAUAAAUUUGGAUAUUUUAGAUAGAAAAAUUAAGUAAAACUCAAAACGAACUUAUUUUAUUACCUUCUAUUAAUUAUUAUUAAAUGAGAAAUUCAAACAUGCUUUGCGUGUUUAGCAAAAGGAGAAGGACAUAAUUGUGGUAUACACUUUUGAGUGUAGAAAACUCAACUCAUUUAGAUACUAGUUAACCAUACCUAGUUGAAAAUGAACAAGAAAUUUUUAGUAUAAUAAAAAAAAACAAGAAAUCAUUUAAUUAAGGUUAUUCUUUCCAUUCAAAAAUAUUUUUAGUAACAAUGCUGAAGUAUUUGACAAAAGAUUUUCUCAUAACAUAUUUUUUAAUAUUUAUAUAUUCAACAAUAAAGAAUCUUUUUGAAUAAAAAUCAUUUUUGUAUAAAAUAUUAAAUUUUAUAAAAACUCGAUUACAUAACUUUAAGUUUAGGCAUUGGAGGUUAAGUUUACAUCAAAAUAGUUUAUUUUGCUCUACUUUGACAUAAUAGAAAAAUCCUUACAAUAUCAUAUCUUGACAUACAUAUUAAAUUCACUAAAUUAUUGUGAUCAUCAAAAUUAUUAAAAUCAUAAGUAUUAGAGAUCUUUGGGCUAACACUGAUUAAAACAAUUCCAACUUUGUUGAGUUCUGAACAUGAAGAGGUAGGAAUUCCACACGAGACAAGAAUACAAGACAAAUCGAUUAAAUAAGUUAUGAUAAUAAAAUUUAGUUUUCAAUCAAAGAAGAGAGAGAUUAUGAUUUUUAGAGAGAGAAAGUAGGAUAAGAAAGAGUGUGUGAAUGUGUGAUUUAUCAUUUGAUUGGUUUUCUUAUAUAUUAUAUAUAAAGGUAAUUUAAAUAUUUUGAUAUUUUUAAAAUUUUUAUUUGAUCAAAGAUGUAAAGUAUAAUUUCUAAAAGUAUUGGGCUAUAGUGAAACAUAAUUAAAUCAUAGGAGGUUUUUUUUUUUGUAAGUAUCUCUUAAUAAAUCAAGAGACCUAGAAUUCGGAUCUUAACAACAAAAGAGUGAUUAUGAGUUUUUUUUCUUCUUCUAGAUCUGUUUAUUUUUGUAUUUUAAAAGUGUUUUUGAAAUAAUUUUAAAUUUUUUUAUUUUUUUUCAUUUUCUUUAAAUUAAUAUUUUUUUGUUAUUUUUAGAUUAUUUUGAUGCAAUGAUGUCAAAAAUAAUUUUUUAAAAAUAAAAAUAUAUAUUAUUUUAAUGUAUUUCCGAGUGAAAAACACUUUAAAAAGUAACAACUAAAACACUUUUAAACACCCUUGAAGAGAAAGAACAAAAUGAAAAAGGAAAAGAAAUGAGGAUAAAACUAGAAUACUAGAAAAAAGAAAAAGAGAGAAAUUAAAAAAAGAAAAAGAAUAUGUUUUUUCUUUUUCUUUUUCUUUUUAAAAUAAAAAAGCAAUAGGAGGCGUGUAAAGCACGUGGGAAAGCAUUUUUAAGAGGCUUGCUGUGCAAGUAACUUAAAAGGAACCUUAGCACCUUAACCAGUUCGUCUCAAUACAUAGCAUUUGGAAUCGGCAAUUGUUCUAGCCUUUUGAGUAGUUCAUCACUUAACAAUGGCCAACGAAGACGUUUCGCACGACCUUUCAUCGCUUCUUUCGUCGGAAGAGAGGGACUUUCUCAUCCGCAACAAUGGUGACCAGGUACUGCUUUUAGCUUAUGGAUUUCUGUUUUUCUCGUAAUUAAGAUGGAUAUCAUGUUUAAAUUAGACUGCGAACCUUGCUGAAGAACAAGUUUAUGACCAAUUUCUAGAGCUUUUAUGAUUAAGAAAAUCCUCAAUUUUUGUUUACCCUCUUAAUUUAAGGGCUAAUGUUUUUUCUGAUUAUGCUCCACGCUAAUUUUAGGUUAGGGUCAGCAAUUUGGUUGGGAAGAUUGUGGGAUUCUAUUUCUCUGGUUAUUGGUGCGGGCCGUGCCGUAAUUUCACUCCGUUGUUGGUAGAAGUCUAUGAACAGCUAUCAUCCAAAGGGGACUUUGAGGUGGUCUUCAUUUCUUCUGACGGACACGAUGAAUUCUUCAACACAUACUUCUCCGAAAUGCCAUGGCUUGCUAUUCCCUUCUCUGAUACGGAGACCCGCCAACGUCUUAAGGAAGUGUUCAAAGUAAGAGGGAUCCCUAAUCUUGUCAUUUUUGAUACGAAUGGCAAGGUUUCAUGCGAUGAUGGAGUCAGCACUGUCAUGGAACAUGGCGUGGAUGGGUAUCCGUUCAACCUUGAUAGACUGAUUUUCCUGAAAGAGCAAGAAGAGAAAGCUAAGAAGAAUCAAACCAUAAGCUCUAUCUUGGUUUCCAGCUCACGUGAUUAUGUGAUUUCAAAUGAUGGAAAAAAGGUAGAUGGUUAUUCAAUUAGCUAGUUUUGAAAUUGAAUUGAUGAUGCCAUAAUUCACAUUUUUGCUAUCUGUAAUGGCAGAUCCCUUUGUUGGACCUUGAAGGGAAAUUGGUUGGCUUGUAUUUUUCAAUCUAUACGAUGUGCUGUGAAUUCACUCCAAAAUUAGUGGAAUUGUAUAAGACGCUCAAGGAAAGAAGAGAGAACUUUGAAGUAGUCCUAAUAUCUCUAGACGACGAAGAAGAAGACUUCAAAGAGAGUUUUGAGACAAUGCCUUGGUUGGCAUUGCCUUAUAAGGACAAGAGCUGCGAGAAGCUAGUGCGGUAUUUUGAACUUAGAACCAUUCCUAAUCUUGUCAUGAUUGGCCAAGAUGGGAAGACUUUGAACCCAAAUGUAGUGAACUGAUCGAAGAACAUGGUAUUGAAGCCUACCCAUUUACACCGGAAAAGCUUGACGAGCUAGCUGCAAUUGAAAAGGCAAAACUGGAAUCGCAGACGCUUGAGUCAGUUUUGGUUAAUGGGGAAAAUGAUUUUGUGAUUGACAAAAGUGGCUCCAAGGUAAUUGUUUUUGUUCUAUGCUAACCUCGCAUGUUGUUACCGCAUUACUUUCAAUAACUUUCUUAUGAUCACGAAUUGAAUUCAUUAGCAAAGGUUUUUUUUUUUUUUUAUCAUUCAAAUGGUGUGCUCUUGAUUAGGUCCCAGUGUCUGAACUAGUUGGAAAGAACAUUCUUCUUUACUUCUCAGCUCAAUGGUGCCCUCCAUGUCGUGCCUUUUUACCCAAGCUAAUUGAAGCAUACCACACAAUUAAAAGAAAAGACAAUGCAUUUGAGGUGAUCUUCAUCUCAAGUGACAGCGAUCAAUCCACCUUUGACGAGUUCUAUUCAGAAAUGCCUUGGUUAGCCCUUCCAUUUGGUGAUGAAAGGAAACAAAUCCUGAGUCGGAAAUUCAAAAUUCAAGGCAUUCCUGCAGCUGUAGCGAUUGGCCCAAGUGGCCGGACCAUUACCAAGGAAGCUCGGAUGCACCUGACAGCUUACGGGGCAGAUGCUUUUCCAUUUACCGAGGAACAUCUAAAGCAAUUGGAGGAGGAGAUUGAGGAAAAGGCAAAGGGGUGGCCAGAGAAAGUGAAACACGAACUUCAUACUGAGCAUGAGCUGUUACGUACUAAACGCAAAACAUAUAUUUGCGAUGGCUGUGGGGAAACAGGAAAUAGUUGGUCUUUCCAUUGCAAAGAAUGUGACUUUGAUCUUCACCCCAAGUGUGCUUUGAAGGAAGAUGAAGAUACUGGAAGUGAAAAGGGAAAUGAAGGAUGGAACUGCGAUGGAGAUGUGUGCCGCCGAGCCUAAGCAGGCAAGCGCUCCUUGUAUCUGGUUUUUUGGGCUUUCUGCUGUAAUAAGCGUGCGAUGUAAGGUGUUUGUUGCAUGUGUGUGAAGAUGUGGAUGUCUUUCCUGUUAUUGAUAUGUAAUUAAGAGGUGUGUUGCUUAAGGAUUUUCAUGUCCUGUAUUUCGAUACGAAGAAUAAAUAACCGGAUUGGCUAGGUUUAUGUGAAUCCUGUGACCCAUUUGAAACUUGGGAAUCCAUGGUUGCUUGUUGUUCUCAAAUCUCCAUCACUUGUUAUGAGGUUUUCGUCAUUCGUAGAGGAAAAUGCUUAUCAGUCCUGUCUAAAAAUUGGUUCCAUUGCGCCACUCUCUUUAUUCUUUUUGGCUGGAUGAAGCAGCAGCAGCUUCACCUCCGGUGCAAAUAUUCCUGUAAUUGUUUUGCAGAUUAAAAAAAAAGAGGGCUGAUUGUGACUUAACCAACAUUAUACUAUGAAACCUUUCUUAACUGAUGUGUACUUGACAAUGAAAUCGAGCAUGUGGAAAUUGACAAAUAAAAAAUAAUAUUAUUAUAAUAUAUUUUUAAAUAAAAAAUAUUUUAAAAAAUCCAUCAACAAUAAGCAAAGGACGGAUAGGAUUAAUGGCUAGCCAGGAGAAGUUAGCAAAAGCCAACAACUGUACCCAGACUGCUGACUCCUCCCCUCACAUGCCAAGAAAAGAUUCCCAUAAAUUUAAUGCUUUCCUUCUUGAUUCGCUUGAAAUCAUAUUAUUUGAUCCGUAAAGUAUAAUUAGUAACCCUUCGUCUCAUCAGUAAGGGACGGCAGCCCAAGCUUUCUUAUUAUCUUAUAGAAUCUUUUUUGAUGUGUAUGAAUUAAUAUUUUUUUUUUUAUAUAUAAUUCCAUGGAUAAGAUCGAAGUUUAGAAUAUACUGCCUAUCACGACAGCAUCAAAAUUUGUAGACCCACCACCUCUCAAUGGCCCCACCAGGUUGAUAAGAAAAAUUCUAAACAAAGAAUUCGACUUCAUGAUUUUCAUGAGUUUGUAUUUUAUAAAAUGCUUCUAUUCUCCAUAUUCGAAUCACAAAUUUAAAAAAUUAAACUGAUUGAUUUAGUUUUUUUUACAAUUAAUAUUUUUAUUUUAUUUUUUUAUAGAAUUAUCUUGAUUUUAUGUAUUAAGUCAUGAGUUUUUUAGUUUGAUCCAAGUUGCCUACAACCAAUUUUUUUUCUUCAAUUUAUUUGUUAUUGUUAUUUUUUUAAUUAUAUUAUUAAAUUAAUUAAGAUUAUUGAAUCCAAUAUUAAAUGACUAAGCAUUUUUUGCGAUGAAAAAAAUAAUAAUCCUGCUCUUGACGUGGCUACCAAUCUAAUGGUCAUUAAAACUCAAAUUUCCAUCAUCAUGGUUUUAAAAAAAACCAAACCUUUUUUUUGGCCGAGGAAAGUUAGUUACUUUUGUGUUUAUUCCCUUCAAUUUUUAAAGAACAUGAAACUAUUAACUAGUUGACCCGCGCUGUGUUAUGCAUCGAGUUGAAAAUUUUCAACAUAAAAAAGAAUAUACAUACAUUGCAAUGUGUUUUGUAAUAGAAGAAAUGAUAAUUGUGAACUCCAGGCUCAAAGCACUCGUCUAAUAAUUGUUAUGCAUCUCUUUGUUUCGAUUUGGCUGGAUGAAGAAACUUCACCUUUGGAGCAAAUAUUCCUGUAAUUGUAGUCACCCUUCUUCUCUUGUUAUUGUGAAUCUCAUCCUUAGUAAAGGGAUGUAAGCCCAAGCUGCGCGGAUAUAUAGCGCUGUUUGGAGUAGCUUUCUAAACUGAGUUUUUUUUAAAAAUAUGAAUUGAUUUUUCUAUUUUUUUUAUUUUUUAAUCAUUUUAAAUUUUAAUAUUAAAAAUAAUUUAUAAAAAAUAAAAAAUAAAAAAAAUAUUAUUUUCAUAUAUUUAUAUAUAAAAAAUACUUUAAAAAUAAUCUCCACAAUAAUCCUAUACACACGCUAUAGUUUGAUAACUAUUAUAUUGGCCCAUGUUCCGCAACGAGUCAAUAAUAAAUUUUUUUUUAUCAAAUGUAGAUAAUAUUUUAAGUGUCUUAGGGUCUGACAAAAAGACUUACAGCUUCUAGCCCUUACUGAUUAGCCGGACCCAAUGCUGAUAAAUCCAAUUGGCAACAGAACCCAUCGCUGAUUGGUCUAGCUAUGCCAGACCCAAAGCUUUUGGGUCCUGUUGGGUGCAAAACCCAACGCUGAUAAAUCCAACUGGCAAUAGAACCCAUUGUUGAUGGGUCUAGCUACGCCAGACCCAAAGCUUUUGGGUCCUGCUGAGUGCAGGACCCAACACUGAUGGGUGUUGGGUCCUGCUGGCAGCAAAUACAAACCCUAUUGGGUGUAAAGUUGGUAGUAGGACCCAACCCAAUUGGAUGCAAAGUUGGUUGUAGCUAUAGAGCCACACCUAAUAACUAUGGGUAUGGUUGUGCAACCAUAUCCAAUAUCUUUGGGUCUGGCUACAGAGCCGCACCAAAAGCCUACUUGUAGUUUUUUUCUUGGCAGAGAUAAUUAAUAAUAAUAAUUUAUUUUACUUUUCAAAUUAAAUUUAUAUAUUUUUUUAAAUAGAAAUAAAAUUCAUUGCAAAUUUAAUAUAUUCAUGAAUUUAAUAAAAUUUAUAAUAUUAUUAAAUUUGUUUGGCCUAAGUUUUUAUAGUUUUUAACCCUUUCAAAUAAAAUUUAUUAUUUUUCUUUGAUAGUAAUAAUAUUGUUUUUCAAAUUCAUUAAUGAUAAUAAUAAUAAUAAUUUUUAAUUUUACUCUUCAAAUCAAAUAUAUGGUUGUUUUUCAAUAUUAAUGAUAUUUUUUUCAAAUUUAUUAAUUAUUAUAUUAAUAAUAUUAACUAUAAUAAAAAUAAUAAUAUUUAUAAUACAAAUAAUAAUAUUAAACUUGUUUGAUUCAAGUUUUUAUAUUUUUUAAUCUCUUCAAAUAAAAUUUAUGGUUUUUCUUCAAUAGUGAUAAUUUUUUUCUUUGAAUUUAUUAAUGAUACAAAUAACAAUAAAAAUAAUAUAAUAAUAAUAAUAUUUCCUCUUUACCCUUCGAGAAAAAAAAUAAGAUAAAAAAAAACACAUUAUAAUAUUGAGUCCUGCUAGUGGCAGGACCAACGCUUUUUGAUGGGCCUUGAUUGCCGCAGAACCGAAAGAUAAUGGGUCUUACAUGACCCAAUACCGAUGGGACCUGGAGGACCCAACGUCAUAGGAUCUUGCUGGCAACAAGACCUCAUGCCAUCGGGUCCAGGUGGUAGCAUGACCUAUCAGCCAAGACGUAAUGUUUGACUUACAAACAACAAAGAUAAUGCAUUUUAAUAUAGUAAAUAAAAAUAUAAUAUAUAAUAAGUAUAAUGUUUUAGAAAUAAUACAAAAUUAUGAAAAUAAUAUUAAUUUGAAGUAAAAAAAAUAAAUAAAUAAAAUUUAAAUUUCUCGGGUCUCGGCUCUUAGCCAAACACAAUCUGAAUAUAUACUUUUUAAGAAAAUAUUAAUAAUAAUAUAUAACUUGUCUGGCUCAAGUUCAUAUAUUUUUUAAUCUAUUCAAAAAAUAAUUAUGGUUUUUCUUUCAUAGUAAUAAUUUUUUUUAAAACUUUAUUAAUGAUGAUGAUAAUAAUAAUUUUUAUGUUUACAAUUCAAAUCAAAUCUAUUGUUGUUUUUCAAUAUUAAAUUUGUUUUUCAAAUUUGUUAAUUACUAUAUUAAUAAUAUUAAUUAUAAUAAAAAUAAGAAUAAUUUUAAUAUUAACAAUAUUAAUUAUAAUAAAAAUAACAACAUUUAUAAUACAAAUAAUAAUAUUUUUAAUAUUUAUAACAAUAUUAAACUUAUCAAAGAGUAAGUGGGUCUGAUUGCAACAUCAGGUCCAAGAGCUUUGCUCCCCUUAUAAAUGUCAGACCCAAGAGUAUUGGAUUUGGUUGCAAUCCGAACCUAUUAAAGCUGCAGCAUCAUUAAGUCAUGCUUGACAUAAUGAACCAACAACUAGGUACCCAUUGUGACCCAACAUCAUUGGGUCAUGCUUAACAGAAGGACCCAAUAGUGUUGGGUCCAGCUAGGCAGUUGAGUCUGGUAGCAGGGCCCACCGUUGCUGGGUCCUAGUUGCAGCAUGUUCCAACUUUAGUGGAUCCUGCUUGCAAGAGCAUUGGGUUGUCUAAAAAGAAAGACCCUUGAGCUUGGGGCCUGUCCUUUCAGCCAAACCCAAGCUUGGCUUCGAACGCCCGACACAAGUAUCUUGAGUCCGGUGCAACUGCAAGACCCAAGAGACUUGGAUCUGCGCUCCUACCUCUCCCAAGCAACUUCAAUCCAGUGUCCCUUUCCGGCCCCAAGUUUCUCGGGUCUGGAAGGGGAUGUCAAACCCAAGUUAAUAAUAAUAGUAAUAAUUUUUAAUUUUAAUCUUCAAAUCAAAUCUAUGGUUGUUUUUCAAUAUUAAUGAUAUUUUUUUCAAAUUUAUUAAUUAUUAUAUUAAUAAUAUUACUUGUAAUAAAAAUAAUAAUAUUAAUAAUAAUUUUAAACUUGUCUAACCCAAGUUUUUAUUUUUUUAAUCUCUUCAAAUAAAAUUUGUGGUUUUUAUUUUAUUGUAAUAAUUUUUUUUCUUUGAAUUUAUUAAUGAUAAAAAUAACAAUAAAAAUAAUAUAAUAAUAUACUAAUAAUAUUUUCUCUUUACCGUGUGAAAAAAAGAGAGAGAAAAAGAUAACACAUUAUAGUAUUGGCCUUUUCGUUCUUGCUGGGGGUAGGACCUAAUGUUUUUUUAGGGGUCUUGCUAGCCGCAAGACCCGAAGCUUAUGGGACUUGCAAGACCAAUAUUGAUGGGUCCUGGACGAUGGCCCACCGCUGCUGGGUAGCAGGGCCCAACAUCAUUGCGUCAUGCUUGGCAAAAAAACCUAGCAACGGUAGGUCCUACUCGUAGGCAGGGCCCACUGCUGUCAUGAGUUUGGUGACACAGACAAACCCAAUCUUAGCAUAAAUGUUUUAAAAAUAAUAUUUUAUGUUGUCAAUUUUUUUUUUGGAGAGCAACUUUUUAGAUUUCAUUUACUUUUUUUGUUAUCAAUUUGGAUGAAUUGAAGCAUUGUUGCUGAAACCAUCAAGCAACAUCAUGAAUUAUAUAUGCCAAUUAGGCCUUUUAAAAAGUUAGGAGCUAAUAAGGUUGAAGAAACAUUCAAUGGUUAUUUCAAGAUAUUUAAGCCUUAUUUCCUACAAGACUUACGGAUUCAACUUAUUUUCCUACUUACACGCGGAUUGGGCUUUAAAUUUUCUUGAUGAUUAUAAAAUCCUUAUUUUAUAUGGAGUUAAAAUAUAAUAGCAAUUAGAUAUUGAUAAAGCCUUACGAUAAAGAUUAAAAACUACUAUACAAUAAUUGCAUUAGUUUUCCAGUUAAUUUAGAAUUUUAUUUCAUUUUAUUUAGAAUUAUUUUGUUAUUUUUUUAGCAUUUCUCAUUUUACCUAGUAUAAAUAUUGUUAUUUAACUUAUAUUUAGUUUUUUUUUAAUAAUUUGAGACGGAUUGAUUAUUUAGAAUAUUAUUGUAUGUGAAAGAGUUUACUCAUAUUCUUGAUUCCUCAUGGAACUUUUUCAAAAACUUAUCAAAGAUCAACUCUUUUUAUGACAUCCAUCCUUAUACCUACAGUUCGUAGUUUGUUAUAAUCAACGGGUUGGGGUCUUAUCCAUAUACCUAUAUUUUUCAGUUUAUUACAAUCAACGGGUUGAGGUUUUAUCCUUUGAAACUUUUUCAAAAACUUAUCAAAGAUCAACUCUUUUUAUGAUAUCCAUCCUUAUACCUACAGUUCUUAGUUUGUUAUAAUCAACGGGUUGGAGUUUUAUCCAUAUACCUACAUUUUUCAGUUUAUUACAAUCAACGGGUUGAGGUUUUAUCCUUAUACCUUUAAUUAGUGGUUCAUUAUAAUCAUUAGGUUAAGUUUUUUCAUCCAAUAACUAUGAUUAUGUAGUUUAGAUAAUCACUAGGUUAGGUUCUUUUCAACUUGAUUUUAGCUUUUUUUUAUUGUUUUUUUUCUUACAUAAGGGUUUUCCUCUCUAAAUUCACAACAACAAUGUAUGUUUAUGUUGAAGUAGAAAUUCAUAUAAUUAUUUAUGGGCAUGAAAAGCCUUUGUAAUAAAACAACUUAAACCUAUUAUGAAAAAAUUCAAAACAAAUCUUGAAAAACCUAAAAAUAGUAAAAAUAACUUAGAUCUAUUGUAAUAAAAACCUAAAAAGCGAGGCCCAUAAGUAAUGUUGAUUUGAACAAGUUUUGAAACAAAAAAGAUUGAACAAGUCAAUCCAAUAGCUUUGAACUGAUUUUGGUUUCAAAACCUUAAAAAACUAAUUUUUUAUUAAAUUGUUUUUUUUUCUAGAAUCAAACUGAAUAAAAAAAACCUUACUGUCAACUCAAAAAACUCAUAACUGGUUUUAAAACAUAAAAUUUAACUUGAAAAAAAAACUUUUCCAGCCCUAAUUUAACCUAAUUUAAUUAGGUCACAGUUGGAUAAUGAAUUUGAAUGUUUUAAAUGGAACAAUUAAGUAAAACUCAAAUCCAACUUAUUUUAUUACCUUCCAUUGAUUAUUAUUAAAUGAGAAAUUCAAACAUGCUUGGUGUGUUUAGCAAAGGAGAAUGACAGAGUUGUACUAUGUACUUUUAAGUGUGGAAAAGUUACAACUCAUAGAAGACCGUUUGGUAGCGCGUUUGCACCUGUAUUUUGCCCAAAUUUGAAUUUUUUUUUUUUGUUAAAAUUGAGUUCGGUUUGUACUUUUUGGAUCAUUUUGAUAUGCUGAUGUCAAAAAUAAUUUUAAAAAAAUAAAAAAACAUCAUUGGCAUGUAUUUUGGCACAAAAAACUAUUUGAAAAGCAACCGCUACCACACUACCAAACACGCUAGGCACCCACUUAGUUGAAAAUAAACAAGAAAUUUUUAGUGUGAUCAAAACACAAGAAAUCAUUUAAUUAAGUUUAUAUUUUUCAUUCCAAUGUUUUUUACUAACAAUGCUGAAAUAUUUGAUGAAAGAUUUUCUCAUAAACUAUUUUUCAAUAUGUAUAAAUUCAACAAUAAAAAAUCUUUUUGGAUAAAAAUUAUUUUUGUGUGAAAAAUUAAAUUCUUUAAAGACUUGAUUAUAUAACUCUAAGUUUAGGCAUCUGAACUUAAGUUUACAUCCAAAAAAAUCUAUUUUGCUCUAAUUUGACAUAGUAGAAAAAUCCUUAUAAUAUCAAAUCUUGACAUAUAUAUUAAAUUCACUAAAUUGUUGUUUAAAUUAUGUUUAUUUUUACGUUUUAAAAAUGUUUUUAAAAAAUUUUGAACUUUUUUUAUUUACUUCAAAUUAAUAUGUUUUUGGUGUUUUUAAAUUAUUUUGAUGCACUGAUAUCAAAAUUAAUUUUUAAAAAUUAAAAAAUAUUUUGAAAAACAAUUACAACUACACUCAAAAUCUUUUAACUAGCAACAAUGAAAAUGAAAAGGAUUCCAACUUUGUGGAACGUGAAGAGGAAGGAAUUGCACACGACAAGAGAACAAAAAACAAAUUAUGGUAAUAAGGUUUAGUUUUCAAUCAAAGAAGAGAGACUGCGAUUUUUAGAGAGAGAAAGUAGGAUAAAGAAGAGAGUGUGGGUGUGUGAUCUAUCAUUCAAUUGGUUUUCUCAUAUAUUAUACAUAAAGACAAUUUGGAUAUUUUAUCAUUUUUUUAAUUUUUAUUUGAUAAAGAAUGUAGAGUAUAAUUUCAAAAAGUAAUAGGGUAAAGUGAAAUAUAAUCAAAUCAUAAGAGUAAGAGGAUUUUUUUUGUAAUUAUUUCUUAAUAAAAGAAGAAACCUAUAAUCCAGAUUCUCGAAAAAAAAAAGAAGGUAAAAAGUGAAGAGUGACUGGGUGACCGUAUGAGUCUUUAAAGGAAAAGAAAAAGGGAUAAAAAUACAAUACUAAAAAAAUAAAAAGAGAGAGAAAUGAAAAAAAUGAAUAUGUUUUUUUCUUUUUCUUUUUCUUUUUUAAAUAAAAAAGCGAAAGGAGGUGUGAAAGCACGUAGGAAAGCAUGUUUAAUGCCAGUUUCUCGAACCUACUGGUAUUUAGAUAAUGAGAAUGAUGUUUUUGUCAUCACCAUCGAAAUUUCCAUGUCAUCGUUGACGUAUGAUAAUUCCCUAAGCGUGCUGUGCAAGUAACUUAAAAGGAACCAUCCCAGUUUGUACCAAUAAAUACUAAAUAGCAUUUGGAAUCCGCAAUUGUUCUAGUCUUUUGAGUAGUUCAUCACUUAACAAUGGCCAACGAAGACGUUUCGCACGACCUUUCAUCCCUUCUUUCGUCGGAAGAGAGGGACUUUCUCAUCCGCAACAAUGGUGACCAGGUACUGCUUUUAGCUUAUGGAUUUCUCUGGUCUUAUGCGAUCUACUUCUACUUGUCUUAUUAAACUUGCAGGUUUUUCUCGUAAUUAGGAUGGAUAUCAUGUUUAAAUUAGACUGCGAACCUUGCUCAAGAACAAGUUUAUGACCAAUUUCUAGAGCUUUUAUGAUUCAGAAAAGCCUCAAUUUUUGUUUACCCUCUUGAUUUAUGGGCUAAUUUUUUUUUUUUCUGAUUAUGCUCGACACUAAUUUUUAGGUUACGGUCAGCAAUUUGGUUGGGAAGAUUGUGGGAUUCUAUUUCUCUGGUUCGUGGUGCGGGCCGUGCCGCAAUUUCACUCCGUUGUUGGUAGAAGUCUAUGAACAGCUAUCAUCCAAAGGGGACUUCGAGGUGGUCUUCAUUUCUUCUGACGGAGACGAUGAAUCCUUCAACACAUACUUCUCCGAAAUGCCAUGGCUUGCUAUUCCCUUCUCUGAUACGGAGACCCGCCAACGUCUUCAGGAAUUGUUCAAAGUAAGAGGGAUCCCUAAACUCGUCAUUUUUGAUACUAAUGGUAAGGUUUCCUGCGAUAAUGGAGUCAGACCUGUCAAGGAACAUGGCGUGGAUGGGUAUCCGUUCAACCUUGAUAGACUGAAUUUCCUUAAAGAGCAAGAAGAGAAUGCUAAGAAGAAUCAAACCAUAAGCUCUAUCUUGGUUUCCAGCUCACGUGAUUAUGUGAUUUCAAAUGAUGGAAAAAAGGUAGAUGUUUCAUUCAAUUAGCUAGUUUUGAAAUUGAAUUGAUGAUGCCAUAAUUCACAUUUUUGCUAUCUGUAAUGGCAGAUCCCUGUGUUGGACCUUGAAGGAAAAUUGGUUGGCUUGUAUUUUUCAGCCCAUGCUCAUAGGAUGUGCCGUGAAUUCACUCCUAAACUAGUGGAAUUGUAUAAGACGCUCAAGGAAAAAAGAGAGAACUUUGAAGUAGUCCUAAUAUCUCUAGACGACGAAGAAGAAGACUUCAAAGAGAGUUUUGAGACAAUGCCUUGGUUGGCAUUGCCUUUUAAGGACAAGAGCUGCGAGAAGCUAGCGCGGUAUUUUGAACUUAGAACCAUUCCUAAUCUUGUCAUAAUUGGCCAAGAUGGGAAGACUUUGAACCCAAAUGUAGCUGAACUGAUCGAAGAACAUGGUAUUGAAGCCUACCCAUUUACACCGGAAAAGCUUGACGAGCUAGCUGCAAUUGAAAAGGCAAAACUGGAAUCGCAGACGCUUGAGUCAGUUUUGGUUAAUGGGGAAAAUGAUUUUGUGAUUGACAAAAGUGGCUCCAAGGUAAUUGUUUUUGUUCUAUGCUAACCUCGCAUGUUGUUACCGCAUUACUUUCAAUAACUUUCUUAUGAUCACGAAUUGAAUUCAUUAGCAAAGGUUUUUUUUUUUUUUUUAUCAUUCCAAUGGUUUACUCUUGAUUAGGUCCCAGUGUCUGAACUAGUUGGAAAGAACAUUCUUCUUUACUUCUCAGCUCAAUGGUGCCCUCCAUGUCGUGCCUUUUUACCCAAGCUAAUUGAAGCAUACCACACAAUUAAAAGAAAAGACAAUGCAUUUGAGGUGAUCUUCAUCUCAAGUGACAGAGAUCAAUCCACCUUUGACGAGUUCUAUUCAGAAAUGCCUUGGUUAGCCCUUCCAUUUGGUGAUGGAAGGAAACAAAUCCUGAGUCGGAAAUUCAAAAUUCAAGGCAUUCCUGCAGCUGUAGCGAUUGGCCCAAGUGGCCGGACCAUUACCAAGGAAGCUCGGAUGCACCUGACAGCUUACGGGGCAGAUGCUUUUCCAUUUACCGAGGAACAUCUAAAGCGAUUGGAGGAGGAGCUUGAGGAAAAGGCAAAGGGGUGGCCAGAGAAAGUGAAACACGAACUUCAUACUGAGCAUGAGCUGAUACGUACUAAACGCAGUGCAUAUGGUUGCGAUGGCUGUGGGGAAACGGGAUAUCGGUGGUCUUUCUAUUGCAAUCAAUGUGACUUUGAUCUUCACCCCAAGUGUGCUCUGAAGGAAGAUGAAGAUGCUGGAACUGAAAAGGGAAAGGAAGGAUGGGUCUGCGAUGGAGAUGUGUGCCGCAGAGCUUAAGCAGGCAAGCGCUGCUUGUGUCUGGUUUUAUGGGCUUUCUGCUGUAUUAAGUAUGCAAUGGAAGAUGUUUGUUGCAUGUGUGUGAAUAUAGUGGGGAUGUCUCUCCUGUUAUCGUUAUGUAUCUAAGAUGUGUGAAGCUGAAGGGUUUUCAUGUCCUGUAUUUGGAUACUAAAAAUAAAUAAACAGCUCUGUGUGUUUAUGCGAAUCCUGUGACCCAUUUGGAACUUGGGAAAAUCCAUGGUUGAUGGUUGUUCUCAAAGCUCAAUCACUUGUUAUGAGGUUUUUGUCAUUCCUAAACGAAAAUGCUGUGCAUGAUGCCAUUGUGCCGCUCUCUUUGUUUCUAUUUGGCUGGGUGAAGAAACAGCCUCACCUCUGGAGCAAAUAUUCCUGUUAUUGUAUUGCUGAUUAAAUACAAAAACUGGGCUGAUUGUGACUUAACCAACAUUAUACAAUGAAACCAUUGUAACUCCACCGUAAAAGAAACAAGAAUUUCCAAUCCAAGCAACUGGAUAGUCAUUUCCCCCCCUCGUUGCCUUCUCACAUUACUUGUUGAGACGGAUUUCAGAAUCAAGAAAGCAGCAUUAAUUCGAACUCAGAACUAAGAAAGACAAAUGAAAUCCCAGCAGGUGGAAACUGGGUUCAUGGCAGUUAUUUGGAGGGUGGACACCUGCGUUUGUUGAUGAACAUGUCUGCAAUCAAUGAAAACCAGAACCACGGGCAGGCUAUUGCCUGUAUCAGUUCAUGGGACGCAAAGGACAGAUAGGAUUAGUGGUGAGCUUGGAGAAGUUAGCAAAGCCAACAACUACACCUCGCAGAACAGGAAAAGAUUUCCGUAAAUUUAAUGCUUUUCUACAAGAAUGUUUGGUUGCCUAUUUUUAAAAAAAAAAAAUUAUAUAAAUAACUUCUGGGUUGGCAUAGACACCUCAGGUUUUGGCACAGCUGCAAAAAACAAGUUGGAACUCUUACAUCCCUAUUGGUAGGUGAUGGAUUAUAAAUAAGGUUUAGUUUUGGUACUUUGACAUCCCUCGUGGACAAAACGAUUCUGAAUGGUUGAUAAUUUGGAAUGAAAGAUUUUCAGUACAAUUAUCAACACUCAACAAACUAGUAAUACCCUAUUAAUUCAUAACUAACUUGGAAAAAAAAAUUAAAUAUAAAAUUAUUGGAUCAAUCUGUAUAUUUUUUAUAUUAAAACAAUAACGUUUUAUUUUAUUUUUAUUUAAUCUUUACAGGAUAAUCACUCAGUUGAUUUAACCAUGUUAUUAAAAGAAUUUAAUUAAUAUAUUAUUUGAUUUAAUUAAAAUCUCAAAAAUUAUUAUACUUGAUAUCUUAAGUUUUUGAGACCAAUGAUUUCUACAUAGUGGUACAAUUAGCAUACUCUGCUCAUUGCAUUACAACAACAUUUUAAAAAUAAAAUGUUAAAAUUAAGAAUAAUUAAUUUUGAAAUUUUAUGUGAACAAUAAUUGUGUGGGGGUGUCAAUAGCAUCAUAUUUGUUUCCUGAAGUAAAUUAUAAUUGAAUCCUCAUAUUUUCCAUAAACCAAUAUGUUAGCCCUUCUGUUUUUUAAAAAACUAAAAGGCUACUCAAUUGAGAAGCUUCGACCGUCAAGCCGUUAUUAGAUAUUCUUUUAUACUAAUACCUAAAGUAACGGUUUAGCACUUUUAUAAUGUAAAACUAAAGGAAGAACUAAGGAGGUAAAAUAUGGCUUCUUUUAAAUAAAGGGAGUGAGCUAUUAAUUUCUUAAAACUAUAGGGACUACGUUAUAAUUUGAUCAAUUUGUUAUGAUGAAUUUAAAGUGCCACACGUGAUUUUUUUUUUUAAUUAAUGUGGGUGUCCGGACCAGCUUGCGCACACCUUAACUAAUCCAACGGGUCCUGAAAUUAACGACCAUGUAAGCCUACAGUUAUCAUCAUAUGAGCAACUACAGGGCUCCUGAGAUCACAAAGGGAAUAAACCUUUUAGUCCCAAGCUCUUAUAACUAGGACACUUUCUAGAUGGUUGUCACACGUUAUUUAAUUCUACAUGGUUUGGUUUUGUGUUUGCCAAUUAAUGAUCAUCAUGUUUCAUGAUGUGACAAAUAGAUUAAAAAUAUGAUGAAUGGAGCCAAACAUUAUUGGUUUUAAAUUUAAAAUUUUUUUAGUGUGUUUGAAUUUUUUUAAUAUAUUAAAUUUAAAAAUAAAUUUUUAAAAAUUAAUAUAUAUAUUUGAGUAAAAAUUAUUUUAAAACUCAACCUCUAUUAUAUUUUUAAACAUACCCUAUCAUUAGUAGUUGAGUCUUACCCUUAAUGUUUUCCAUGGAAUCUAUUAUUAUAGUCUUACAGCGUAUGUGCAAAGAUAAGGAAUAUCAUGAUAGGCAGUAAAAAAAAAAAAAAAAAAACUCUUACUAAUAUUAUAAAAACUAUGUUAUAAUUUUAUCUGAAAAUAAAAUAAAAAUUAAAUGAUAUCUAAUAAAAUAAUAUCUCAUAUAUAUUCUUAAUAACUUAAGUAUCUACUAAAAUAACAGCCUUGAUGUGUUUUUAAAUAAUUAAUUUUAACGAAAUAAAACUAAAACUCAAGGAUAAAAAUUCAAAAAUAAAAAUUCAAAUAAAAUAAAAACAAGCCAUGUUUGUGGGGCCAGGUGACUCCGCAUGCUUAUCCAAAAUGAAAGAGCCAUUUUAUUUUUUCUUUGAUAAAUGACAUAUCAUUUAUCCUUUUGAUUUUUAAAGUAAAACAAAUGACACAUGAUUGGUUACUCAAUUUUUUUUUGUCAUGGAGAAGUGGUUGAAGAAUUGGGUUAGAGUUUUUUUUUUUAUCUAAAAUUAUAUAUUUUUUAAUUUGUUUUUAUCUAUUGUCUCUAAACUAGUCCAUCAUCUAAAAAAAAAACCCUAAAAUAAUUUUAAAAUACAAAGUUUAACCUAAAAGCAAUUCUCUCAACCUCGAUUUAUCUUUUUUUGGCAAUAUAAAGCUAAAAACACAUUAUGGUAGCAUUCUUCUUGUCAAGAAGAAUACAUUGACACACAUUUUAGCUAUUUUUGCAAACAAAACCUUGUCAAUGUAUGUAUUUCUUCUCCUUUGUUAUUUUCAAUGAAUGUUUUUUUUUUUCUAAAACUCAAAACUAAAAUGUGAUUAAAAUAAAGUUUUAGAUCAAAACAUAAAUUUUUAAAGUAAAAUAGCGUGAAAUGAACAUUUCUCAAAUAAAAAAACCAUAAAUUCUUGCUACUUGUUAAUUUUGGCUCCCCAAGUCCUUAAUUUUUAUAUACAAUAAAAUAGGAUUCUAUUUUGUAAAAUCAAACAUAACUCUAAUGUAAAGACAUUUAAUUUUCCAAAAAAAAAAUUAUAGAAAACCAACCAAUAAGUCAAAUCCUCCAUUAAUAAAAUGUCAAAAAUUGAAAAAAUUUAAAAAGUGUUUGGUGACUAUAAUGAAAAAAAUUUCGAAGAAAAAACUAGAACACUAUUUUAAUCUGUGAUGUUUUGAGUUUUUGUCCACAGUGCAACAACACUAAACUAACCACAUCUCUUAGUUUUAUAUUUAAUUUAUUUUUAGAUUUUUAUGAUUCAUAAAUGAGGGAUUAUUUUAUUUUGUUAGCUUAGGUUUUAUUUUUAUAAAAUUAAUUAAAAAAUAGAUUAGGAUAUCUAGUGGAUAACCACAAAUGAAGAAAGUCAUCUACUUAACCGGAUUUAGAGCUCGUUUGUUUCUGAGACAACAUUUACAUUUCUUUUAAACACACUAAUAAUGGUGUUUGAUUACCGAUUGAAAGUAAUACAUAAAUUAUAGACCCCAUCAUUUAUAUGAGGCAGCACCUUAAUUAUAAAAAAUAUUUUUUUUUAUUGAACUUUCUUACAUGAUAGAGUAUUGCAUUUAAAAACUCUUUCUUUCUCCCCUCAAAAUAUAGGGUCUCUUUAUUGAAAUAGAGUCAUGAUGUGGCUCAAAUACACAAUAUAAAUUUAUUUAUAAUUAUUAAAUAUAUGCAAUAUCAUUAUUUUUAAAAUAAAAAAGAAAUCCAGAGUUUUAUUAUUGAAAAACUCCAUUCUUGAAAAUAUAACUAAAAAUUCUAUCAAAGUUUAGAUUUUAACUUGUCUAUUAAAUUGUAUGUAAUUAUUAUCAAGUCAUAUUUUAUAGAAAAUAAACUAGGCUAAAAAUCUAAUCCAAAAUUCUCUCGAUGUCUUUGAGAAUUUAAUUAGCAUAUGAAUUUUAUUGAGGUCUGUGUUAAAUGUUUUUUUUUUUUUCUGAGACUUAAGGAGCUUUGGAUGACUGGAGCUGGAGGUACAUUUUCAUGAUUUAUUUUUCUCAAUAAUUUUUUUUUACAGUCUUGGCCUUCAUCCUUUCCUAAGCUUCCUAUGUAAGAUGCCACGUAUAUAGUUUCUUUGCUCGUUCAUUUCAACUAUGCUUUACAUAUGAUGAUUGAUUUAUAUUAGAAAAAAAAAAUGAUAGAAAAAUUCAUUUCCAAAUGCAGCAAAACCAAAAGAGAAUAAUUUUCUAAUUAAAAAAACUAAUUAAGGAUUUUUUGUAUCAAGAAAUAUAAAGAUUUUAUUAAAGAGAUAAAAAUAAAAAAUAUAUUUAAUAACAAACUCACAAAAAAAUUAUCAAACCAUGGAUAAAACUAAAAAAAAAGGAGAUUAAUAAAAAAAACAUGUUUAAAAAAGAAGAAGCAAGAGGAGAUUUAUAGAAGCAGGUGAUCAUGCGAAUGCCACUUCAUCGGGCCUACGUCAUAAUGUCUUCGUCAUCACCCGUCACCAGCCACGCCUUGAAGCGUCGUUGUCUGAUUAGAAUAAUAAUUUCCUAGGUCGGUCGUGCAGGUAAUUUAAAGGAGCCUUAGCCUGGAAGUUCUAUCACAUAGCAACUGGGAUUGGCAAUUGUUCUAGCCUUUUGAGUAGUUCAUCACAUAGCUAGCUAUGGCCACCGAAGACGUUUCUCUCGACCUUUCAACGCUUCUUUCUUCAGCAGAGAGGGACUUUCUCAUCCGCAACAAUGGUGAUCAGGUACUGCUUCUCUGAUCUUAUUCAAGUCUUCUUCCUGUCUUAUUAUAAGUUGACGUCUUUUAAUUUUUAUAUGAACUUGUAGGUUUUUCUCGUAAUUAAGAUGAAUAUCAUGUUUAAAUUAGACUGGUAGCCUUGCUUAAGAACAAAUUUAUGACCAAUUUCUGAAGCUUUUUAUGAUUAAGAAAAAGCUCCCUUUUUUUUGUUGCUUCUCUCACUGGCAAGAGAAAGAAACCAUGAAUAAAAUUUUGAUUCGUUAAGGGCAGAUGUUUUUUUCUGAUAAUGUUCGAGAUUAAUUUUUAGGUUAAGGUCAGCAAUUUGGUUGGGAAGAUUGUGGGGUUCUACUUCUCUGGUUCGUGGUGCGGCCCAUGCCGUAAUUUCACUCCUUUGUUGGUAGAAGUCUAUGAACAGCUAUCAUCCAAAGGGGACUUUGAGGUGGUCUUCAUUUCUUCUGACAGAGAUGAUGAAUCCUUCAACACAUAUUUCUCCGAAAUGCCAUGGCUUGCUAUUCCCUUCUCUGAUACGGAGACCCGCAAACGUCUUAAGGAAGUGUUCAAAGUAAGAGGGAUCCCUAAUCUUGUCAUAAUUGGCCAAGAUGGGAAGACUUUGAACCCAGAUGUAGUUGAACUCAUCGAAGACCAUGGAAUUGAAGCCUACCAUUUACACCGGAAAAGCUUGAUGAGCUAGCUGCAAUUGAAAAGGCAAAACUGGAAUCGCAGACGCUUGAGUCAGUUUUGGUUAAUGGGGAAAAUGAUUUGUGAUUGACAAAAGUGGAUCCAAGGUAAUUUUUUUUCUGCUAACAUCGCAUGUUGUUAUUGCAUUACUUUCAAUAACUUGCUUAUUAUCUCGAAUUGAAUUCAUUAGCAAAGGAUUUUUAUCAUUCAAAUGGUUUACUCUUGAUUAGGUCCAGUGUCUGAUCUAGUUGGAAAGAACAUUCUUCUUUACUUCAGCUCAAUGGUGCCCUCCAUGUCGUGCCUUUUUACCCAAGCUAAUUGAAGCAUACCACACAAUUAAAAGAAAAGACAAUGCAUUUGAGGUGAUCUUCAUCUCAAGUGACAGAGAUCAAUCCACCUUUGACGAGUUCUAUUCAGAAAUGCCUUGGUUAGCCCUUCCAUUUGGUGAUGGAAGGAAACAAAUCCUGAGUCGGAAAUUCAAAAUUCAAGGCAUUCCUGCAGCUGUAGCGAUUGGCCCAAGUGCCGGACCAUUACCAAGGAAGCUCGGAUGCACCUGACAGCUUACGGGGCAGAUGCUUUUCCAUUUACCGAGGAACAUCUAAAGCAAUUGGAGGAGGAGCUUGAGGAAAAGGCAAAGGGGUGGCCAGAGAAAGUGAAACACGAACUUCAUUCUGAGCAUGAGCUGUUACGUACUAAACGCAAAACAUAUAUUUGCGAUGGCUGUGGGGAAACAGGAAAUAGUUGGUCUUUCCAUUGCAAAGAAUGUGACUUUGAUUUCACCCCAAGUGUGCUUUGAAGGAAGAUGAAGAUACUGGAAGUGAAAAGGGAAAUGAAGGAUGGAACUGCGAUGGAGAUGUGUGCCGCCGAGCCUAAGCAGGCAAGCGCUCCUUGUAUCUGGUUUUAUGGGCUUUCUGCUGUAAUAAGCGUGCGAUGUAAGGUGUUUGUUGCAUGUGUGUGAAGAUGUGGAUGUCUUUCCUGUUAUUGAUAUGUAAUUAAGAGGUGUGUUGCUUAAGGAUUUUCAUGUCCUGUAUCUCGAUACGAAGAAUAAAUAACCUGAUUGGCUAAGUUUAUGUGAAUCCUGUGACCCUUUUGAAACUUGGGAAUCCAUGGUUGCUGGUUGUUCUCAAAUCUCCAUCACUAGUUAUGAGGUUUCGUCAUUCCUAAAUGAAAAUGUUAUGCAUGAUGCCAUUGUGCCGCUCUCUGUGUUUCUAUUUGGCUGAUGAAGAAACAACUUUACCUCUGGAGCAAAUAUUUCGAUACCAAACUGGUUUUGUUUAAACUCUCAACCCAAUUCAAUUAUGAAAGGUUUUUUUUUUUUUGUCUGAGAAUCCCUAAUUUGCUUCCUCUCUCCUGUAGCCACAACCACCCUCUCUUUUCUCUGAAAGAUAUCGAAACUUAGCGGUGAUCUCUUCGCUCUCAAAAUUUCUCGCAACUUUCUCACCUCCCUCUUUGUUGUUGGUCUCUUUUUUAUUUUUGUCUCCUCUCCAUCUCUAGUGUAAUGUAGCCUCUCUUCUCUCUAUUUCUUUCUAUUUUUCUUAGCUUUAUUUAUUGUUAUAGAAUAAUAAAUUAUAACAUGUUUAUUUGUUAUUUGGCAAGGAUUCAAUGUUCACAAUAACUCAGAUGUUUGACAAAGCCGAUUUAUAUUAUUUAGCAGAUUUGAUAAGAUUUAUUGUCUCCUAUAUGUAUUAUUAACUGUGACCUAAUAAUUUACAUGUUAUGUUUCAAAGACACAGAAGUUUGAGGUGUUGGUUCUUAUUUCGUUGCAUGUCAAGCUCAAUAUAUUUCUCCUAACAUGUUUAUUUGUUACUUGGCAUGGAUCAUUUUUUAUGGCUUAUAUUGUCUUUUUUAUGUAGAUGUGAACAAGUUAUUUCAAAGGAAAAAACUAUAUUGACUCCUUAAUUGUGAAAUUGGAAAUUAGGGAGAUAAUUGUUGUGAUAAUUCAUGGGCGAUCAUGUAAGCAAAUGUUAUAGGAAGCUUGCUGAUUUGGAUUUGUAAUAAUACAUGCAUCGAAGUGCUAGAAAGGCCACAUAAUCUUUGCCCUUUCCUAGGCUUCAUGUGCAAGAUCCCGUGUAUAUAAGUUAAUUGUAAGUUCAUUUAAACUAGGCUUUACAAAUGGUGAUUCAUUUGUAUUAAGAAAAAAUGAAAUAAAAAUUCAAUUUCAUAUAUAAUCCAUCACCUAUUUAAUAGUGUGAUGUAAGAGUAAGAGUUCAUCUUGUUUAUGAUCCAUCACCUAUCAAUAGUGAUGUAAGAGUUCCAACUUGUUUUCUACAGCUGUGCCAAAACCUAGGGGGGUCUACGCCAGCCCAGCAGAGUCCUUCCCCCGUCGUAGGUGGUCCAUACGACCAGAGAUAGUAAGUGAUUUCAGAACAUGCCUUUUCGAAAUGUGAUCAAAAUAAAAUUUUGGAUUAAAAUAUAAAAUUUUCAAAGUAAAAUGGUGUGAAAUCAACAUUUCUCAAAUAAAAAAAAACCUUAAAUUAUUGCUAACAAUCAAUUUUGCCCCCUAAAUCUUAAAUUUUUUGUACGCAAUAAAAUACGAUUUAUUUUGUAAAAUCCAAAUAUCACCCUAAUGUAAAAACAUUUAAUUUUUCCCUCACAUAGAAGAUUAUAAAAAAACCAACCAAUAAGUCCAAAUUCUUGAUUAAUAAAAAUGUCAAAAGAUGAAUUUAAAAAAAUUAAUUAUAUUAUAAUGAAAAACAUUCAAAGAAUAGGACUAGAACAUUGUUCCAAUCCAUGAUAUUUUGAAUUUUUUGUCCAUGGUGCAACAAAACUAAACUAACCACAUCUUUUAGUUUUUUAUUUAAUUUAAUUUUAUAGUUUUAUGAUUCAUGAAGGAGGAAUUAAUUUAUUUUUUAGAUUAGGUUUUAUUUUUAUAAAAUUAAUUAAAAAAUAAAUUAGAUAGGAUAUCUAGUUGAUACCCACGAAUAAAGAAAGUCAUAUACUUAACCUGACUUGAUUAAAAAAAUUAACGAAUUUGAACAUUCGAGAGUGGAAAUUCAUUAUCUUCCUUUACUUACAAUUAUGACAAAUUGAAAUACGUCUAGAGUGUUUGAUAAAGGAUGAUGACAUAUAUGUAUAGUGCACUUUUGAGUGUGGGAAAGUCCCGUCUCAUGACAGAGUAUUGCAUUUAAAAUCUCUUUCUUUCUUCCUUGGAAAUAUAGCAGGGGUGAUUAAAAAAAAAUUGAAAAACUAAUUAAAUUAAAAAAAUAAUUUUUUUUGAAAAAACUGAACCGAGAAAAAAUAAAUUAAUUAAUUAAAAUAUUUUUAAAAAUAUCUGGUUUGAUUUUGAUUUUUUAAGUCUAAAACCGAAAAAAUAAACUGAAAUUAAUAAAAAAACCAAACUGAAAAAACUUAAACCAAACCUAUUAAAAAUUACAAAAAAAAACCCCUAAAAAUAAUAUAGUUUUUGGUUUUUAAUAUAGAUGUUUUGAUUUUACCAAAACCAAAACCGAACGAACCAAAUCCGAUCGGAUGGGUUUUGAUUUUUAAAAAAAAAAAAAUACAGUUUGGUUAUUUUUAUAGGUAAAAACCUAACCGAACUAAAAAUAAUCACCCUUGAAAUAUACAAAAAAACAUUUUAUUGAAAUAAAGUGGCUAAAAUACACUAUAUAAUUUUAUUUAUAAUUAUUAAAUAUAUGUAACAUCAUUAUUUUUAAAAUUAAAAGGAGUUGAGAGUUUUACUAUUAAAAAACUUUAUCUUGAUAGAAGGAUAAUAAGGUCUUUAGAAAGUUUGUAUCGUAGCAUACUUAUUAAAUUAUAUGUGAUUACCAUCAUGUCAAAGUAACAUAAAGAUUUUAUUAAAGAGAUAAAAAUACAAAAUAUAUUUAAUAACAAACUCACAAAAACAAAAUAUCAAACCAUGGAUAAAACUAGAAUAAAAACAUAAAAAAAGGAGAUUAAAAAAACAUUAGAAUAUUUUAAACUGAUUAGAAUAUUUUAAAAAAUAUCCAGUUUGAUUUUGAUUUUUUAAGCUUGAAACUAAAAAAUCAAACCCAAAUUAAUAAAAAAAAUAAACCAAAAAAACCGAAACAAAACUCAUUAAAAAUUACAAAAAAAACCCUAAAAACAAUAUAGUUUUUUGUUUUUAAUAUAAAAUAAUCAAACCAAAACCGAAUCAAAUCAAACCCGAAUGGUUGGAUUUUGGUUUUUUUUUUUUGUAUUUUUCAAAAUUUCAAUUUGGUUAUUUUUAUAGGUAAAAACCAAACCAAACUAAAAAUGAUUACUCUAGAAUAUAAAUUUUUUUUUGUAUUGAAAUAGAGUGGCUAAAAUACACUAUAUAAUUUUAUUUUUAAAUAUUAAAUAUAUGUAACAUCAUUAUUUUUAAAAUUAAAAGGAGUUGAGAGUUUUACUAUUAAAAAACUUUAUCUUGAUAGAAGGAUAAUUAAUAAGGUCUCUAAUAAGUUUGGAUCUUAGCCUACUUAUUAAAUUACAUGUGAUUACCAUCGUGUCAAAGUGAAAUAAAGAUUUUAUUAAAGAGAUAAAAAUACAAAAUAUAUUUAAUAACAAAAUCACAAAAAAAUUAUCAAACCAUGGAUAAAACUAGAAUAAAAAUAAAAAUAAAAAGAGAUUAAAAUAAACACCUCUCUGCGCAAGAAAUGAUAUAUUCUGUUAAAGACAAUCCUUCCCGUAGAUUGCUUUGAAUGGGUAAAUCAAUCAUUUGUCUUUGUGGAUCCGACAUUAAUCCUCUUAUACCUACUAAUUGGUGUACUUGAGAUGUAUUUCCCUAGCUCCCGAAAAGGACAUUAUAUGGACUUGAUUAUAGGGUUUUGUCAUUCUAAAAUUCAGAUUCAUUUCUUGUCGCAAAUAUUCACUUGUAGCAUACUAUAUCUUAAUAAAUUGACGUAAUUUUUCUAUCGCGUAUACAUUUUUAUAAUGAUGGUGUUUUUUCAAAAUCAAACUUUGUUGUUCAGCAUCUUGGACUAGCCAUCCUUUUGAAGAUAUUGUUAAAAGAUCAUCAAUUCCUAAUGAAAUAGAUGUAGCAGUGGUAUGUGAAUCCUGUGACCCAUUUGAAACUUGGGAAUCCAUGGUUGAUGGUUGUUAUGAGGUUUUUGUCAUUCCUAAACGAAAACGCUAUGCAUGAUUGCAUUGUGCCGCUCUCUUUGUUUCUAUUUGGCUGGAUGAAGAAACAGCUUCACCUCUGGAACAAAUAUUCCUGUAAUUGUAAUGCUGAUUAAAUACAAAAACUGGGCUGAUUGUGACUUAACCAACAUUAUACAAUGAAACCAUUGUAACUCCACCGUUAAAGAAACAAGAAUUUCCAGUCCAAGCAACUGGAUAGUCAUUUUUACCCCUCUCUGCCUUCUCACAUUACUUGUUGAGACGGAUUUCAGAAUCAAGAAAGCAGCAUUAAUUCGAACUCAGAAGUAAGAAAGACAAAUGAAAUCCCAGCAGGUGGAAACCUGCGUUUGUUGAUGAACAUGUCUGCAAUCAAUUAAACCAGAAACACGAGCAGGCUAUUGCUUGUAUCAGUUCAUGGGACGCAAAGGACGGAUAGGAUUAGUGGUGAGCUUGGAGAAGUUAGCAAAGCCAACAACUACACCUCGCAGAACAGGAAAAGAUUUCCGUAAAUUUAAUGCUUUUCUAUUUGCUUAAUUCUCGUGACACCAUAUUAUUUGAUGCCUCAAAAGAACGAAAAUAUCAUCCGUGUGAUACAUCCAAAAUUCAAGCAAGCACACUGCCAAGAAAUUCAAUUCGGCGACGUUUCAAUCAAGCACGCUGCCAUAAAGUUUGAAGCCAUUGAAAAAACCUUUGGUUCUAUGGUCCAUUAAUUAUGUUCAGCUUAUUUACUCUUUCAUGUUCUCGCAGUUUCUUCUUUUUGCCACGUUCCAUGGCUUCCCACCACUGAAUCUCAUGUGCUUUAAAUUUGCCUUCGCCAUGACAGCCACAAAACCUUAUCGAUUGUUGCAGUCUGAAAACUGUUUGUUAUUGUGGUUACUGUUGUGGUUUUAAGAAAAUUAUUUUGUAAAAAUAUUUUUAGUUGAGGUUGGUUUAGAAAAAUAUAUAUUUGAUUAAAAAUAUGGUUAAAAUUGAGGUUGAACAAAAAGUAGUUUAAUGUGUUUGGUUAAAAAAAUGUUUUUCAAAUUGAGGUUAUAAAAUAAUUAAAAAAUAUUUUUAAUUUAAAUAUUGUAGAUUUAACUACUAUUACUACAUCAUGAAAUAAAUAAUAUUUAUAUCAAAUAUUUUUUAUUAUUCCAUUAAACUAUAUGCAAUGUCAUCACAUACAAAUCUAUCCAACAAUGACUAUAUUUUUCAUGGUUUCUUAAGCACGCAACAACAAAAAUUGGAUUUUUUGUAAUGUCAUCAAGCGAUAUCCUUCUAAUUUUUUCAAUAAAACACAAUUAAAAUAAAAAUAAAAACUGAAUUUUUUUAACUGGGUCAGACCCGGCAGGAACAUAAUUGGAAUUGCGAUUAAAUUUCACAAAUGUUAUGUCAUCAUGCGAUAUUCUUCUAAUUUAUAUAGUGUUAUUAAAUAAUAUUAAAUACUAGUUUUUCGAGUAAAACUAAAUUUUUUAAAAAAAAAAAUUACAAUUUCAUUACGUACAAAAUUCAUUCGACAAGAACUACAGUUUAAUGAUUUUGUGAGCGUGCAAUAAAAUUAGAUAAAAUAUUAUCGGGAAUAAAAUUAAGAUUACAGUAUGAGUAAAUUUAAUUCACCUUUAACUAUUUUUUUAACAAAAAAAAAUAUAUUGUUCAUCUGAAUAGUGCGAGUGAAAUUAAUUAAUUGCACUGGUUUUUCAGGGAAAAAAAAACCCAAACAUUGCAUGUGAACAGUGCAAGUGAAUUAAUUCACUCACACUGGUUUUUUGAAAUUAAAAAAAAAAUUGUUCAUUUUAGUGAACAGUGGAGCCAUGCUCCAUUGUUGAUGUUAAUUUUCAGACGAGCAGCAGCUUCUCAGAAACCUAUUCAGAUGAACAAUAUAUUUUAAAAAAAAUGGAGCAGGUGAAUUAUUUUAAUCUGCUUUUUAAUCUGCUACAGUGCAUGCAAAGCAGGUUUUCAUAGCUUUUCCUUUCCAGUGUUUUAAACGCAAAAAACACGUGGGUCCCAUGCACAGUAAAAUAAUUUUUGUUAUUACCAAACGGCUGCGGACUGCGUUUUAAAUAAAACGCAUCCGCAGCCUCUUAGACAAACACCCUUUAAGUGGGUCCUACAAAAAAAACUAUUUUUUCUUACCUUACCAAACAUUAAUAGUUGUGGUUGCGGGUGAACCUCACCCGUGGCCACAAUACCAAACAUCCACUUACUAUCUCUGGCCAUCUCGUGUAUGGACCCCUCUACGAUGAAGGAAGGGCACUGUUGGGCUCUUCCCUUACAACGGGGGAAGUCGGAAGGACACUGUUGGGCUAGUAUAAACCCUCCAGGUUUUGGCAUAGCUGCAGAAAAAAAUAAUUUAAAAAAAAUAAAAAAAAAAUAUAUUAUUUUAAUAUAUUUUAGUAUGAAAAGCAUUUUGAAAAAUAAUUGUAAUCAUAUUCCCAAACAAAUAUAAAAUUAAAGGAAAAACAAAUAUAAAACUAAAAGAAGAACUAAGUUAUAGUAAAUGGAAAUGAUGACAUGGAGGUAAAAUAUGGCUUCUUUUAAAUAAAGGGAGUGAGCUAUUGAUUUCUUAAAAAUAUAGGGACUACGUUAUAAUUUGAUCAAUUUGUUAUGAUGAAUUUAAAGUGUAACACGUGAUUUCUUUUUUUUUUUUUUUUUUUAUAACUCGAGAUGUCUGGGCUAGUUUAUGCGCAUCACGACUAAUCCCCGGACUCACCGAACAUCCUGCAAGCCCUGUAAGUAGGUAAGGUACCGCGGGGUGACAAGCGUGCACAAGCAAGACUUGAACCCUGGUAUAAAGGAAGAACACAAGGCCCUUCCACUGCUGGGCUACAAGCUCAAGCGUGUAACACAUGAUUUCUAAAUGGUGGUGUUGGUGUUGUGUUUGCCUAUUAAUGAUCAUGAUCAUGAUGUUUCAUGAUGUGACAAAUAUAUUAAAAAUAUGAUGAUUUUGUUUAUAGUUAAAGCCGUGAAAUAUUAUUUGUUUAAAAUUUAUUUUUUUUUAAUGUUUUUAAUUUUUAUUUAAUGUAUUGAUGUUAAAAAUAUUUUUUUAAAAAUUAAUAUAUAUAUAUAUAUAUUAAUAUAUUUUUAUAUAAAACAUAUUUUAAAACUUAACCUCUUUUAUAUUUUUAAACAUACCCUUAGUCAAUUGUCAUUUAGUAGUUGAAUCUUACCCUUAAUGUUUUCCAUGGAAUCUAUUAUUAUUGUCUUUGACAGCGUAUGUGCAAUGAUAAGGAAUAUCACGAUAGGUUGUCAAAAAAACUCUUACUAAUAUUAUGUUAUGUGUAAUUUUAUCUGAAAAUAAAAUAAAAAUUGAAUGAUGCCUAAUAAAAUAAUAUUAUAUAUAUAUAUAUAUAUUCUUAAUAAUUUAAUUAUCUACUAAAAUAACAUCCUUAUGUGUUUUUAAAUAAUUAAUUUUAAUGAAAUAAAAUUAAAACUUGAGGAUAAAAAUUCAAAAAAUAAAUAAAAUAAAAGCUAAACAUAAGCCAUGUUUGUGGGGUCAAGUGACUCAGCAUACUUAUCCAAAACAUGAAAGAGCCAUUUCAUUUUUUCUUUGAUGAAUGACACAUUGGACUUUUAUUAUUUUAUUUUUAAAAUAAAACAGAUUUGCUUACUCAAUUAUUUUUUGUUAUGGAGAAGUGGAAGAGUUAGGUUAGUGUUUUUUUUUUUUUAUCUAAAAUUCUAUUUUUUUAAUAUAUUUUUAUCUAAAAACACCUCAUAAAUACUUUUAAAUUAUCUCUAAACUAAUCCAUCAACUAAAAAGAAACUCUAAAAUAAUUUUAAAAUAUAAAGUUUAACUUAAAAGCAAUUCUCUCAACCUCUAUUUAUCUUUUUUUGGCAAUAUAAAGCUCAAAAACAUUAUGGUAACACUCUUUUUGUAAAGAAAAAUAUAUUGACACACAUAUGAGCUAUUUUCAUAAACAAAAACUUAUUAAUGUAUGUAUUUCUCUCUCCUUUACUAUUUUCAAUGAAUUUUUAUUAUUAUUUUAAAAAUUUCCAGAUUGAAAUGUUAUUAAAAUAGAGUUUUGGAUCAAAACAUAAAUAUUUUGAAAUAAAAUGGUGUGAAAUGAACAUUUCUCAAAUAAAAAAACUUUAAAUUCUUGCUAUAUGUCAAUUUUGACUCUCCAAGUCCUAAAUUUUUAUAUGCAAUAAAAUAGGAUUCUAUUUUGUAAAAUCAAACAUAAGUAUAAUGUAGAGACAUUUAAUUUUCCAAAAAAAAUAAAAAUAAGGAGCCUUAGCCUCGAAGUUCAUCGGACCUACGUCAUAAUGUCUUCGUCAUUACCCGACACCAGCCACGCCUUCAAGUCGUCGUUGACUGAUCAGAAUAAUAAUUUCCUAGGUCGGUCGUGCAGGUAAUUUAAAGGAGCCUUAGCCUGGAAGUUCCAUCACAUAGCAACUGGGAUUGGCAAUUGUUCUAGCCUUUUGAGUAGUUCAUCACAUAGCUAGCUAUGGCCACCGAAGACGUUUCUCUCGACCUUUCAACGCUUCUUUCUUCAGAAGAGAGGGACUUUCUCAUCCGCAACAAUGGUGAUCAGGUACUGCUUCUCUGAUCUUAUUCAAGUCUUCUUCUUGUCUUAUUAUAAGUUGAUGCCUUUUAAUUUUUAUAUGAACUUGUAGGUUUUUCUCGUAAUUAAGACGAAUAUCAUGUUUAAAUUAGACUGCAAGCCUUGCUGAAGAACAAAUUUAUGACCAAUUUCUGAAGCUUUUUAAUGAUUAAGAAAAAGCUCCUUUUUUUGUGUUGCUUUUCUCACUGGCAAGAGAAAGAAACCAUGAAUAAAAUUGUGAUUCGUUAAGGGCUGAUUUUUUUCUGAUAAUGUUCGACAUUAAUUUUUAGGUUAAGGUCACAAUUUGGUUGGGAAGAUUGUGGGUUCUACUUCUCUGGUUCGUGGGCGCCCAUGCCGUAAUUUCACUCCUUUGUUGGUAGAAGUCUAUGAACAGCUAUAUCCAAAGGGACUUUGAGGUCUUCAUUUCUUCUGACAGAGAUGAUGAAUCCUUCAACACAUAUUUCUCCGAAAUGCCUGGCUUGCUAUUCCCUUCUCUGAUACGGAGGCCCGCAAACGUCUUAAGGAAGUGUUCAAAGUAGAGGGAUCCCUAUCUUGUCAUUUUUGAUUGCGAAUGGCAAGGUUCCUGCGAUGAUGGAUCAGCACUGUCAAGGAACAUGGCGUGGAUGGGUAUCCGUUCAACCUUGAUAGACUGAAUUUCCUGAAAGAGCAAGAAGAGAACGCUAAGAAGAAUCAAACAUAAGCUCUAUCUUGGUUUCAAGCUCACGUGAUUAUGUGAUUUCAAAUGAUGGAAAAAAGGUUAGAUGGUUCAUUCAAUUAGCUAGUUUUGAAAUUGAAUUGAUGAUGCCAUCAUUCACUUUUUGCCUUUUUGGCUAUCUGUAAUGGCAGAUCCCUGUGUUGGACCUUGAAGGAAAAUUGGUUGGCUUGUAUUUCUCAAUCCAUGCUCAUAGGAUGUGCCGUGAAUUCACUCCUAAACUAGUGAAUUACAAGCGCUCAAGGAAAAAGAGAGAACUUUGAAGUAGUCCUAAUAUCUCUAGACGAGGAAAAACACUUCAAAGAGAGUUUUGAGACAAUGCCUUGGUUGGCAUUGCCGUUUAAGGACAAGAGCUGCGAGAAGCUAGCGCGGUAUUUUGAACUUAGAACCAUUCCUAAUCUUGUCAUAAUUGGCCAAGAUGGGAAGACUUUGAACCCAAAUGUAGUUGAACUCAUCGAAGACCAUGGAAUUGAAGCCUACCCAUUUACACCGGAAAAGCUUGAGAGCUAGCUGCAAUUGAAAAGGCAAAACUGGAAUCGCAGACGCUUGAGUCAGUUUUGGUUAAUGGGGAAAAUGAUUUUGUGAUUGACAAAAGUGGAUCCAAGGUAAUUUUUUUGUUCUUGCUAACUCGCAUGUUGUUAUUCAUUACUUUCAAUAACUUGCUUAUUAUCUCGAAUUGAAUUCAUUAGCAAAGGUAUUUUUAUCAUUCAAAUGGUUUGCUCUUGAUUAGGUCCCAGUGUCUGAUCUAGUUGGAAAGAACAUUCUUCUUUACUUCUCAGCUCAAUGGUGCCCUCCAUGUCGUGCCUUUUUACCCAAGCUAAUUGAAGCAUACCACACAAUUAAAGAAAAGCAAUGCAUUUGAGGUGAUCUUCAUCUCAAGUGACAGCGAUCAAUCCACCUUUGACGAGUUCUAUUCAGAAAUGCCUUGGUUAGCCCUUCCAUUUGGUGAUGAAGGAAACAAAUCCUGAGUCGGAAAUUCAAAAUUCAAGGCAUUCCUGCAGCUGUAGCGAUUGGCCAAGUGGCCGGACCAUUACCAAGGAAGCUCGGAUGCACCUGACAGCUUACGGGGCAGAUGCUUUUCCAUUUACCGAGGAACAUCUAAAGCAAUUGGAGGAGGAGAUUGAGGAAAAGGCAAAGGGGUGGCCAGAGAAAGUGAAACACGAACUUCAUACUGAGCAUGAGCUGAUACGUACUAAACGCA
rnacentral:lncRNA from 1 species